AUGCAUUCCUUUGAAUGGUAGCUUAACAACCCAUCACAAAAUGGUAGUUACGGAAGAUGUAUACAAGAGGAGACGACAACAUGUAGUCAAUUUAAAACACAAGUAUAAGAAUUAUACUCUGCUUUAGUGCAAGCCAUUCAAAAAGCAUACUUGAUUCAAGUUUGGAUAUGAGAACAUCGUGACAAAAGUUUCUCUUUUUAGGAUUCGUCGAUGCCUCACCGUGCACCUCUCCUAGUCUCCCUUUCCUCCGUACAUUUUUCGCAUCCUCAAUUUCUCCUAGCGUUCCUUCAAACAAGAAAAUGAGAAGAUAUUUUUUUCAAGGGGCAUCAACAUAGAACCAUGACCUUCGCAUCUUCUUGAAGACUAUUGGCGAGUGAACCUUCAUGCGGAGCCAUGUUUUCCAUUGACAACGUCCUCCGCCCUGGCCUAUAUCACACAAGUUCUUUUCCAUCAGAUCUACCAUGCCAUAUAACAAGAUGAUUUAAGAAUGAACGUGUAAGUGUUCCUAGCAUGAAAAGCAUAGCAAAUUCGAGUGCCAGAACAUAACAGUGAAGUUGUACACUUUCAUGCGGAGUUGAGCUUCAAUACAAUACCAGAGCUCUAUCUUCAGCGAACUGGUAAUAUGAAAUGAUGAGCACGAACUUAACUUUGGUUGUUCAGUUCCAAUUAUGAUGCCCAAUUCAGUUGAUGUUACCACGGAGAAUUAUAUAACAAGCAUUGAGUGUUAAGUAGCUUGAAACCUUAUACUUAAGGUCACUUGUCUAUCUGAUUGUAAAUGACAGGAUGCAAUAUUACAUUAUCAUUACUUAAUUGAAGACUAUAAUUAUAUUUGCAAUUGUUAUUAAAGCAAUCUUCAUACACAAAUUCUAGAGCAUCAGAUUUCUCUUCGUAUAGAAGGUCCUAAAAUCAGUGAGCUCUAGAAACUUCAGGCAGAAAAUUAUCGCGAGGGCAUAAAAAUUGAAGUAUAAUUCGAAGAAUCAACCCAGGAAACUACAACCAGGAACCAUUUUAUUUCGGAUUCAGUUCCUAAUUUUUUUAAUAUUGACUAUCUAGUGUGGAAAAGAGUGAUUUAUAACCUCUGUGUCCAUAUCAGUAUGUCCCAGUUUCAGUCGUCAUCAUUUCAGUUACAGGUUCCUCACGUGCAAGCCCCAAAUCAGUAAGCUUCAGCUUCCUAUGGUUUGUAGUAAGCAAAAAAUUAUCUUCCCACACAAAACUUUUAUUAGGACAUCGUAAAAGCAUAAAAAGUGUGACAGAGCAGCUCUAACAUAAAGAAAAAAACAACUACUGGAAGAAGCUACAAGGUAAAGCAAGCAAAACAAAAUGGUAAGACUGAUAGGGAGAAAGAAACAAAUCAUGAGUGAACCAUGAACAGGUACUAAAGCAAAGCAGAUACCAUGGAUGUGAAAUCAGGAGCAUUCAAGAAUAUGAUGUAGAAACAUCUUACUGAAAAUUUUAGAUGAUUGACGGACCAACUACUGAAAAUCAAAGAAGCUGAACCAAAAAGAAGAAACUAAAAACAAUACCUUCGCAAGUAGUCAUUCAUUUUUUAAACCAGAUGCUAUGACGAUGAGCUGCAAAAGGUGAAACAAAUAGUACUCACACAAAUAAGAAAAGAGUGUUUUAUUGAAGUGUAGUAAAUAGUUAAAAGCAGAUGCCUCUAACCCACUUGAUUCUACAAGUAAAUAAGCAACAGAUCUUACUACUGAAUGCAAUGGUUGGUAUCCAAAUGGGAAAAGGGUACAUCGUCUUUAACCUGUUGACGCUAUGACAGAUUUAAUCACCAUUAGAAACAAUCCUGAUUAGAAAUGCAUUAGGAUUUCUAAUAAACCCCGUGAUGCAGCAAAUUGGUAUUAUGAAUCAAAAUGUUUAGAAAUCAUGUAAUUCCACCGCAACAAAUUUAUUAUGAAUAUUGAACAUAUUAACGAGAAGUGUCUUGGCAAAAAUAGAAUAAAGCAUUUAGGAUAAGAAUCUCACCUGCCAAUGGAACCUAAUCCAAUAAAUAUAGGUAAAGAUGAAUAAAAACUUCCCAUGACAGUGCUCCAAGUCAUCAUGAUUUGCACAUAGAGAAUCGGGCACAUUGCCUCCGCGUCUGCUCCCAGCUCCAUCAACGGACCACCACCAUAUCCCGCGGCAGCUCCAGCGGCGUCCCUUCCGAGGGGGGCGACCACAUUAGCGCCUAGCACAAGCAGCGCACACACGGACGUCCCCGCCACGACGUGCAAUAACAUCAGCCCAUCGGCGGCAGUGCGGGGCCUCCACAUUGCCGCGCAGCUCGAGCAGCCCAUGCACAACUUGAGCUAAAUACCCAUGCCUUUCCACUUGAUGAUAAAUAAAGUAUGGAUUCGUUAGUUAAUAGAUUUAAUCAAAUACGCCGAGUACAACAUAUGUUCAGUUUUAUCACAUCUCAUAUAUACAUUAUUGAUCUCAUCAAACAUUUUUGAAUGUUAACAUACAUAAACAAAAGGUCAUCUCAUAACUCCUAACAUACAUACAUGAUUGUUAGCACUGUCACUAUCCUAGGGGUAAAUGCACGCAUGCUAAAUUUCAUCAGUCACCAUAUUUGAUCAUGCAUUUCAAAUUCUUCAUAUUAUAUGUCAAAUGCGUGUAUGAAUUACAAGAUAUAGGGGGAGAUCUCCAUGAUUCUACUCUUCAAGUGUGCAUUGCUUCAAAAGAAAAUUCCUCACUAUGCACAUCUUCAGGGGGAGUUCUUCUAUAUCUUGCAAUCAAAUUCCUCAAUAUCAGUAUUUACACUCCAUAUGUUUAUCCCCAUUGAAAACUUAACCUAUAUUGUCAUCAAUCACCAAAAAGGGGGAGAUUGUAAGUGCAUCUAGUGCCCCUUAGUGAUUUUGGUGUAUUGAAGACUUAUAGGUUAAGGGACUAAUGUGUUUAUGAGUGUACACAUGUCUAUAAAUCUAUGAGGAGUUUGAUAUUUACAAAGAAAGUCGACCCCUAAAAAUGGAUGUCUUCGACUGAAGACUUUGGAUUUCUAAAGACUUUCUUAAGGCUUUGAAAGUGAAGAAAUUGGUGUGAUCUUGAAGACUUGGCAUUCAUCUGAGUAACAUGAAGCGUGAAGACUUUUGUUUUCAUAGUUUCAUUUUCUCUUUCUUGAGUCUUAGGAAACACCGUAUUGUUCAAGGGGGUCAAGGAAAUACUAAGGAAAAUUUCCAGGUUAUGCUCAACUCAAAAUCCAACACCUACCAAUCCCUUCGAGUGAAGCCAUUGGAAAUCUCAUACAGUUCAGUCAAUUUCUUCAGUGUGAGAGACGAAGUUCUUCUGGUCUCUUAGGAAUUUGAUCUGACUAAGGAGUUAGGAAUUCGCCAGUGUGGAUUGCCUACAUAGUGAGGAACAUGAUAGCCCUGAGGAAUUUGAUACUCAAAAUUCCGACCGUUGUUGUGCUAUGCGCCAGCUAUCCCAAAAUAUCUACCCACCUAACGGUCAUAUCAUUGAAGGGCAUUUAUGUCUUAUCAUGUCGGGCUGCUCCCGAGGCUAUAAAUAGCGGCCCCCUACAACCACUAGCUGGUUGGCUGCUCCGAGAGAAACUGACACUUGUCAUUUGAGAGCAUCACAUCCUCCGAGGACUUUGAGAGAAAAUCAUCAAGUGAGGAAAACCCAAACACCUACAAACCCAAAGUGAUUGAGAAUCACUGAAGAGAUUGAUUCUGCGUGGAUCCGACGCUUGUUACCUUUGAAGACUGUGCAUCUUCCAGACGGUUAGGCGUCAUGUUCUAGAUCAUCCAAGAGGAAAUUUUGGAUCACCGAGUGACCGAGUUUGUGAAGGUUCGGAAGUCACAUGAAGACUUACCACGAGUGAUUGGGCGAGGUCUGUGUGACCUUAGCUCAAGGGGAAUACGGUGAGGACUAAGUGUCAUGAGCUGCGUGUUCAGGACUCAGUGUUCGGGACAGUGUGUCCUCAGGUUUGAAUACCUAGCCGCCCUAACCAUACGUACAACUAUCACAUCAGUUGGAACUGGUCUACCAAAUCAUUGUCUUCACCAAGCUAACUGGUUCUAUUUCCUCAACCCUUUCAUUUCCUCAUUUCUAUGUUGUGUACUUGUUCAUAUCUGCUUGAAGACUUUGACUGAAGACUUUCUCAAUUUCCUCACUUCAAUUUCUUCAGUCUCUUUGUCUUCAUCAUGUUUUAUCCUGUGCGUACUGUCGGUGUCAAAACUGGCGGAUCUCGGGUAGGGGGUCCCGACCUAUGCGUCUAGGCUGGAUGGUAACAGGAGGCAAGGGACACAAAGUUUUACCCAGGUUCGGGCCCUCUCGAUGGAGGUAAAACCCUACGUCCUGCUUGAUUAAUAUUGAUGAUAUGGGUAGUACAAGAGUAGAUCUACCACGAGAUCAGAGAGGCUAAACCCUAGAAGCUAGCCUAUGGUAUGAUUGUUGAUGUGUAUGUUGUCCUACGGACUAAAACCCUCCGGUUUAUAUAGACACUGGAUAGGGUUAGGGUUACAUAGAGUCGGUUACAAUGGUAGGAGAUCUAAAUAUCCGCAUCGCCAAGCUUGCCUUCCACGCCAAGGAAAGUCCCUUCCGGACACGGGACAGAGUCUUCAAUCUUGUAUCUUCAUAGUCCAGGAGUCCGGCUGAAGGUAUAGUUCGGCCAUCCGAAAACCCCCUAAUCCAGGACUCCCUCAGUAGCCCCUGAACCGGGCUUCAAUGACGACGAGUCCGGCGCGCAGAUUGUCUUCGUCAGUGCAAGGCGGGUUCCUCCUCCAAGUACUUCAUAGAAGAUUUCGAACACAAAGAUAGUGUCCGGCUCUGCAAAAUAAGUUUCGACAUAUUGCCAUAGAGAGAAUAAUAUUUACACAAAUCUAAUCUGCUGAUGUAUUCUGUAGCGUGAGAUCACACCACGGCCAAGCUUUUAUUCGAACCGUUUUACUGUCCCAUCUCAGCGCGUUAUGCGAGGCGGUUUCCUUGGCAUGUCUUGUUAAAGCAGAGAUCGUGUCCCCUUAUUCCGGGAUUCUCAUCAAUACGGGCGUGGGUAACCCAACCGCGCCUUUGAUUACGGCGCUUGGGAGAUAAGCGAAUUUUACCAGGCUGGUGGGGACAUGUAGUUACGUCCACCCAUAUAAGGGGAUAAGGAUCCACCUUUUUACCUACGCCUUCUUCCUCCUUCGCCUAUCCAUUCUUGCGCACUCGAGCUCCAGCGCCCAAGUCCGCACUCCUCGCCUCGACCUUCUCCAGCCAUGUCCGGAGCAGGAGGCAAGUAGAUGGUCUCCUCCUUCACGGAGGGACACAUCAAAAAGCUGAGGAAGGACGGAUAUCUGUCUAACGACAUCGCGCACCGGCUCCCCGAAAAGGGGCAGCUCAUCCCCACCCCAAGGCCCCAUGAGAGGGUGGUGUUCCUCCCCCAUUUCCUCCGCGGACUGGGCUUCCCUCUCUACCCAUUUGUCCGGGGGCUCAUGUUCUACUACGGCCUUGAUUUCCACGAUCUGGCCCCGAAUUUUGUCCUCAACAUCUCGGCGUUCAUCGUCGUGUGCAAGGCUUUCCUCCGCCUCCGCCCCCAUUUUGGCCUAUGGCUCAAGACUUUCAACGUUAAGCCGAAGGUGGUGCGCGGCAACCAGGCAGAGUGCGGAGGUGCCAUGGUUGGCAAGAUGGCCAACAUCCUGUGGCUCGAGGGCUCCUUUGUAGAGACCCUGGAGGGGUGGCAAUCGGGGUGGUUUUACAUCACCGAGCCGCGCGACGCCGAAUGGGUCGCACCCCCUGAGUUUCAGUCCGGACCCCCAACGCGGCUCACGUCCUGGAAAGAGACGGGCCUGUCGUGGGGCAAAAAAGGAGAGCUGACCGGACUCCAAACAUGCGUCAAAACCCUGGAGGACAAGAAGCUCAAACUUGUCAACGUAGUCCAGGUUAUGCUCAUCCGCUUGAUCCUCCCGUGCCAACAACGGGCUUUCAACCUGUGGGAGUUUGACCCGGUGCGGCCCCAAACUUUGAGCAGGCUCUUCGACACGACGUACGAAGAUGCUUGGAAGGUGCUUUUUAAAGGCGUCGUGGCUCCCGCAUCCGCUACUGAGGAUCGCGGAUUCAGUGUAUCGGGUAUCAGUGUUUCAUAGUUUGACUCUAUGCGGAGUCUAAGCUCCCUUUCCUUUGACAUGACUGGCAGGUGACGUCCGGAUAGAUCAACUGUCCAGCUCCUUUGCCCGAAGGCCCAGCGGAUGCUCAAUUGGCGAAGCUGCUGGUUCCGGCACCCUAUGUGGUGCCGGAGAAGAAGGCCAAGAAGAAGGCCACGGGGACUCGAAAGAGUGCCCGACGCCCGAAGGUGUCGGAUUCAUCAUCCGACGAAUCCAAGACGCACUCCUCCCACGAAGAUGAGGAGGAGGAAGAAGAGACCCCUCCCCCUCCAGCGGGGAAAGGGAAGAAAAGAAAGGCCGCCCCAACUGGGGAGGCCAAGGGGUCCAAGAAGGCGAGGACCCCUCCUCCGGACUACUCCACCAAUGCCGACGACGGUGAAGAGGAGUGGCCGUCCUGGGCCAAGCCCCUGGCGAAAUCGUAAGUAUCCGGAUACCGGAGUGAUUUCAUAGUACUUGAUUAUUGCAAAGCUUUCCCUUAUGUCGGAUAUGUUUAUGCAGCCCACCCAAAGACCGGCUCGUCGCGUCGUCGAGCAGCUCACUGGACUCGUCGGACGUGAACUUGCUUCCGACGGCUUCCUCCCCCCGCCCUACGGACGACACCGAACUGUUGUCCCAGCAAGUUCCAAUCCGGGAGGAGGUGGUCCUGGAGGCGCCGCAAGGGGAUCUCCCGGACUCCAGGAGUAAAGGGGACGAAACCCCCCCAGGGCUCCAAGUCCGGCCCUGGGCCAGACACCGCUCCGAAACCUUCAAAGGUUCCAGAGUCCGGCGGGGGACCUCCUUCCAAGAGGAGCAAGCCCGCCGUGCCGGUGACCUCCGUCCAACCGGAGGCGCCAGACAAUCUGUUGGAGGCGCUCCAAGGCGCCUCCCUCGACGAGGGGCACCGCACUAUUAUGAGUGCGGUGGUCCAGAAGGUUCAGUCCGCCAAGAGCGGACUGACUGAAGCUUGUACAAGCCUUUUAACAGGCUUUGAGGUAAGUAAAGAAUGUGUAAAUAACAUUACCACAUAGGCAGUAGCCCCUGAUGCUCUGUUUGGCGUUCGGCAAGAAAAGCCGAAUAGAGGAUCAAAUAAAAUUCGCAGGAGUCUAACAAAAAGAAGUCAAUAUGCGUUUGCAGGCUUCCCUGCUGGCGUCCGCCGCACUAACUGCGGAAGUGGACGUGCUAAAGAAGGACCUCGAGCGGUCCGAGCUCGGACGUGCCAAGAAGCAGCUCAAGGAUAGUGAAGGUAAGAAAAUACCUUGUAUAAAUGUGUAUAAAAAGGCACAAUUGCGAAAAAUGACAGGAGUAUCGUGGCUAUUGUAGGGGCCACGUCUGAGGUGGCGACCCUGAAGCAAGCGCGGAGAAGAGGUCGGCCGCGGAGCGCACUAAGCGAGAAAAGUAUGAGGCCGAGGUUGGCAAGGUGCGGGAAGAGCUCCAGGCUCUCAUGGAAAAACAUGAGAGUUUGGAGCGUGACUCAAGGACGCGAGCGUCCGAGCUCGUGGCGGCUGCUGAAAGUGUCAAGGCUGCCAAGGUCGAAUCCCAGAAGACCCUCCAGGAGUUGGAUGAGGUGAAGAAGAUAGCGUCGGGUAAGGCAUUCUUUAUGCAAAGUAGACACAUAAGCGUGAGUUACUUGUUACUUACCCGAAUCCGGAGUUCUCCAGGCGCAUUCGCAGAUCUUCCCCGGAGUAUAUCUGAAGCUGCCGCAUUCUAUCGAGUCGAGGAGGGCAGCUCGACGGAGAAGGUGUUCUGGUCUCAGUACGCUGAGGCCGGACACCCCGUGCCCCUGAGCGACCAGUUGAAGCAUCUUGUUGAGCUCCACAAGGCGGCCGAACAGGCCAUGAGGGGCCUCACAGUUCGGCUAUGGCCUGGAGAGGCUCAGCCUUGGAGCUAUUUCGGGCUAGUGCGGCGGCUGGUGGAGGCCUGUCCAAGGCUUGAAGUCAUCAAGCGCUCCGUCUGCAUUGAGGGUGCCCGUAGGGCCUUUGCCCGUGCGAAGGUGCACUAGGGCAAGAUGGAUGUUGAGAAGCUUGUGAAGGACGGGCCACCGCGGGGGAAAGUGCAUCGCAAGCCCGAAAAUUAUUAUAAGGAUGUUCUAAGGGUGCCCGCCUUGUGGCGGAUGAAUGUUCUAUGGAUGUAAUUUUUGAAUAAAACUCGCUCGUUUUGUCAUGUGCGCUGAAAACUUGUUCAUAUGCGCUUAAGCAAUGCUGUAUGAAUUUAAAAUAUUACCUUAUGUGCGGCUGUUUAUCAAUUCUGAGAGAUGGCGAGUCGUCGGCUUCUGCCCCCGUGCCGCUAGUGCUGGGGUGUUCGGGGAUAAACCUGAGGGCUCUUUUUCCCAUGAUUGGGUCCUUCGAGGGAGGCGCUCAGCCCAACGAACAAGGCAAUCGGACUAUAAUGCGUGAACACUCUCACUUAGCCAUAGAAUUCUAUAAUUUUAAAUUUCGGCGAAGCCCCUGUUAUUCGGAAGACCGAGUUCGGGGCGCUAUCCACGCCUUGGCCGGAAAGAACCGGCUCCUCGCCCUAAGCGGCAUAAGUCUUUAAGGACUCGAAAAGACCUCUCGAACAGCGACCAGCUCUCGCCUCAUCAUGACGGUCAGUUUUAGCUUUCUCCACUGAGGUGCUCAACCCAGCUCAACUGGGGCACAAUCGCAGUGGUUCUCCUAGUGCUACCUUAGCCGAUAUAGCGGAACGUAAGUCACCAAAACAUAGGAGCCGGGCAAACCCAACUAUUGACCCAAGACAUGAUUCGGAGCCAAUGCAUAUAAUGCUAUAAGUUCGGGGUGCCGCACUUGUUAAAGUGUGCGGACUUCUCACACCAUGUUGUGGGGUAUUGAAGCCCCUAGCGUAUUUUGGCCGUACCAAAGUGUAACGGUGCAACAUGUCAUUAAGGAACAUAUAUAAGUAUAUAAAAAAGGUAAUGAAAAAAUAGACAAAAGCUAUGCAUUGUUUAUUAAAAAUAGCUACGAUCAAAGCAGAAUGAUACAAAUAAUGCGAUAAGCGAAAGGUUGGACUAUGUAACAUGUCCGCUCCAGGGGCAAGCUGCGGGAUAAUAUGCGAAACAGGUAUACUGCUUGUGAUAGAGACCACCUGCGAGUUCCAUAAUGCAGCGUGGCUUGUCUGCUUCCCUGGUUCUUGCAUCAUUUGUGCGGCAAUUGAACUACCGAACAGGCCUUCCGUAGAGUGGAGUCCUAAAAGUAAGUGAAAAUUAAAAAAUCGGCAGCCCCUGGUAUGGUUGAAGCCGUGUUUUGGGCAUACUGUGAUAGUGCCCCUCCCCCUGUGCACAUGGUAUCUCUAGAGCGUAGUUAUGUACACGAAGUACUGACGUCGCCUUUUUGCGAGGGUUGGGGUUGGGGCCGCAUUGCUACACCUGCUCGGAUCGUGCCAGGCGGUCUUGUUAUAGGUUACUCCGGGCGCGCUUGACGGUGUCCGGUCGUUUAUUGGCCGGACUGAAGAAAUGCCUGGAGAGGCUGCUUUGUACUUCCGCUGCAAGGGCCGUCGUGUGCUCCUCCGUUCGGAGGGAGCGUUCGGUGUUUCCGUUGACCGUAAUUACUCCUCGAGGGCCUGGCAUCUUGAGUUUAAGGUAUGGGUAAUGUGGUACUGCAUUGAACUUAGCGAAUGCGGUUCGCCCGAGCAGUGCGUGAUAACCACUGCGAAACGGGACUAUGUCGAAGAUUAGCUCCUCGCUUCGGAAAUUAUCCGGAGAUCCGAAGACCACUUCAAGUGUGACUGAGCCUGUACAGUUGGCCUCUACACCUGGUAUUACGCCUUUAAAGGUCUUUUUGGUGGGCUUAAUCCUCGAGGGAUCUAUGCCCAUUUUCCGCACUAUAUCCUGGUAAAGCAGGUUCAGGCUGCUGCCGCCGUCCAUAAGGACUCUAGUGAGAUGAAAUCCGUCAAUAAUUGGGUCUAGAACCAAUGCGGCGAAUCCGCCAUGACGGGUGCUAGUGGGGUGGUCCCUUCGAUCAAAGGUGAUCGGGCAGGAGGACCAUGGGUUGAACUUUGGGGCGACUGGCUCUAUCGUGUAUAUGUCCCUUAACGCGUGCUUCCGCUCCCUCUUGGGGAUGUGGGUUGCGUAUAUCAUGUUCACCGUCCGCACUUGUGGGGGAGAACCCUUCUGUCCCUUGUUGUUCGGCGGCCGGGGCUCCUCGUCGUCAUCUCUAUGCAGCCCCUUGUCUUCGUUUUCGGCGUUUAACUUGCCUGCCUGCUUGAACACCCAACAAUCCCUGUUGGUGUGAUUAGCCGGCUUUUCAGGGGUGCCAUGUAUCUGGCAUAAGCGGUCGAGUAUUCGGUCCAAAAUGGACGGGCCCCUAGGAUUCCUUUUGAAUGGCUUUUUCCGCUAGCCGGAUUUAGAGCCUCUGAAUCCGGCAUUAACUGUCGUAUCAUCUGCAUUGUCGCCGUUAAUGUGGCGCUUCUGUUUGUUGCGACACGACCUGCCACUACUGUCCCUGGUGUCCGAAUUACCAGGGUUCUUGGUUAUAUUGUUGCUACGAGCAAUCCAACUGUCUUCUCCCGCACAAAAGCGGGUCAUGAGUGUCGUGAGUGCUACCAUAGAUUUCGGCUUUUCCUGUCCAAGGUGCCGGGCCAGCCACUCGUCAUGGAUAUUGUGCUUGAAGCCUGCUAGGGCCUCGGCGUCCGGACAGUCGACUAUUUGAUUUUUCUUUGUUAGGAACCAUGUCCAGAAUUGCCUGGCCGAUUCGUCUGGCUGCUGAAUUACGUGACUUAGGUCAUCGGCGUCUGGGGGUCGCACAUACGUGCCCUGGAAAUUGUCGAGGAAUGCGGAUUCCAGGUCCUCCCAACAACUGAUUGAUCCUGUUGGCAAGUUGUUAAGCCAAUGCCGAGCUGGUCCUUUAAGCUUGAGUGGGAGGUAUUUGAUGGCGUGGAAAUCAUCGCCGCGGGCCAUGUGGAUAUGAAGGAGAUAAUCCUCAAUCCAUACCGCAGGAUCUGUUGUGCCAUCAUAUGAUUCGCUGUUUACGGGUUUGAAACCCUCGGGGAUUUGAUGAUCCAUUAUUUCGUCUGUGAAGCAGAGUGGGUGUGCGGCGCCUCUGUAUUGGGCUAUAUCAUGACGUAGCUCCAAUGAGCUUUGUCUACUGUGUUCGGCCCUGCCGAUUUUGUGGCCAGCGUGACGGGUGCCGUCUCGAGCCAUGGGGCGCCCACGCGAUCCGUAGAUCGAUCUUGUUUGUCUAGCCUUGUCCUCCAACAUGUCUCUUAAGUCCGGCGCAUAGUCCCGUGCCUUGGCACGAAGUGCGGCUUGAUUGGAGGGCCGAGAGGCCUCUCUAUCGCGGCCACGAGGUGGCCGGUCGGCCGCAUCAAGUGCUUCCUCCUCUAAUUGGGGUAGCAACCUGCGCUUUGGGUAGCUCUUGGAGGGGCAUUCGAGUUUAUGCUCUUCGGCCGCAAGGACUUCAGUCUAUCUGUCGACUAGAAAAUCUUGAUCAGCUCUAAGCUAUUGCUGUUUUUUCUUGAGGCUUCUUGCCGUGGCCAUAAGCCUGCGUUGAAAACGCUCUUGCUCGACGGGAUCCUCUGGCACGAUGAAUUCAUCGUCGUCGAGGCUUGCCUCAUCUUCGGAGGGAGGCAUAUAAUUAUCGUCCUCGACCUCUCUGUCUGCCGCUCUCUCAUGAGGGCUGGUUUCUCCAUCCUCCUGUGCUAAAUCUUGUUGGAGGGGGUUUUCUUUAGCGCUUUCCGGAGUAUUAUUAUCUCCCGUGCUGGAAUCACCGUGUUUGUUUUGGCGCGAUUUUGAUCGGUGCCGCUGAUGUCGGUGCUUAGGCUGUUUCUUGGAGGGGUCAUCCUCCGCUGUUCCAUCGCCAUCUCCCUCUUUUGGGGUGCCCACCAUGUAUAUGCCAUACGACAAGGUGGCUUUCCAGGGCCUAGUAGGCGCUGGUUCUUCAUCAUCUCCUUCAUCGGCGUCCAUACCGUUGAUGUCUUUGGAGUCGAAGUCGAGCAUGUCGGUUAAGUCGUCGACAGUGGCUACAAAGUGGGUGGUGGGUGGGCUUUGAAUUUCUUCAUCGUCCGAAUCCCAACCUUGCUGGCCGUAGUCUGGCCAGGGCUCUCCUGAUAAAGAGAGAGACUUCAAUGACUUCAGAAUAUCGCCAAAAAGCGAGUGCUGAAGGAUGUCCGCGGCAGUAAACUCCAUGAUCGGCGCCCAAUCGGAUUCGAUUGGCCGGGCCGCGGAGGGUUCGGAGUCCGGAAUGGAGUCCGGCUCCUUGGAGUCACGAGUCUCGCAGAGUGCGGGGCUGGUUUUCCACUCAAUCACCGUUGGGAUCACAGCCCCCGAGGCGGCGUCCAACCGCCCAUCCUCGAUCGGCGCAGUUGGCUCCGAAUUAAGGAUCGGAGCUGAUGCGGGUGCGGCCUCCAGGGCACUGUUCAGUGGAAGAGCUAGAUCAUGCUCGUCGGGACAGUGCGGCACGCUCGGCAGUGGCUCGAAUCCGUCGAGGAUCAAGUCCCCGCGGAUGUCAGCCGUGUAGUUUAAACUUCCAAAUCUGACCUGACGUCCAGGGGCGUAGCUUUCAAUCUGCUCCACGUGGCCAAGUGAAUUGGCCCGCAGUGCGAAACGGCCGAAGACGAAGAUUUGUCCGGGGAGGAAGGUCUCACCCUGGACUGCGUCGCUAUCGAUGAUCGUAGGAGCCAUCAAGCCUGACGGCGACGACACAGAGGAACUCUCAAUGGAAGCACUAAUGUCGGUGUCAAAACCGGCGAAUCUUGGGUAGGGGGUCCCGAACUGUGCGUCUAGGCUGGAUGGUAACAGGAGGCAAGGGACACAAAGUUUUACCCAGGUUCGUGCCCUCUCGAUGGAGGUAAAACCCUAUGUCCUUCUUGAUUAAUAUUGAUGAUAUGGGUAGUAUAAGAGUAGAUCUACCACGAGAUCAGAGAGGCUAAACCAUAGAAGCUAGCCUAUGGUAUGAUUGUUGAUGUGUAUGUUGUCCUACGGACUAAAACCCUCCGGUUUAUAUAGACACCGGAUAGGGUUAGGGUUACAUAGAGUCGGUUACAAUGGUAGGAGAUCUAAAUGUCCGCAUCGCCAAGCUUGCCUUCCACACCAAGGAAAUUCCCUUCCGGACACGGGACGGAGUCUUCAAUCUUGUAUCUUCAUAGUCCAGGAGUCCGGCUGAAGGUAUAGUUCGGCCAUCCGAACACCCCCUAAUCCAGGACUCCCUCACUUACGCUUUUUGUACUCUGUGUCCAUUUGCAUUUCAUCAUGAUAUCUCUGUUUAUGUUAUGUUAUGUAUGCAUCUGAGUACUUAUUCCGCUGCAAGUAGUUCUUCGCAUAGGAAUUUCCUCACCUUGAAAUUCCUCAGUGAAGAAUUCAUAAAAAUCGCCUAUUCACCCCCCCCCCCUCUAGUCGAUAUAACGCACUUUCACCGUUGCUUUACUCUCCCCCACUUCUAAAACAAUUAUCGAAAAGAUUUGCCUUUUCUUCGCCCUUCUUUCGUUCGUCUUCUCCUCCUGCUUUUCUUGCUCCUAUGGCUAGUCCUCCCAUCCUUGUUAGCACUCCCGAUAAUGAGGUUCUUAACUUGAAAAAAGGGAAGGAGAGAAUUUAAAAGAUAUUUGGCAUUGAAUUUGCAGUGCCCAAAAUAGAUCUACUCAAAAGCAAUCUACUUCCGUCCUUCUUUGCAAUUUUUAUGUAGGCGUUACUCCUUGGAAUAGAUAUGUUCUAGGUACCAUUACUGGGGGGAAUUUCUUGGGGAGCCAUACUUUCGACUCUUACAAUGCCAUGAUAGAUUUGCUAGGCCCACCACCUCUUUUGGUUAAUGUAAGUGUGUUAACCUUGGAACAUGUAAUGCAAAGAUUGGAUAUUACUGAAAAUAAAAUUUCUACAGUGGAGUUGAUUGAAAAUUUGGAUAAAAAGAUUCAUAAUCAGAUUACUCAAUACGGAUCUAAGGUAGGAGUUACUCUAAAGAACCUUAAGGUAAAGGAACCCAUAGUUAAUGAAAAGCACUAGUAGAAAAAGGGUCAAACGUGAAGCACAUUAGUGCUGGUUUGAAUUUGAGCCGACACUAAUGGUACCAUUAGUGCCGGUUCGAACGACUAUGCAUUAAUGUCGGUUCGUGUUGAACCUUUAGUACCAGUUCGUGCCACGAACCGGUACUAAAGGGGUGAUGGCAGGCUGGCGUCAGGCUGGGGCCCCACAAUCACCUUUAGUACCGGUUCAUGGCACAAACCGGUACUAAAGGGCUAACCUUUAGUACCGGUUUGUGCCGCGAACCGGUACUAAAGGGGUCUGACCUAUAGUACCGGUUUGUGACACAAACCGGCACUAUAGGGCAAUUUUCAAACUCUNNNNNNNNNNNNNNNNNNNNNNNNNNNNNNNNNNNNNNNNNNNNNNNNNNNNNNNNNNNNNNNNNNNNNNNNNNNNNNNNNNNNNNNNNNNNNNNNNNNNNNNNNNNNNNNNNNNNNNNNNNNNNNNNNNNNNNNNNNNNNNNNNNNNNNNNNNNNNNNNNNNNNNNNNNNNNNNNNNNNNNNNNNNNNNNNNNNNNNNNNNNNNNNNNNNNNNNNNNNNNNNNNNNNNNNNNNNNNNNNNNNNAGAAAAUGAUAAAAACUUCAAAAAAUAAAAUCCUUCAAGAGGUAGUUAUAUUACUACAUCUACUAGUUAGGAAAAUUUGAAAACUUAAAUUUGGACAUGUUUUGCAAAAAGUGUAGGGAAAAUGUAAAAUGGCUAUAACUUUUGCAUACGAUGUCGGAAAAAAACGUAUAAUAUAUCAAAAAAUUCAGCACAAAAAUCUGCAUCCGUUGGAGACGGCCUAUGGCUUGUUUGCAAUUUUUUAGAAUCCUCAAAUUCCAAAAGGAAUAAAAGAUAUGGUCAAAUUUAAGUUUUUUUAAAUUUUUGUUGUUAAAUCCGGUCAAACUACUUAUUCAAGAAGUAUUAGCGUUACUACAUAAUUAUUCAAGAAUAUUUGUGUUACUAAAUAAUUAUUUCAAUUUUUUGAGUUUUGUUCAAAUCUGGUCAAACUGUGGUCAAACUGUGGUCAAACUAUGGUCAAACUGUGGUCAAACUAUGGUCAAACUUAUUCAAGAAAUAUUAGUGUUACUAAAUAAUUACUGUUUUUUAGAAUAAUAGUUUCAAACUCAAACAGUGAAAUGUGUGACUUCAUGCUCAAGCUAAACUUCUGAGGGUUAAUAGGAUUGGCAUCUUACUAUUGUUAGGAAAACAACAAGUGCAGACUUGGAAACGAAGGAGAAUAGAACCCGAAAGUUAAACAACAAGUGUUAAGCUCGGGCUGUAGUAGUGAGAGGGAUGGGUGACCGGUCGGGAAGUUAGAUGAUUUGGAAUGAGUGAUCCACACUUGAGCAGUUAAGAGAGGUGAUUAGAGACUAAAUCACCAAAUAAUUCAUAAAAAUUAAAAAUUAAAAAAUCAAAAACAAAUUUCCAAAAUUUUCAAAAAAAAAUUCAAAAAAAAAAACCUUUAGUACCGGUUGGUAACACCAACUGGUACUAAAGGUCCCCCAUACCAGGGCGCGAGCUCACGCCACGUGGUGGCACUUUAGCGCUGGUUCGUGCCGAACCGAUACUAAAGGGGGGGGGCCUUUAGUGCCCACCAAUUAGUGUCGGUUAUGGAACCGGCACUAAAGGCCCUUACGAACCGGUUUUAAAGCUCCGUUUUCUACUAAUGAGAUAGAUCAAGAUUCUACUAGAACUGGCAAACUAGAAGAUAUUGUUACCAACUUGGGUUCUACUUUUUCCUCCAUUCAAACUACCCCAAAUCUUCCUCCUAAGAUUGCUAAUCUUGCUUAUGUUCCUAAAUAUAAGGGUGUAUCUUCUAGUAAAAACGAUGAAGAUCUCAAAUCAAUUAGUAUGCACCCCAAUUUUCUCGAUAUUAUUAAAGAACCUAUUGUCACGAAUGAAUUUCUUGAUUUCUUGCUUAGGAGUUUGAUCAUUUAUAAAACUAAAAAAUCCCCUAAGAUUCUCAUUGAAGAAUUGCAUACCGAAGAUGAGAAUACUUAGAUCUAUUCGUGUUUUAUGCCUAGCUAGGGGCGUUAAACAAUAGCGCUUGUUGGGAGGCAACCCAAUUUUCUUUUUCUUUUUUCUUUUUAGGUUCUAUUUUGCAAUAAAUAUUUCUUCUAGCCUCUAUUUAGAUGUGGUUUUAUGUUUAAAUUGGUGUCUAUGCCAAGUAAGACCUUUGGGAUAGCUUACGGUGAUAGUUGAUUUGAUCCUGCUAAAAAACAAAAAAAAUUGUGCCCAGGAGAUUAGUUUUAAUUUUUUACAGAGGUGCGAUAAAAUACUAAUUAUUUUUGCAGAUGAUUAAUAAACAAAUUGCCUAGGACUUCCCAAUUUCUCAGGAUUUUUGGAGUUACAUAAGUAUUCAACAUAUCCAGAUUGCUACAGAUUGUUCUAUUUUUGACAGAUUCUGCUUUUCGCGUGUUGUUUGCUUAUUUUCAUGAAUCCAUGGCUAGUAUCGGGGGUAUGAACCAUGGAAAAGUUGGAAUACAGUAGAUAUUACACCAAUAUAAAUAAAUAAUGAGUUCACAACAGUACCAAAGUGGUGCUUUAUUUUCUUAUACUAACGGAGCUUACGAGAUUUUCUGUUGAAGUUUUAUGUUGUGAAGUUUUCAAGUUUUGGGUAAGCAUUUGAUGGACUAUGAAAUAAGGAGUGGAAAGAGCCUAAGCUUGGGGAUGCCCAAGGCACCUCAAGGUAAUAUUCAGGGAGGCCAAACGGCCUAAGCUUGGGGAUGCCCCGGGAAGGCAUCCCCUCUUUCGUCUUCAUCAAUCGGUAACUUUACUUGAGGCUAUAUUUUUAUUCACCACGUGAUAUGUGUUUCACUUGGAGCAUCUUGUAUUAUUUGAUUCAUUGCUUUCUAGUUUGCCACAAUCAUACUUGUUGUACAAACCUUUUGGGAGAGACACGCAUGAAUUGUGAUUUAUUAGAAUGCUCUAUGUGCUUCACUUAUAUCUUUUGAGCUAGGCAAUUUUGCUCUAGUGCUUCACUUAUAUCUUUUUAGAGCACGAUGGUGGUUUUAUUUCAUAGAACUUGAUGAACUCUUGUACUUCACAUUUAUUACAUUGAGAGCCUUUAGAAUAGCAUGGUAAUUUGCUUUGGUUAUAAAAUUAGUCCUAAUAUGAUAGGCAUCCAAGAGGGAUAUAAUAAAAACUUUCAUAUAGAGUGCAUUGAAUACCAUGAGAAGUUUGAUUCCUUGUGAUUGUUUUGAGAUAUGAAGAUGGUGAUAUUAUAGUCAUGCUAGUGAGUAGUUGUGAAUUUGAGAAAUACUUGUGUUAAGGUUUGUGAGUCUCGUAGCAUGCACGUAUGGUGAACCGUUAUGUAAUGAAGUUGGGGCAUGAGAUGUUUUUUUAUUGUCUUCCUUAACGAAGUUGAACCGCGAUGGUCUUUUCCUACCAAUCUAUCCCCCUAGGAGCAUGCGUGUAGUACUUUGUUUUGAUGACUAAUAGAUUUUUGCAAUAAGUAUGUGAUUUCUUUAUGACUAAUGUUGAGUCCAUGGAUUAUACGCACUCUCACAUUUCCGUCAUUGCUAGCCUAUCUAGUACCGCGCAACUCUCGCCAGUACCAUACAACCACCACAUAUCCUUCCUCGAAACAACCACCAUGCCGAGAUAUAUUGCCAUGCAACUUUCCACUGUUCUGUCUAUUAUGACACGUUCCAUCAAUGUCAUAUUGCUUUGCAUGAUCAUGGAGUUGACAUCGUAUUUGUGGCAAAGCCACCGUUCAUCAUUUUUUAUACAUGUCGCUCUUGAUUCAUUGCACAUCCCGGUACACUACCGGAGGAAUUCACAUAGAGUCAUUUUUUUCUAGUAUCGAGUUGUAACUAAAUAAAAGUGUGAUGAUCUUCACUACUAGAGCAUUGUCCCAUGUGAGGAAAUAAAAAAAGGGAGAAAGUCCAAAUAAAAAAAUAAGAAGGCCCAAAAAAAGAAAAAAAAAAUGAGAGAAAAAGAGAGAAGAGACAAUGUUACUAUCCUUUUUGCCACAUUUGUGCUUCAAAGUAGCACCAUGAUCUUCAUGAUAGAGAGUCUCCUAUGAUAUCACUUUCAUAUACUAGUGGGAAUUUUUCAUUAUAGAGCUUGGCUUGUAUAUUCCAACGAUGGGCUUCCUCAAAAUGCCCUAGGUCUUCAUAAGCAAGCAAGUUGGACGCACACCCACUUAGUUUUCUUUUUUUGAGCUUUCAUAAACUUAUAGAUCUAGUGCAUCCAUUGCAUGGCAAUCCCUACCCACUAACAUUGAUAUCUAUUAAUUGGCAUCUCCAUAGCCCAUUGAUAUGCCUAGUUGAUGUGAGACUCUCUCCUUCUUCUUUUUCUCCACAACCACUGUCUAUUCCACCUAUAGUGCUAUGUCCAUGGCUCACGCUCAUGUAUUGCGUGAAAGUUGAACAGGUUUGAGAACAUCAAAAGUAUGAAACAAUUGCUUGGCUUGUCAUCGCGGUUGUGCAUGAUUUGAAUAUUUGUUAUGAUGAAGAUGGAGCAUAGCCAGACUAUAUCACUUUGUAGGGAUAAGCUUUCUUUGGCCAUGUUAUUUUGAGAAGACAUAAUUAUUUUGUUAGUAUGCUUGAAGUAUUAUUGUUUUUAUGUCAAUAUUAAACUUUUGUUUUAAAUCUUAUGGAUCUGGACAUUCAUGCCACAAUAAAGAGAAUUACAUGGGUAAAUAUGUUAGGUAGCAUUCCACAUCAAAAAUUCUAUUUUUAUCAUUUACCUACUCGAGGACGAGCAGUAAUUAAGCUUGGGUAUGCUUGAUUUGUAUCCAAAGUAAUAAUUUUUUAUUGUUCCAUGCUAUUAUAUUAUCUAUUUUGGAUGUUUUAUAUGCAUUAAUAUGCUAUUUUAUAUGAUUUUUGCGACUAACCUAUUGACCUAGAGCCCAGUGCCAGUUCUUGUUUUUCCUUGUUUUAGAGUUCCAAAAGGGUGGAGGGCGCGCCCCCCGACCAGAAGACACCCAGGAGACUUGGAGUGCAAGUCAGAAGAGCCACGAGGCGGCCACAAGGGUGGAGGGCGCGCCCCCCGACCUUGUGGGCCCCUCACUGACCCCCUGACCUAGAUCUUCCCCCUAUAUAUUCUCAAAUACAUUGAAAAAUUCUAGGGGAGCCACGACGCCACUUUUCCACCGCCGCAACCUUCUGUACCCAUGAGAUCCCAUCUCGGGUCCUUUUCCGGCAUCCUACCGGAGGGGGAUUCGAUCACGGAGGGCUUCUACAUCAACAUCAUUGCCCCUCCGAUGAAGCGUGGGUAGUUUACCACUAAUCUACGGGUCCAUAGUUAGUAUCUAGAUGGGUUCUUCUCUCUCUUUGAUUCUCAAUACCAUGUUCUCCUCGAUGUUCUUGGAGAUCUAUUCGAAGUAAUACUCUUUUGCGUUGUGUUUGCCGAGAUCCGAUGAAUUUUGGAUUUAUGAUCAACUUAUCUAUGAAUAUUAUUUGAAUCUCCUUUGAAUUCUUAUAUGCAUGAUUUGAUAUAUUUGCAAGUCUCUUCGAACUAUCGAUUUGGUUUGGCCAACUAGAUUGGUUUUUCUUGCAAUGGGAGAAGUGCUUAGCAUUGGGUUCAAUCUUGCGUUGUCCUUUCCCAGUGAUAGUAGGGGCAGCAAGGCACGUAUUAUAUUGUUUCCAUCGAGGAUAACAAGAUGGGGUUUUCCUUAUAUUGCUUGAGUUAAUCCCGCUACAUCAUGUCGUAUUACUUAACGCGUUACUCUAUUCUUAUGUACUAAAUACUCUAGAUGCAGGCAUGAGUCGGUCGAUGUGUGGAGUAAUAGUAGUAGAUGCAGAAUCGCUUAGGCCUACUUGACACGGACGUGAUGCAUAUAUUCAUGAUCAUUGCUUUAGAUAUCGUCAUAACUUUGCGCUUUUCUAUCAAUUGCUCGGCAAUAAUUUUUCACCCACCGUAAUAAUUUCUAUCUUGAGAGAAGCCUCUAGUGAAACCUAUGGCCCCCGGGUCUAUUUUCCAUCAUAUAAGUUUCUGAUCUAUAAUUUUAGUCAAUUUACUUCCUUUGCAAUCUUUUACUCUCCGUUACAUGAACCAAAAAUACCAAAAAUAUUACUUUACCGUUGAUCCAUCUAUAUCAGAUCUCACUUUGCAAUUAACCGUGAAGGGAUUGACAACCCCUUUGUCGCGUUGGGUGCAAGUUGGUGUUUGUUUGUGCAGGUAUUCGGUGGCUUGUUGUGUUGUCUCCUACUGGAUUUAUACCUUGGUUCUCAAAACAGAGGAAAAUACUUACUCUACUUUGCGGCAUCACCCUUUCCUCUUCAAGGGAAAAAUUAACGCAAGCACAAGAGGUAGCAGUAUGCAAGUCAAGGACUACCAGAAUCUACUCUAAAAAUAUUUUCUUAAUUUAGAUACAAAGGAAUCAGUGGUAGAUGGGUUGAUCUAUAUUUUGAAUAAACAUCCAACUUUGGAUAGAAUUAAACUGAAAAAAUAGUUUGGCAAUACAUUCUAGUAAAAUAGGCAUGUCCUAGUAAUAAGAUGCAUGUGCCUCUUCACAGAAACCUUCCAUAUAGUUUCUCCAGCGAUUGACGAGAAAUUUCGUAUUGAUUGACGAAAUAUGCGGUCUUAGGAAGUAAAUGUAAAAGUUUUAGAUAUAUACCAAAGUUAUAGCUGGGCACAAUUAAGUUUGGCCCCGAAAUCUAUCAUAUCCUCCAUCGACAUGGUUCCAGCUUCCUCAUCCUAGCAAGCCCGCCACUAUAAAUCCACCCUACGUUCCUUGCUUCUGACUCACCCAAACUAGCAAUUUUCCUUCCUUUGCAGAUUUUCCCCUUAGCUGACAAUGGCUCGCAAGAAGGUGGCCCUCCGGUAUAUCCGCAAUGACUCGACGCGGCUCAAUACCUUGAAGAAGCGUACCAAGAACCUGAUGAAGAAGGCCGGUGAGGUGGCCACCUUGUGCAAUGCCAAGGCCUGCGUGCUGGUGUAUGGUGAGGGCGCAAUGGUGCCAGAGGUGUUCCCAUCCCAUGCCGAGGCGAUGGCUAUCCUAAGUCGGUUCGAGAGCAUGCCAGAGGUGCCACAGCUAAAGAAGAAGAUGGACCAGGAGACCAUUCUUAGCCGGUGCCUCAUACAACUCCGACAUCAGGUAGAGAAGAUUAGGUGCGAGCGCGAGGAUCGUGAGGCCAGGAUUCUCUUGCACAAGGCCAUGGUCAGUGGACACCUCCCAGGAAACAUCGAGGAGCUCACAACCAUGGCCCGGAAGUUAGAGUUAAUCCUUAAGAGCCUGAGGGAGCGCAUCACGAAAAUAACUGGGCAGCCGCCAGUCUACCAAGCCCAGGCGCCAUAUGUCACCGGCGGCAUGGACAUGGGGUCUCCGAUGUAUCAGGCAUUGCGACAGCAGCAGGAGGGAUGGCUUGACAUGGCGAGGUCCCAAGGGAACCCCGACACCCAGAUCUACAAUGGACACAGUACUAGUCUAUGAAUAUGUAAGAAGGGAGAGGAAUUCCACAGGUAGUGCAUGACCAGCUACAUGUGUCAUCUUUUUUUAUUUAGUUUUGGAAUGGUUAAUAAGAUGGAUGGAUUACCUGCAAAAAAAUAAGAUGUGUACAUGACAUAUCAUCAAUAAGAUCAGACAUUUGGUCUCAAUGUUCCUGUUUUAGUAAAGGCAAUUUUAGUCAUGGUUAUUGUUAUUAUGGAUCUCUUCCAUGCUCUAUUUGUUUCAUGAGUUAGUUGCAACAUUGAGGUUGUACCUAUUCUUUAUGUCAACUUGUUUUGUCAAGUUUAAUUUUUUGUUGACUCUUAGCACUGCAUCAAGUGAUCCAACUAUGAAGAGUUACCUCUUGGCUUCUGCAUAGCAAGAUGCACACUGCCUAUGCAGAUCCUUAAUAGUUGUAGGGAAACCUGAGCACAUGUAUUGUUUGAGGAAACCUCUUGUGUACUAAAACAUUUGCACUACUACAUUUCAUUCUCGAAACGUGUGAUUAUAACAUUGAGUGCUAGGACGUUGGCCUCUACACCAGCAACGUCUUGGGAAAGUUUCACAAGCAGGUGACUGUGUUGACCAGUUUCAUCAUUAAUCAAGUCCCAUGCCACUCCGGAGAGAGCAUUGUGUUUGAGCUAUACUCAAGCUACUAUCAGAGCCCCAAACUCUAUUGGGCGCAUCCUGUGAUGGGAGAUGCAGUAUAUGAAUGCAGUUCCCACUACUUUGAAAAUGAAUGGUGAGAUUUGUGCACACAUAAUUAGGCCGAUGGUGCACCCAAAUGUGUUCAUUCCACUGUGAUACUUUCUAGGGAGGUGGUCAAAAGCAGCAACAGCAAACGUCGAAGGCGUUGGGCACCUGCUGAACUUUGGACUGACUGAAUGGGUAUUAUAACUUUUUUCCCCAAAACAAUUCCCACUCAGCCUGUCCCACCUAUUGCUAUUUGCAGGACCCUAGGAGAACUAGCAAACAAGAGGAGAAGUGUAUAUAAUAUGCAAAAUUACAACAUCGUGUACCAUAGUCACUCUUUAUAUAUGUAGUCCUUUCUAGAACAAAUCCAGCUCAAAGGAUUUCCAUUUUCAAAGCACAUGAAAUAAAAUGCACUAGCAUGUGUCAAGUACAUUAUGGAUGCUGAAAUGCAUAUAAUGUGGAUGCAAAUAGAAACAUAACCUCGAAACAUCAGUAAGUAGUAGCGCUACCUCAAUCGAGCUAUUUUCUUAGUGUAUGCCUAUUUUCUAAGUAUCGUUUUUCCGGUACUCGACAAACGCGUCAUUUCAUGAGUGCGAGAAAGAAAAUACUCAGAAACCACAAGACACACGACAAGCAUGGGCCUUCACUAAGUGGCACAAAGAAAAAGACUCGGCAAAGAGAAAACACACGGCAAAAGCUGAAUAGGGCACUUGGCAAAUCCCAGAGAUAUGUGCCCUUUACCGCCGCAAAUGAUUGUUGGGGAACGUAGUAAAUUCAAAAAAAAUUCCUAUGCACACGCAAGAUCAUGGUGAUGCAUAGCAACGGGAGGGGAGAGUGUGAUCUACGUACCCUUGUAGAUCGACAACGGAAGCGUUUGGUUGAUGUAGUCGUACGUCUCCACGGCCCGACCGAUCAAGCACCGAAACUACGGCACCUCCGAGUUUUAGCACAUGUUAAGCUCGAUGACGAUCCCCGGACUCUGAUCCAGCAAAGUGUCGGGGAAGAGUUCCGUCAGCACGACAGCGUGGUGACGAUCUUGAUGUACUACUGUCGCAGGGCUUCGCCUAAGCACCGCUACAAUAUUAUCGAGGACUAUGGUGGAAGGGGGCACCGCACACGGCUAAGAAUAUGAUCAUGUGGAUCAACUUGUGUUCCUCUGGGGUGCCCCUGCCUCCGUAUAUAAAGGAUCUAGGGGGGGGGGGUGCGGCCGGCCUAGGAGAGGCGCGCCAGGAGGAGUCCUACUCCCUCUGGGAGUAGGAUUCCCCCCCCUCCCCCAAUCCUAGUUGGAAUAGGAUUCGCAGAGGGGGGAAAAGAGAGAGGGGGGCCGGCCCCCUCUCCUUGUCCUAUUCGGACCAAGGGAGGGGAGGGGCGCGCGGCCCAUCUUGGGGUGCCCCUUCUCUUUUCCACCAAGGCCCACUAAGGCCCAUAUAGCUCCCGGGGGGUUCCGGUAACCUCCCGGUACUCCGGUAAAAUCCCGAUUUCACCCGGAACACUUCUGAUAUCCAAAUAUAGGCUUCCAAUAUAUCAAUCUUUAUGUCUCGACCAUUUCGAGAUUCCUCGUCAUGUCCGUGAUCACAUCCGGGACUCCGAACAACCUUCGGUACAUCAAAACGUAUAAACUCAUAAUAUAACUAUCAUCGAAACCUUAAGCGUGCGGACCCUACGGGUUCGAGAACAAUGUAGACAUGACCGAGACAUGUCUCCGGUCAAUAACCAAUAGCGGAACCUAGAUGCUCAUAUUGGUUCCUACAUAUUCCAUCGGCCAGACCGCAUAACAACAUACGUUGUUCCCUUUGUCAUCGGUAUGUUACUUUCCCGAGAUUCGAUCGUCGGUAUCCAAUACCUUGUUCAAUCUCGUUACCGGCAAGUCUCUUUACUCGUUCUGUAAUACAUCAUCUCGCAACUAACUCAUUAGUUACAUUGCUUGCAAGGCUUAAGUGAUGUGCAUUACCGAGAGGGCCCAGAGAUACCUCUCCGAUGAUCGGAGUGACAAAUCCUAAUCUCGAAAUACGUCAACCCAACAUGUACCUUUGGAGACACCUGUACAGCACCUUUAUAAUCACCCAGUUACGUUGUGACGUUUGGUAGCACACAAAGUGUUCCUCCGGCACACGGGAGUUACAUAAUCUCGUAGUCAUAGGAACAUGUAUAAGUCAUGAAGAAAGCAAUAGCAACAUACUAAACGAUCGGGUGCUAAGCUAAUGGAAUGGGUCAUGUCAAUCAGAUCAUUCAACUAAUGAUGUGAUCCCGUUUAAUCAAAUGACAACUCUUUGUCUAUGGUUAGGAAACAUAACCAUCUUUGAUUAACGAGCUAGUCAAGUAGAGGCAUACUAGUGACACUUAGUUUGUCUAUGUAUUCACACAUGUAUUAUGUUUCCGGUUAAUACAAUUCUAGCAUGAAUAAUAAACUUUUAUCAUGAUAUAAGGAAAUAAAUAAUAACUUUAUUAUUGCCUCUAGGGCAUAUUUCCUUCAGUCUCCCACUUGCACUAGAGUCAAUAAUCUAGAUUACACAGUAAUGAUUCUAACACCCAUGGAGCUUUGGUGCUGAUCAUGUUUUGCUCGUGGAAGAGGCUUAGUCAACGGGUCUGCUAUAUUCAGCUCCGUAUGUAUCUUGCAAAUCUCUAUGUCUCCCACCUGGACUAGAUCCCGGAUGGAAUUGAAACGUCUCUUGAUGUGUUUGGUCCUCUUGUGAAAUCUGGAUUCCUUUGCCAAGGCAAUUGCACCAGUAUUGUCACAAAAGAUUUUCAUUGGACCCGAUGCACUAGGUAUGACACCUAGAUCGGAUACGAACUCCUUCAUCUAGACUCCUUCGUUUGCUGCUUCCGAAGCAGCUAUGUACUCCGCUUCACAUGUAGAUCCCGCCACGACGCUUUGUUUAGAACUGCACCAACUGACAGCUCCACCGUUUAAUGUAAACACGUAUCCGGUUUGCGAUUUAGAAUCGUCCAGAUCAGUGUCAAAGCUUGCAUCAACGUAACCUUUUACGAUGAGCUCUUUGGCACCUCCAUAUACGAGAAACAUAUCCUUAGUCCUUUUCAGGUAUUUCAGGAUGUUCUUGACCGCUGUCCAGUGAUCCACUCCUGGAUUACUUUGGUACCUCCCUGCUAUACUUAUAGCAAGGCACACAUCAGGUCUGGUACACAGCAUUGCAUACAUGAUAGAGCCUAUGGCUGAAGCAUAGGGUACACCUUUCAUUUUCUCUCUAUCUUCUGCAGUGGUCGGGCAUUGAGUCUGACUCAACUUCACACCUUGUAACACAGGCAAGAAACCUUUCUUUGCUUGAUCCAUUUUGAACUUCUUCAAAAUCUUGUCAAGGUAUGUGCUUUGUGAAAGUCCAAUUAAGCGUUUUGAUCAACCUCUAUAGAUCUUUAUGCCUAAUAGGUAAGCAGCUUCACCGAGGUCUUUCAUUGAAAAACUCUUAUUCAAGUAUCCCUUUAUGCUAUCCAGAAAUUCUUUAUCAUUUCCAAUCAGUAAUAUGUCAUCCACAUAUAAUAUCAGAAAUGCUACAGAGCUCCCACUCACUUUCUUGUAAAUACAGGCUUCUCCGAAAGUCUGUAUAAAACCAAAUGCUUUGAUCACACUAUCAAAUCGUUUAUUCCAACUCCGAGAGGCUUGCACCAAUCCAUAAAUGGAUUGCUGGAGCUUGCACACUUUGUUAGCUCCCUUUGGAUCGACAAAACCUUCUGGUUGCAUCAUAUACAACUCUUCUUCUAGAAAUCCAUUCAGGAAAGUAGUUUUGACAUCCAUCUGCCAAAUUUCAUAAUCAUAAAAUGCGGCAAUUGCUAACAUGAUUCGGACAGACUUAAGCAUCGCUACGGGUGAGAAGGUCUCAUCGUAGUCAACCCCUUGAACUUGUCGAAAACCUUUUGCGACAAGUCGAUCUUUGUAGACAGUAAUAUUACCGUCAGCGUCAGUCUUCUUCUUGAAGAUCCAUUUAUUCUCAAUUGCUUGCCGAUCAUCGGGCAAGUCAACCAAAGUCCAUACUUUGUUCUCAUACAUGGAUCCCAUCUCAGAUUUCAUGGCUUCAAGCUAUUUUGCGGAAUCUGGGCUCACCAUCACUUCUUCAUAGUUCGUAGGCUCAUCAUGAUCUAGUAGCAUGAUUUCCAGAACAGGAUUACCGUACCACCACUACUAGAAAUACCACUACUAAUGGCGCACCUAAUAUGGCCAUUAAUGGCGCAUCACUUGUGCGCCAUUGAUAGCACGCCAUUAGUAAUUUUUACUAAUGGCGCACCACCUGGUGCGCCAUUAGUAUCUGGUAUACUAAUGGCGCACCACCUGGUGCGCCAUUAGUAUAUGCGAGGGUGCGCCAUUAGUAUGCCUCCCAGGGGGCAUGUAUACCCAGGUGCUUUGGCAUACUAAUGGCGCACCACCUCUGGAUGCGCCAUUAGUAACCGCAGCAUACUAAUGGCGCACUACCCGGUGAUGCGCCAUUAGUAUGCACUGUCAUACUAAUGGCGCACUGUCGUGUGAUGCGCCAUUAGUAUGAAUAUUAGGUUUUUUUUUAUUUUUUUAUUUUCUGUUUUUUGCACAGGUUACAAAAUGUAUAAUUUGACAAAAUAUAGACAACACACAUCAACAAUAGAUUCAUCAAAUACAAUAGAAGAUUAGUCUUUGAAUACAAUUCAUCAUAUUAGUCUCCGAAUACAAUUCAUCAUAUUAGUCUCCGAAUUAAAAAGACCGAACAAAGAUAGAACAUUAUAUUACAAGUCUCGAGACCGCGAGUAGCGAGUUUGUCUUCGCAUUACAAGUCGAUAUCGAUCAUCUAAACUACCAUCACAUAGAAGAGAGCUGCGGUCAUCAUGAUGAGCAUCAUCACGAUGAAACUCGUCUUCAUCCGGUUCCUCCAACGCUCCCUCCCCUCUCCCGCUAGAUAGCGGGCGUAUCUAGAUUCGGCCUCGGCCCUAGUGGUGUACCCUUUGUAACUGUUACCGCUGAAUUGGUGAACCUGUCUCCGACACUCCUCCCAGUCAUCGUAGACUCCGGGAACCUUACCCUUGUACACGACAUACGUCGGCAUCGCUAUGCACUAGCCAAACGAAACGUUAGUACCAAUUCACAAACAAUACAUAAGCAAUAUAUAAUUAUGCAACAGAACGAUCGGAAGAGAAAAGCAAGACAUUAAUAGCAUCGAUUACAUCUAAGUUGAACGACUCUCGAAACCAAAGAGACAUACUACAAGUUCAUUAAAUUUUAAUUACAACAUGAGCCAAUCGAUGUUUCAGAACUAGACAACUCGACUCAAGGGACCGGAGCGUGGAUGAAGCCGCCGUCUAUCGUGGGAGUCAUGAAAGAACGGGCGUUGUCAUCCUGCAUUUGUAGCAUUGUGUCGAUGUCACUGUUGGACGGUUAAUUUCUGAGGUAGAACUGCCCCGAGGUACGAAGGACAUCUUGAUGGAUGAUUUCCGCAAACUCCGACUGGAUGCGAAAGAAUUCUUGUCGGAGGUCCGCGUCCUGGAUUGCCGACACGCUCGCGGCCCAAUCUUGGAGUUUACUCGGUAGCAGAAGUUGAUGAUGGUCCCGUACGAUCGCCCGCAUGUGAUGGAUGGCGUAGUAGGCACCCUUCUGACCGCCAGGCGGCUGCUUGACGCAGCAGAACGUCGUAUUGUGGGAGAACACGUGCUUGCCGUACUUACGAAUAGGCCUGGUGAAGGUGCCUCCAGAUUGGGCGUAGCCGGGGAGAACAUCAUCAAGAACCUUCUUGACAUUUGUGUAGUCUACGUUCGACUGACGGUCCGGGUCGAAAUACGUGGCCAUGGAAUAUUUGGGGCUUAGGAGGAUGAGCGUGCAACGUGUGUCACUGCAGAAAACACGGAAUGUUAAAAGAAAAACGAUCGAAAAGUAAGAAUUCAUAUGUUACGGGCCGGUUGAGGGGAGGACUUACUCGGGAAAGUAAGGCACGAGGAAGUUAUCCUUAUCUUGGUUUGCCAGAAUGACGCCUUCGAGGUAAGAACUCGCGACUUGCCGGUCCCCAGUGCUGCCCAAGAUCUUGGCACGCAUGUAGAAGGGGUCGACUAUCACGAUGUCCGGGGUCUUGUCGCGAAUGAUCCGCAUCUCCAUACUCAGCGAAAAUAGCCGAACGAAGGUGUAGUGCAGCGGAUGAAGGUUAAACAUAGCAAAGAUGUCAUCAAACCGCAGGACGAUCGUACCCCCAAUGUCGCCAUCCACAAAGCCCUUGCCCUCUGGCACCUUGGCCACGAAAACCGGGUAUGCCACAUCCUUCUCUCUGAGACACCACUUCUCCAAAGAAAGAACACUGUCGUGCAGACUCCGCAUAGCACCGGUUGCAGCAUUGAGCAUAUUUGGUGGUAGCAUCGCCCUACCCGCCACAUGCACCCUCCUCGAGAUAUCUUGCGGUGAAGGUGGCCCGUCCUGAGCAUGGAUCGUACUCGGUGCCGGCUGGCUCGCACCCUUCUUAGUCUUUCUUUUGCGUGCCUUCUUCUUCUCCUGUAAUGGGACCGAGUUCUGCUCACAGACCGCCUUCUUGAGUGUGUUGGGGCAGAUAAUAUUUCGCACCUCGCCUAUCUGAGGCUCGGUGAAGUCGGCAGCUGGAGGCGUCUCCUGAGAGCUGAACGCCAGACGGCGCCUGUUGCAACUUGGCUUCUCCGUGGUACGAGCUAGAUCGCACACGUCUUUUGUUGGGUUUGGUUCUUGAGAAGGAGGCCCCAUGAAGUCGCCAUCGUACCCAUGCUCGGCAAAGUACUGAUCGACAUUGCCAAAUGUAUCAUCGUCGUCGUCGUCGUCAUUCUGAUCCUGUGCCAUAUGCAUGUUUGGAUCAAGUGGCAUAGGGAUGUCCGGCACCGUUACGGCGGUCUUGCCAUGGGGCCGACUUGGCGCCGGCACGACUGGCGGUGUUGUCUUUGGGGUGGUGUCCCCCGCCCCCAAACGAAUCUGGCUCUUCGGCCAAAGCAGGGGCCAGCUCAGGCAGGCGCUGAGGGUCAUCACGUCAUCAUCGUCGGCCCUGACGGGUCGAAUCGGAGGUAACAAGUCGUCGCAGCCUGGCAGCACCCGAACCAGUUGAACCCUAAACAAGUUGGGUGACAUCUGGGUACCGUGGAACAAGGGGUUGCCCGGUUGAACGAUUUUGCCCUUGGCGACAUCGACCAACUCGUUGUUCACGAAGUGGAGGAGAGUGCACGGAACGUCGGCGGCGCCCUGCGAAAACAUGUAGGGCGUUAGGGAUGCCCAGUCAAAGGCAAGGAGAUGAAGUCCUCGGCCGAGAGAGGCUUAAUUAGUUACCGUGAUGAUGGCGUCGAGCUCGGCUAAUGUCGAGGCACCGCCAACGGCGGGCGUGCAGUUGACGGAGCGGCCGCUUGCUGAAGAGGUGCCGGCCGGCGUACACCCGGGUGCAUUAAGCUCCCGUGCCGGCGUCGGAGACACCAAUGCCGCCUCCGCCGGAGGCACCAAUGGCCCCGCCAUCGCAUUAUGCGAGUUGCUGGCCGUGAAGCUAGGAAUCGGGGGCGGCCCCUGUUGGCCGCCCGCAAUCCACGCACUCAACCCCGAGAUCAAGGUAGGCACAAGGGCGGUGAUCGUCGCUCCGAGUCGUUGUUCCACUUGCUCUUGGACAAUCUCCGGAAUCCGCGCCACCUGUGCCUUGAGUUCUUGAACCUCUCGCGCCUGGCUUUCCGAACUGGUCUUUUUCUCCUUCCGCACACCAGCGGUAUAGUAUGACCCCCAUUUUGUCGACAAGCCUUUGCCGGCCACACGACCAGCUGACGUCGGCUUACUGAGCUUAUCCUUGUUCUUCAUUAUAUUCAACCCCCUAUUUAGAGUGGUGUCCCAAGGGUUGCUCUUAGUCGACCCCGCGCUACUGCUUUCAGUCGCCUGCGGAAGGAAUGUGAACCAUUUAGAAAUUCGGCUUCAUUAAUUAGAAUGCAACCAUAUGGAGCUAAUUACGCGGGGGUGUAUUCCUUACCAGAACAAGCUCAAGCCGCCUGGUCUUCGGAUCCGUGGUAAGCUCCUUUGUUUUCGGGUCCUUCUUGUACCGGGCCCUGACAAAGUUCCUGGUCUGCUUGUCACCGUAUUUAUCGAAGAGGGGCGGUAGGCCUUGCUCGGCACGGUCCGCCUCCUCCUUGUCCCAUAUAGGCUCCGCCACUCUGUAACCGCCGGGACCGAGUGUGUGUUCCCCUAUGUUCAGCUCCCGCAUUUGUUUCCCCCACUCACUUGAUUGGGAGCUUGUGGUGCUCGAGCAAUUGAUCUUGAAGUCGUUGUAGUCAUCUUCGGUGAUCGAAGGAUUUUUCUCCUUGAUCUUCUCAUAACUCUCACCUUUCUCGAUCAUUCUCUUCACAUUGCUUUUCCAAGUAGACAGGGCCUUGCUCAUCUUCGUGAGGGCAGCAUUGUUCACUUUAUUCCCUUUGAGGCUUGUGUUUUCGAAUUCAGCGGGGAACUUGUAUCGUUCGUGCAGCUUCGUGAAGAGGAGGUGGCGCAAAUUCCCCCGGUCAGGAUGCCUCAGGUUCUCGGUGUUGAUCGAGACGGUGCUCCGGACAAUGCACCCGAGCUGAAGCGAGUACCCCUUGACUAUUCGUUCGGGCGCCGUUGGAUUCCCGUUGGAGUCCACUUCAGUAACUUCCUCCUUGAGGGUGCGGAGCACGAUCGGGCACCGGUCCUUCCGUUGCCUCUUCGGCUGGCUGCUAUCUGUGCGUGCGCCGCCAUCAUCAGUGGUGGCAUCCUCGGCGGCACCAUCAGUGGUGGCAUCAGUGUGGUCAUCCUCGGCGGCACCAUCCGUGGUCUCAGGAUCGGUGGGGAAGGCGGCGGCCUCAUACAAGUGAGGUUGUUCCUCCAUCUCCUGGGACAGCUCCCAGAAUGCCUUGCCGCCCGAACCCCCGGCCUCAUCGUUGUGGGCCAUGUUUCUCUCUAAAUAGAAACAAAGUUUGGUCAAAAAGUUGGUUAUUGUCAAGGAACAAGAUCAUGGUCUCAUCAUUUAGGGUUUGUCGACACCGAGGCAUCCUAAAAUCUAAGCUUUUAUCAUUGAGGGUUUUUCGACGCCAAGGCACCCUAAAAGCCUAACUUUUCAUCAUUUCGGUUUUUAUCGACACCGAGGCACCCUAAAAGCCAUGCAUUAGUCACAAGUACGCUGGGGCACUUGAUCCUACUUAAUUAACUACUAAGAUACCCCAGCCCAUGCAUUAGUCACAAGUACCCCAUAUGUCCUAUUUUUAGCAAAGUCAUGCUAAAAUUCACGGAAAAUUUCAGCAUGCCCUUUGCUGAAAAUAGGACAUAUGGAGUACCCGAAUUUGCCGGAACGGAAGUUAAUCGACAUUCCGGCAAACUCAAGGGCCUCUCGGGGUACCUGCAAAAUCAUCACGACACGAUGGUCGGAGACAAAACCCAGCAAACUAGCAAAAUCAUCACAAAUUGUUUUCUGUUAAAGAUGAUCAUCAUCUUUACAAGUCUUUCUCAAUGUGAUCACAAGUAAUUCAGAGGCAUCACAAGUAAUUCAGAGCAUCACAAGGCAUUAGUAGUUCAGUACAUGAACAAGUUUUACAAACCCAUAUAAGAACAAGUGAAUUAUAGUCCCAUUGACACUCCUGGUUUUCUACAAACACCAAGUACUAGGGCACACAAAAGUUCUGAAAUUUGUGUGCCUAACUGAAUUAACUGAAUUUUCAGUAACCGAAUAAACUGAAUUUUCAAAACUGCAUUUUCAAAACUGCAAGAAUACAAUCAAGAAAAAUCCAACAGCACUAGAACUGAGCUGAUUGACAGUAGUUUUGUUCACUGUUAUGUUGGCCUAACUGGAUGUUGGCUAUCUUUUAUAGUGUCUCUGUUACAUGCCAGUUUGGUCAUUGCUAACUCUUUAUGUAACUGAUAUUUUGAUUCCUGAACCCCCGAUAUGCUAUUGUGGUUAAUCCUAAGAGAAGAUUUUGAACAAUGAGAAGUCCAUGGAUAUGUUGUGUUUCUGACUUCCGUUGAGGAUCAUGGAAAUUGGAUAUGUGAGUGGUCGGUGGACCAACUUUUCACUAAAAAUAACAGAAGAGUCCUUUGUUUUCCACUAAAAUUAUCAGUGUCAUCUGGUUUCAUGGCAAUAUUUAUCUAGCAUGUUCCGUAUUGAUUUCAUUGUAUUUUCUGUUCCAUCAUAUUUCAGUUAGUACUAAGGUUGUUUUUUUAGGGAACUCAGUUAGUACUCAGUUUACAGAAACGGUUCGAUGUCUAUCAUAUACAACCAUUUUCCCUGUUAUAAAAGACAUGAAAGAUCACAACAAUAUUGAUCUGAAAAGAAUAGAAAAAAAAGUGAAAUAGUAUGUAUGCAGUGGUGAUUCUACCUUGCUUUCUCAGCCGUGGGUGAUGAAGUGCCUCUGUUCUGUUGUGUCUGCAGUGGUAUGGAGAUGAAUGAAUUGGUAUUAGGUUCAAAUAUGAUCGAUGGAUACUCUAACUGUCCCAGAAAUAUUGAGUUUACUUGAUCAAAAUUGGAGGUUAAGAUAGCUUGAAUUUUUCGCUGGGAUUAGACUUACGUUUUAUUCAAAAAUUCCAGCUAACUCUCUCUCUCAAACAAAAGAAAAAUGAAUCUAAUUAGUCUGUUGUAAAUUUUCUGCUGCACUUGUGCACAUAAGUUAUUCAUUUAACCGUCACAACCACAAAUGCCAAAUUUUCAACUCCUAGCAAGAAGAAAAGGAAGUUCACUUGGUUAAAUGGAACCAUGGUUCGCCUACCUUGAAAUUGAUGUACCAGGAGGCUAGGAGGAUGCCUUUAGAUGUUUGGUUUUGGUGAGCCACCAAUAAAAGCUUGCUGAUGGGAUGCAAAGACUAAGGUAAAGAAUUGUCAACUGUUUAAGUGAGGUAGAAGGUUAUGCCUACUGUACUGCCAGCUUAAAUAUAAUGCCUAGUUCAUCAAAAAGAAAAAUGUAAUGCCUAAGAUCCACUAUCCUGAACCAUCUUAGAACAAUUACUGCUGUCGAUAUUUUUUAGUUUCAAACUUCAAAAUGAUAGCUAUACUGUUCUGAAUUUUUAGGAUAUCAGCAGUUGUUCAAGAGAUUUUUCCAAAAAUUCAAGCAAUUGUACCAAAUUUUGAAAGAGAUUUUUCCAAUUUAUAUUUAAAUAGAAUUGGGGUAUAUACCUUGGAAUCCUCCUAAUGGAAACACCACUAACUGGCGUCUCUAUUUCAGUUGUGGCCCCGGGCAAGAAUUGUACCAAUUGUUUCCCUGUAAAUACAAGUAAAGAAGGUUCACUAUAAAUAACAGUAUGUGAUGAGCAUGUCAAAGGUUGCAUAGUGGAGUCCUCUCGAUAUAUACUAUUCACAACAAUGUGCGUGCUAGAACACCAUUACCACACGGUUCAUGGCAAGCUGCUUACGUGAGUCUGAACCCCGUUCCCCUGAAUCUGUCGGGAUUUGUGGGGUUAAUGGAACCAAUGUUUGUCAUUAUAAGUUAUGAAAGGCUAUUAUUGUACCCAACUUGUUUAAUGCAGCAAUGUGCGAUGCUAGAACACCAUUAUCAUCAAUGGUGAGAUGUUAUUCUCUACCAGUUGGUAGAAGAUCGAACUCAUAGGCAGAAACGUUGAUGACCAAGAGAGCAAUAAGACGGAAUUGUUUCGAUCAAGCGGUGUAAAUACUGAUCAUGCACUCAAUCAAACCUACUCAGUUCAUCUUAAACUGGGAAAUAAAGAUAAUAUUUUCAUGCACCACAUUUUACCCAAGGCCUUCAGAUAAUCAAAACAUGAGAACAAUGAUUGGAGACUCAAGCUAAUACUGUCACAGUGGCCACCACCAGCCUGAAUUUUCAUAGGAACUCGUGUGUAAAUUGCAGCUGGAUGAUCGUCAGUGGCGAGAUAUUAUUCUCUAAUCCUUCUCUCUACCAAUUGAUAGAACAUCUAACUGACAGGCUGAAAAAUUAAUGACCAAGAGAGCAAUAAGAGGGCAUUGCUUCGAUUAAGCAUGUACAUAUUGAUCAUGCGCUCACCCUACCAGGCUCAUUUAAGUUUUAACUGGUAAAGAUAUAUAUCCUGUUCAUGCACAGCACUUUACCCAAGCCUUGAAGACUGUGACAUUGGCCACUACGCCUAAUUUUCACUGGAAUUCAUGUGUGAAUUGCAGCUGAAUAAUCCUAGUUAACUACGCCUAAUUUACCCAAGCACUUUACCCAAGCCUUCAAGACUGUCACAUUGGCCACUACAUUAUCUUCUACACUAAAAUACAUUCUCGAAGGAAUCCGCGUGUGAAUUGCAGUGAGGAGAUGAUCGAAUCCGUUGGAGAAGAGGAAAUGAGAUAACAUAAACAGUCUGUUGUGGGGCGGCGCGGUUGGGGUUAGGGUUACCUCCUCGUAGAGAGGCAGGGGUCGAGGCGGCGUCGGGGCGGCGGGGCAGCGUCCGGGCGGCGGGGUCGGGGCGGCGUCCGGGGCGGCNNNNNNNNNNNNNNNNNNNNNNNNNNNNNNNNNNNNNNNNNNNNNNNNNNNNNNNNNNNNNNNNNNNNNNNNNNNNNNNNNNNNNNNNNNNNNNNNNNNNNNNNNNNNNNNNNNNNNNNNNNNNNNNNNNNNNNNNNNNNNNNNNNNNNNNNNNNNNNNNNNNNNNNNNNNNNNNNNNNNNNNNNNNNNNNNNNNNNNNNNNNNNNNNNNNNNNNNNNNNNNNNNNNNNNNNNNNNNNNNNNNNNNNNNNNNNNNNNNNNNNNNNNNNNNNNNNNNNNNNNNNNNNNNNNNNNNNNNNNNNNNNNNNNNNNNNNNNNNNNNNNNNNNNNNNNNNNNNNNNNNNNNNNNNNNNNNNNNNNNNNNNNNNNNNNNNNNNNNNNNNNNNNNNNNNNNNNNNNNNNNNNNNNNNNNNNNNNNNNNNNNNNNNNNNNNNNNNNNNNNNNNNNNNNNNNNNNNNNNNNNNNNNNNNNNNNNNNNNNNNNNNNNNNNNNNNNNNNNNNNNNNNNNNNNNNNNNNNNNNNNNNNNNNNNNNNNNNNNNNNNNNNNNNNNNNNNNNNNNNNNNNNNNNNNNNNNNNNNNNNNNNNNNNNNNNNNNNNNNNNNNNNNNNNNNNNNNNNNNNNNNNNNNNNNNNNNNNNNNNNNNNNNNNNNNNNNNNNNNNNNNNNNNNNNNNNNNNNNNNNNNNNNNNNNNNNNNNNNNNNNNNNNNNNNNNNNNNNNNNNNNNNNNNNNNNNNNNNNNNNNNNNNNNNNNNNNNNNNNNNNNNNNNNNNNNNNNNNNNNNNNNNNNNNNNNNNNNNNNNNNNNNNNNNNNNNNNNNNNNNNNNNNNNNNNNNNNNNNNNNNNNNNNNNNNNNNNNNNNNNNNNNNNNNNNNNNNNNNNNNNNNNNNNNNNNNNNNNNNNNNNNNNNNNNNNNNNNNNNNNNNNNNNNNNNNNNNNNNNNNNNNNNNNNNNNNNNNNNNNNNNNNNNNNNNNNNNNNNNNNNNNNNNNNNNNNNNNNNNNNNNNNNNNNNNNNNNNNNNNNNNNNNNNNNNNNNNNNNNNNNNNNNNNNNNNNNNNNNNNNNNNNNNNNNNNNNNNNNNNNNNNNNNNNNNNNNNNNNNNNNNNNNNNNNNNNNNNNNNNNNNNNNNNNNNNNNNNNNNNNNNNNNNNNNNNNNNNNNNNNNNNNNNNNNNNNNNNNNNNNNNNNNNNNNNNNNNNNNNNNNNNNNNNNNNNNNNNNNNNNNNNNNNNNNNNNNNNNNNNNNNNNNNNNNNNNNNNNNNNNNNNNNNNNNNNNNNNNNNNNNNNNNNNNNNNNNNNNNNNNNNNNNNNNNNNNNNNNNNNNNNNNNNNNNNNNNNNNNNNNNNNNNNNNNNNNNNNNNNNNNNNNNNNNNNNNNNNNNNNNNNNNNNNNNNNNNNNNNNNNNNNNNNNNNNNNNNNNNNNNNNNNNNNNNNNNNNNNNNNNNNNNNNNNNNNNNNNNNNNNNNNNNNNNNNNNNNNNNNNNNNNNNNNNNNNNNNNNNNNNNNNNNNNNNNNNNNNNNNNNNNNNNNNNNNNNNNNNNNNNNNNNNNNNNNNNNNNNNNNNNNNNNNNNNNNNNNNNNNNNNNNNNNNNNNNNNNNNNNNNNNNNNNNNNNNNNNNNNNNNNNNNNNNNNNNNNNNNNNNNNNNNNNNNNNNNNNNNNNNNNNNNNNNNNNNNNNNNNNNNNNNNNNNNNNNNNNNNNNNNNNNNNNNNNNNNNNNNNNNNNNNNNNNNNNNNNNNNNNNNNNNNNNNNNNNNNNNNNNNNNNNNNNNNNNNNNNNNNNNNNNNNNNNNNNNNNNNNNNNNNNNNNNNNNNNNNNNNNNNNNNNNNNNNNNNNNNNNNNNNNNNNNNNNNNNNNNNNNNNNNNNNNNNNNNNNNNNNNNNNNNNNNNNNNNNNNNNNNNNNNNNNNNNNNNNNNNNNNNNNNNNNNNNNNNNNNNNNNNNNNNNNNNNNNNNNNNNNNNNNNNNNAGCAUAGCUCAGCUCCCAGAUCUCCUCGAUCCUUCCGUAGUAUCUGUCCUUGUCGUUACCGGUGUAGGAUUCCAUCGUUACCCCGGAGUUCUGAUAACCAUCGCUCUUCAUGUCCUUGGCCUCGGUGUAGAAUGUGUAGCCGUUGAUAUCGUACGCCUCAUAGGUCAUCAGGUUGUGCUCGGCGCCCUGUGACAAGGCGAAUAUGAGUUGUUCUUCCGCGGAAGAAUCCUCAUGUAAAGGGUACGACAGAAGCUUAUGCUUGAACCAACGCGUGAAACAUGAGUUGUGCUCUUUGAGUGUAUCUCCGUCCGUCCUCUGUUGGCCUCGGUCAUUGUACGUCUUUUUAAUAAAGGUUUUGUGCUCUACCACCCAAGGAUCGACCACGUCUAUGUGUUGUAGCGCGACUAGGUUUGCUCUUUCAAAGUCGGCGAGUCGACCCUCGAAGUCGACAUGCAUUUCACGGCGACCCUCACGGUGACCCCAUCCAGCGAGCCUGCCGAGGUGCCUGUUGACGGGCAGACCAACGGGGUUCUCGAUGCCUAGAUAAUUCGUGCAGUAGGAGAUGCACUCUUCGGUCAGAAAGCCCCUGGCUAUGCUUCCUUCUGGACGUGACAUGUUGCGAACGUAUCCUUUGAUGACACCAUUCAUCCCUUCGAACGGCAUCAUGAUGUGCAGGAACGUCGGCCCGAGUUGGAUGAUAUCCUCCACUAUAUGGACCAGCAGAUGCACCAUAACGUCGAAGAAUGCGGGCGGGAAGUACCUCUCAAGCUCGCAUAGUAUCACCACGAUCUCUUCCUGUAGCCUUCUGAGUUGCCUCAUGCCAAUCGACUUCCGAGAGAUGACGUCGAAGAAGUUGCAUAGGCCAAAUAGCGUUUCAUGGACGUGCGCGUCCAUGAUCCCACGGAUUGCAACUGGAAGUAUCUCCGUCAUCAGCACGUGACAGUCGUGAGACUUCAUCCCGCUGAACUUCUGCUUCGCUGGGUCUAGGUAUCUGCUUAUCUUCCCCGCGUAACCGUAAGGAAGUUUUACUCCUAGGAGGCAGGUGAAAAACUGCUCGAUCUCCUCCUGACUUAGAGUGAAGCACGCGGGAGGGUAGUCAUUUCCGGUCUUCUUGGCCUUUUUGCCUUUGCGACGACUUUCUGUGUCCUGCUUCGCCUCAUCAUCAUCAUCAUCAUCAUAUAUAGCGUGAAGCUCCUGCCUGAUGCCCAUUGAUUUCAAGUCUGCCCUUGCUUUCGGCCCAUCUUUGGUCCUCUCUGGCAUGUUGAGCAGGGUACCAAGCAGACUCUCGCACACGUUCUUCGUGAUAUGCAUGACAUCAAGGCUGUGAGGCACACGGUGGAUCUUCCAGUACGGCAAGUCCCAGAAAACAGACCUCGUUUUCCAUACCUUCAGCAGUGGCUCUGGCGCCUUUCGCUUCUUUCCCGGCUCUGGCGCCUUUUGCUUCUUUCCCGGCAGUGGGCAGUCUUUCCAAUUUUUCAACAGCUUGUCUAUUUCCUGCCGCUCCUCGUACACGGGCAUUUUCGGGGUUCGGUUUCACCAUCGAACAGAUCCUUGCGUUUCCUCCACGGGUCAUCGUCGCGAAGCCACCUUCGAUGUCCCAUGAACACGGUUUUCGAAGACCCGGGAUCUCUAUCUAGCUGGCGAUACGUUGUGUCAUCCAUGCACCUUACGCAUCCAGAAAAUCCGUGGACUACCUGCCCCGCAAGAUAUCCGUAACCGAGAUAGUCGUGCACCGUCGUGAGCAGUGCGGCUCUCAUAGGGAAAUAUUCUUUCUCUGCGGCGUCCCACGUAUUGGCUGGCAUUUUCCACAGCGUGUCAAGCUCCUCUUUCAGCAGCCCCAGAUACAGAUUGAUGUCGUUCCCUGGUUGUUUCGGCCCUUCAAUUAGCAUACUCAUGUGAAUGUACUUCCUCUUCAUGCACAACCAGGGGGGAAGGUUGUACAUCCACACAAACACAGGCCAGGUGCUAUGUGUGCUUCUCUGGCUGCCAAACGGAUUGACUCCAUCGGUGCUCGCGCCCAGCACGAUGUUCCUUGGAUCGUUCCCAAAUUCUGGGUAUUCAAAGUUCAAUGCUUGCCACUGGCUCGCAUCCUUAGGGUGACUCAGCAUCUUGUCUUUUUUAUCUAUCUCCGGAUCAUUUGCGUCAUCUUCUCGCUUCUUCUCCUCCCUAUCCGCGUGCCAACGCAGGAGCUUUGCUACCUUAGGAUCCGCGAAAUACCACUGCAGACGAGGAGUGAUCGGAAAGUACCACACCACUUUUCGAGGAGCUUUCUUCCUCUUCUUGUAUCGAGUGACACCGCACACCGGACAUAUUGUAGACUCCGCGUGCUCGUCCCGAUAAAUGAUGCAAUUGUUCAUGCACACAUGGUAUUUCACGUGCGGUAAAUCCAGAGGACACACGAUUUUCUUCGCCUCCUCCAAACUGGUCGGGCACUUGUUCCCCUUGGGAAGACGUUCGUGUCAGAAUGACAUGUUCUCGUCGAAGCAUGCGUCGGUCAUUUUGUGUUUUACCUUCAUCUCCAGGGCCAUGAGCGUUACUUUCAGGCGGGUAUCCUCGGGCCUGCAUCCUUCAUACAAUGGAGUAAUCGCGUCUAACUCAAGUUGAUCCAUCUUGGCUUUCUCUCGGGCGGCAGCUCUUGCGUUAUCCGUCUGCUUGAGAAGCAGCUCUUGAAUAUGAGGGUCCUGCACCCAGCCCAUCGAUGGUCCAGCGUCGUCUGCUCCGCCGGCAUCAUCAUCUUCAUGAUCAUGCCCAUCGUCUGCUCCGGCAUCUUCCUCAUCAUCAUGUCCUGCAUCUUCUACAUGAUGACUGUGUACAGCAUCACAGUCAUAAUCAUCUCCUGGGGAUUCUUCGUCUUCUCGCCCGCCCGAGCCGUGGUGGUUGUCUUGCUGCCCUUCCUCAUUUCUUGCCCGGCCCGCAUGCACGACUUCGUAGUCAUCUUCAUCACCUUGCCACCGAUAGCCAUCCAUGAAACCACACAACAGCAGGUGGUCCCGCACCUGCCCGGAAUCCGGGUCCGCAAUAAGGCUCUUCAGCUUGCAUCUUCGACACGGACAUCUUAUCUCCGUCUCGUUCUUUUGAAGCAUCUCGGCCUUCGCGGACCUCAAAAACCUAUUCACGAUGCCUUCGGUCAUCGUGCGGACCAUGGUCGCCUGUGGGGUAGAGCAAAACGAUAUUUUAGAACCAAACAAAAAUUUGGCAUGACUUUCCCUAAAAAUAGGACCAAAAAGAAUGCUUAAUGCCAAAAUUCUCGCCGAAACGGAAAUGAAUCAACAUUCCGGCAAAAUAUUGGCAACUAUCGCAUAUCAAAUACCGGUACACCUCCAAACACAAACACAUAUGCAACACCACAAACAUAUGCAACACCACGAACAUACAUAGAUCUAGCUAGGCCGUAAAAAGUGCAUGUGCACAUUGUUGUAAGGAGAACAACCUAAAUAUAGCUUCCCCCCUUACUUACCUAUUAAAACAAGGUAAUUUAACCACUUAAUUUGAAUGAAUCUAUGGUGGAAAUGAGGUGAAAAAGAGGAGGCACCCGAGACAAGGAGGAGGUGGAGAGAAUGAAGUGGGGAGAAAGUGAGUGUGUGGGUAGGAGAGGCUGUCCCAAAUAUCUUGUUGCUGCCCACUUACUAAUGGCGCACCUCUUGCAUGGUGCGCCAUUAGUAGUUACAACUAAUAAUGGCGCACUUAAGCAGGAUGCGCCAUUAGUAUGUUUGGAUAGGCGCACUAGUUCAAAAAAAAAUUCUAUACUAAUGGCUCACCCACUGCCUGGUGCGCCAUUAGUAGUUACAACUACUAAUGGCGCACUUGGGCAGGAUGCGCCAUUAGUAUGUUUGGAUAGGCGCACUAGUUAAAAGAAAAAUUCUAUACUAAUGGCGCACCUGCUGCCUGGUGCGCCAUUAGUAGUUACAACUACUAAUGGCGCACUUUGCCCGGAUGCGCCAUUAGUAUGUUUGGACAGGCGCACUAGUUAAAAAAAAAUUUGAUACUAAUGGCGCACCCGUAGCAUGGUGCGCCAUUAGUAGUUUAAACUCUAAUGGCGCAUCAGAUUGUGGUGCGCCAUUAGUAUAUACUAAUGGCGCACCAUCUUUCUGGUGCGCCAUUAGUGUCAAUCCCAUCUAUAGCCCUUUUCCUAGUAGUGCACUCUGGCGCGGAUCUUACUCUGGUUGAUCUACGAGGUUCAGUAGUAUCUUGUUCUGAAGUUUCAUGAUCAUUAUCAUUAGCUUCCUCACUAAUUGGUGUAGGUGUCGCAGAAACAGGUUUCUGUGAUGUACUACUUUCCAAUAAGGGAGCAGGUACAGUUACCUCGUCAAGUUCUACUUUCCUCCCACUCACUUCUUUCGAGAGAAACUCUUUCUCUAGAAAGGAUCCAUUCUUGGCAGGGAAUGUCUUGCCUUCGGAUUUGUGAUAGAAGGUGUACCCAACAGUCUCCUUUGGGUAUCCUAUGAAGACACAUUUCUCCGAUUUAGGUUCGAGCUUAUCAGGUUGAAGUUUUUUCACAUAAGCAUUGCAGCCCCAAAUUUUAAAAAACGACAACUUUGGUUUCUUGCCAAACCAUACUUCAUAAGGCGUCGUCUCAACGGAUUUUGAUGGUGCCCUAUUUAACAUGAAUGCGGUCGUCUCUAAAGCAUAACCCCAAAAUGAUAGCGGUAAAUCAGUAAGAGACAUCAUAGAUCGUACCAUAUCUAGUAAAGUACGAUUACAACGUUCGGACACACCAUUACGCUGUGGUGUUCCGGGUGGCGUGAGUUGCGAAAAUAUUCCGCAUUGCUUCAAAUGUACACCAAACUCGUAACUCAAAUAUUCUCCUCCACGAUUAGAUCGUAGAAACUUUAUUUUCUUGUUACGAUGAUUUUCAACUUCACUCUGAAAUUCUUUGAACUUUUCAAAUGUUUCAGACUUAUGUUUCAUUAAGUAGAUAUACCUAUAUCUGCUUAAGUCAUCUGUGAAUGUGAGAAAAUAAUGAUAUCCGCCACGAGCCUCAAUAUUCAUCGGACCACAUACAUCUGUAUGUAUGAUUUCCAACAAAUUUGUUGCUCUCUCCAUAGUACCGGAGAACGGUGUUUUAGUCAUCUUGCCCAUGAGGCACGGUUCGCAAGUACCAAGUGAUUCAUAAUCAAGUGGUUCCAAAAGUCCAUCAGUAUGGAGUUUCUUCAUGCGCUUUAUACCGAUAUGACCUAAACGGCAGUGCCACAAAUAAGUUGCACUAUCAUUAUCAACUCUGCAUCUUUUGGCUUCAACAUUAUGAAUAUGUGUGUUACUACUAUCGAGAUUCAUCAAAAUAGACCACUCUUUAAAGGUGCAUGACCAUAAAAGAUAUUACUCAUAUAAAUAGAACAACCAUUAUUCUCUGAUUUAAAUGAAUAACCGUCUCACAUUAAACAAGAUCCAGAUAUAAUGUUCAUGCUCAACGCUGGCACCAAAUAACAAUUAUUUAGGUCUAAUAUUAAUCCCGAAGGUAGAUGUAGAGGUAGCGUGCCGACCGCGAUCACAUCGACUUUGGAACUGUUUCCCACUCGCAUCGUCACCUCGUCCUUUGCCAGUGUUCGCUUAAUCCGUAGUCCCUGUUUCGAGUUGCAAAUAUUAGCAACAGAACCAGUAUCAAAUACCCAGGUGCUACUGUGAGCUCUAGUAAGGUACACAUCAAUAACAUGUAUAUCACAUAUACCUUUGUUCACCUUGCCAUCCUUCUUAUCCGCCAAAUACUUGGGGCGGUUCCGCUUCCAGUGACCAGUCUGCUUGCAGUAGAAGCACUCAGUUUCAGGCUUAGGUCCAGACUUGGGUUUCUUCUCUUGAGCAGCAACUUGCUUUCUGUUCUUAUUGAAGUUCCCCUUCUUCUUCCCUUUGCCCUUUUUCUUGAAACUAGUGGUCUUGUUGACCAUCAACACUUGAUGCUCCUUUUUGAUUUCUACUUCCGUAGCUUUCAGCAUGGCGAAGAGCUCGGGAAUAGUCUUAUUCAUCCCUUGCAUAUUAUAGUUCAUCACGAAGCUCUUGUAGCUUGGUGGCAGUGAUUGGAGAAUUUUGUCAAUGACGCAAUCAUCUGGAAGAUUAACUCCCAUCUGAAUCAAGUGAUUAUUAUACCCAGGCAUUUUGAGUAUAUGCUCACUGACAGAACUAUUCUCCUCCAUCUUGCAGCUAUAGAACUUAUUGGAGACUUCAUAUCUCUCAAUUCAGGCAUUUGCUUGAAAUAUUAACUUCAACUCCUGGAACAUCUCAUAUGCUCCAUGAUGUUCAAAACGUCGUUGAAGUCCCGAUUCUAAUCCGUAAAGCAUGGCACACUGAACUAUCGAGUAGUCAUCAGCUUUGCUCUGCCAGACGUUCAUAACAUCUGGUGUUGCUCCAGCAGCAGGCCUGGCACCCAGCGGUGCUUCCAGGAUGUAAUUCUUCUGUGCAGCAAUGAGGAUAAUCCUCAAGUUACAGACCCAGUCCGUGUAAUUGCUACCAUCAUCUUUCAACUUUGCUUUCUCAAGGAACGCAUUAAAAUUCAAUGGAACAAUAGCAUGGGCCAUCUAUCUACAAUCAAACAUACAUAAGCAAGAUACUAUCAGGCACUAAGUUCAUGAUAAAUUUAAGUUCAAUUAAUCAUAUUACUUAAGAACUCCCACUUAGAUAGACAUCCCUCUAAUCUUCUAAGUGAUCACGUGAUCCAAAUCAACUAAACCAUAACCGAUCAUCACGUGAAAUGGAGUAGUUUUCAAUGGUGAACAUCACUAUGUUGAUCAUAUCUACUAUAUGACUCACGCUCGAUCUUUCAAUCUCAGUGGUCCGAGGCCAUAUCUGCAUAUGCUAGGCUCGUCAAGUUUAACCUGAGUAUUCUGCGUGUGCAAAACUGGCUUGCACCCAUUGUGGAUGGACGUAGAGCUUAUCACACCCGAUCAUCACGUGGUGUCUGGGCACGACGAACUUUGGCAACGGUGCAUACUCAGGGAGAACACUUUUAUCUUGAUAAUUUAGUGAGAGAACAUCUUAUAAUGCUACCGUCAAUCAAAGCAAGAUAAGAUGCAUAAAAGAUAAACAUCACAUGCAAUCAAUAUAAGUGAUAUGAUAUGGCCAUCAUCAUCUUGUGCUUGUGAUCUCCAUCUCCGAAGCACCGUCAUGAUCACCAUCGUCACCGGCGCGACACCUUGAUCUCCAUCGUAGCAUCGUUGUCGUCUCGCCAAUCUUAUGCUUCCACGACUAUCGCUACCGCUUAGUGAUAAAGUAAAGCAUUACAGCGCGAUUGCAUUGCAUACAAUAAAGUGACAACCAUAUGGCUCCUGCCAGUUGCCGAUAACUUGGUUACAAAACAUGAUCAUCUCAUACAAUUAAAUUUAGCAUCAUGUAUUGACCAUAUCACAUCACAACAUGCCCUGCAAAAACAAGUUAGACGUCCUCUACUUUGUUGUUGCAAGUUUUACGUGGCUGCUACGGGCUUAAGCAAGAACCAAUCUUACCUACGCAUCAAAACCACAACGAUAGUUUGUCAAGUUGGUGCUGUUUUAACCUUCGCAAGGACCGGGCGUAGCCACACUCGGUUCAACUAAAGUUGGAGAAACUGUCACCCGCAAGCCACCUAUGUGCAAAGCACGUCGGGAGAACUGGUCUCGCGUAAGCGUACGCGUAAUGUUGGUCCGGGCCGCUUCGUCCAACAAUACCGCCGAACCAGAGUAUGACAUGCUGGUAAGCAGUACGACUUAUAUCGCCCACAACUCACUUGUGUUCUACUCGUGCAUAUAACAUCAACACAUAAAACCUAGGCUCGGAUGCCACUGUUGGGGAACGUAGUAAUUUCAAAAAAUUUCCUACGCACACGCAAGAUCAUGGUGAUGCAUAGCAACGAGAAGGGAGAGUGUGAUCUACGUACCCUUGUAGAUCGACAACGGAAGCGUUUGGUUGAUGUAGUCGUACGUCUUCAUGGCCCGACCGAUCAAGCACCGACACUACGGCACCUCCGAGUUUUAGCACACGUUCAGCUCGAUGACGAUCCCCGGACUCUGAUCCAGCAAAGUGUCGGGGAAGAGUUCCGUCAGCACGACGGCGUGGUGACAAUCUUGAUGUACUAGUGUCGCAGGGCUUCGCCUAAGCACCGCUACAAUAUUAUCGAGGACUAUGGUGGAAGGGAGCACCGGACACGGCUAAGAAUAUGAUCACGUGGAUCAACUUGUGUUCCUCUGGGGUGCCCCUGCCUCCUUAUAUAAAGGAUCUAGGGGGGUGCGGCCGGCCUAGGAGAGGCGCGCCAGGAGGAGUCCUACUCCCUCUGGGAGUAGGAUUCCCCCCCCCCCAAAUCCUAGUUGGAAUAGGAUUCGCGGAGGGGGGAAAGAGAGAGGGGGGCCGGCCCCCUCUCCUUGUCCUAUUCAGACCAAGGGAGGGGAGGGGCGCGCGGCCCAUCUUGGGCUGCCCCUUCUCUUUUCCACCAAGGCCCACUAAGGCCCAUAUAGCUCCCGGGGGGUUCCGGUAACCACCCGGUACUCCGGUAAAAUCCCGAUUUCACCCGGAACACUUCCGAUAUCCAAAUAUAGGCUUCCAAUAUAUCAAUCUUUAUGUCUCGACCAUUUCGAGACUCCUCGUCAUGUCCGUGAUCACAUCCGGGACUCCGAACAACCUUCGGUACACCAAAACGUAUAAACUCAUAAUAUAACUAUCAUCGAAACCUUAAGCGUGCGGACCCUACGGGUUCGAGAAUAAUGUAGACAUGACCGAGACAUGUCUCCGGUCAAUAACCAAUAGCGGAACCUGGAUGCUCAUAUUGGUUCCUACAUAUUCUACGAAGAUCUUUUAUCGGUCAGACCGCAUAACAACAUACGUUGUUCCCUUUGUCAUCGGUAUGUUACUUGCCCGAGAUUCGAUCGUCGGUAUCCAAUACCUAGUUCAAUCUCGUUACCGGCAAGUCUCUUUACUCGUUCCGUAAUACAUCAUCUCGCAACUAACUCAUUAGUUACAUUGCUUGCAAGGCUUAAGUGAUGUGCAUUACCGAGAGGGCCCAGAGAUACCUCUCGGACGAUCGGAGUGACAAAUCCUAAUCUCAAAAUAUGUCAACCCAACAUGUACCUUUGGAGACACCUGUAGAGCACCUUUAUAAUCACCCAGUUACGUUGUGACGUUUGGUAGCACACAAAGUGUUCCUCCGGCACACAGGAGUUACAUAAUCUCAUUGUCAUAGGAACAUGUAUAAGUCAUGAAGAAAGCAAUAGCAACAUACUAAACGAUCGGGUGCUAAGCUAAUGGAAUGGGUCAUGUCAAUCAGAUCAUUCAACUAAUGAUGUGAUCCCAUUUAAUCAAAUGACAACUCUUUGUCUAUGGUUAGGAAACAUAACCAUCUUUGAUUAACGAGCUAGUCAAGUAGAGGCAUACUAGUGACACUUAGUUUGUCUAUGUAUUCACACAUGUAUUAUGUUUCCGGUUAAUACAAUUCUAGCAUGAAUAAUAAACUUUUAUCAUGAUAUAAGGAAAUGAAUAAUAGCUUUAUUAUUGCCUCUAGGGCAUAUUUCCUUCAAUGAUGGCAUUGUAGCGGCAAGUCAUAGUUUGUCAAGUGUCAACAAAUAGACACUUGGCAAAGAAUUUUCUUUUCUUUUUUACAUCAAAAAAUUUUUGCUGAGUGCCUGUCACAAAGCACUCAGUAAACCUGUUUCUUUCUUUUGUUUGCCUUGUUUUCUUUUUUCCCUUCUUUUUUCCUUUCUUAUCUUAUCUUAUCUUAUCUUAUCUUAUCUUUCUUUCUUUCUUUCUUCUUAGGUCACGUUUGCAUGCAAAGUGUCAGGACCCCGGUCCUAAGUCACAUUGAUCUAGCAUGUAACACAUCAUAUCACUUUGCGGCCUCACGCAUGGUAUUCCCACGGGUGCCACCUUACCUAGCCCGGGACCGUAUGCGCCUUUUGGCUCACGUAUAUGAUAGUGUCGCUAGCAUCCAUAUGUCAAAGAAACCGCGCAGACAUGACUAGUCAUGAACCCAAAGUGGCACUAACUUACGGGGACAGGCAUACAUGAAUAAACAUCGAGCAUGUCGAUUAGCAAUGUGUGAAUCCGGGCUGUAGCACUGGGCUAACAAGACUCCGGUGAACCGGGCUGUAGCAGGCUAGGCAGGACUCCGGAUGUCACCGCGUGACAUUUCCCUGAAGGGACAGACAUAGGAACGAAGUGAAUCACAUGCCGGCCAGUCAAGUGUUCCGGAGCAGUAGUGCUGGGCUAGCAGGACCCCGGUGAACCGGGCUAUAGCGGACUACUAUGGCUCAUAGAAGCACAACACUAUAUUUCCCCAUAAGAGAGGCUACCAAGGAUAAACAACUAGGUUGUCGGAUCCCACUCAUACCAAGCAUUUCAAAUCAUACACACCAUAUGCUCGAUAUGUGUAAAUACAACAUGGCAUCACAACAAGACUCUACGACUCAAAGUAUUUAUUCAUUAGGCACCGAAGAGCCAAGCAUUACAAACAUGGGUCUCAUGACCCCAACAUACAGAGCAUACAAGCAACAAGCACAUGCGGAAGCUUAACAUGUCUGAGUACAGACAUCUACAAAUGAAAAGGCUGAGAAUCCUGACUAUCUACUAGAUCCUACCGAGGGCGCAAGAUCGUAGAUGAGGUAUCAAGCUAAACGUCGAAGUCCACACGGAACUACUAGCGAGACUGACGUCUCUCUGGAAAACAUAAAAUAGGCAAACGUGAGUACAAAUGUACCCAGCAAGACUUACAUCAGAACUAUCUACAUAUGCAUCGGUAUCAAUAAAGGGAGUGGUGGAGUUUAACUGCAGCAAGCCAGCUUUGACUCGCUGGCUAUCCUGAACUACGACUACAAGUAACUCUUUUGAGGUGGUGCACAUGAGUCCACAUAUUCACCAAUCAAUACACCACUAUGGAUCCGGUCCCGUCUCCCUACGAGAACGCCAUCCAUAGCACUCACGCUUAUCUUGCGCAUUUUAGAGUAUCCACUUUCACUUGUCUAUGAACUGUAUAGGCAACCAAGUAGUCCUUUACCGCGGACGCGGCUAUUCGAAUAGAUGAUGUUAACCCUGCAGGGGUGUACUUCUUCAUACACGCUCUCACCACUUACCGUUGUUUAAACGACAUGUACUCGGCAACCUUCAAGCGGAAGCCCAACGAGGGUGUCGGCCACAACCUACCUAAACACUCAAGUCUCUAGUCCAGGUUUAUCGCCUAUCCAGGUUCCAUCCGUAGGGAGUCCGGCCGAGGUUUCCACGGCCCCGAACGAUGUGUACAGGGUUCCGAGACACCAAACGGGCGCCCGACAUGCCCGGCCACGGUGUAUCGACCGCAUCAUAGCCCACCCCUAGGGUCAGCGCUAUGCACGGCUGCCAACACAUAUCCUAUAAACACCAAAAACUAGUUGCAACUCCUAGACAGAGGACUAGGGUGGUUAAGAAGCCAAGAGGGUCAAUUAAGGAUCCCAAUGCAUGGUAGUAGAUGUUUCUUAAAUCACACAUACAGAUCUCGGUGCUUAAGGACGGUUCCAAUGAAACAACCCACCAUGUACUCCUACAUGGCCUCUCAUCGAUAGCUUUACCAAAUCGUGUUCAACACACUUAGCUCACACAUAGUAGGACAUGUUCACAACUUUCCAAUUCAUCCCCGAUGAAUCAUACCUGACACAACUCUAAGUAAUAGUAGGCAUGACAAACAAGCAUGAAUGAGUAGGCACAUCAGGGCUCAAACAACUCCUACUCAUGCUAGUGGGGUUUCAUCUAUUUACUGUGGCAAUGACAGGUCAAGCAGAGGAAAAGGGGUUCAGCUACCGCAACAUGUAAAAGUUGAAUCGAUGUUGUCCUAAAGCAGUAAAAGAGAGUAGGAGCGAGAGAGUGGGAUUUUAUCGGAAUGAGCAAGGGGGUUUUGCUUGCCUGGCACUUCUGAAGAUAGUAUAGUUCUUCAUCAGUUUCACCGAUCUCAUUGUUGGAAACAUCGUCUACCAAGGGGGAACAACCGUCGGCAAAAACAGAAAGAACACAAUCAAUGCAAUGCACAAUAUGAUGCAUGAUCAUGACAUGUCAACAUGCUGUGAUUUGAGCUAAUGCAGCUAAGAACAGAAGGGUUUGAGUUGAUUUGAACCAAAGGUUCAAAUUCAAAUUCAAACUAAGAACUUAUAAAGUGCAUUAUCAUGUUUUUAUCUAAACAGCAAGGUUAAGUUGUUUAAACAUGCAUGAAACCAGUACAGAUGGAUAGAUUAGAUUUUUCUGAUCAUUUUUCAUAUAUAAUUUGUUUGAUUUGGAGUUACGGUUGAAUUACUAUGAAUUUAGAAGUUUGGGACAUUUUCUGGAAUCUCCUGAAUUAAGUUAAAUCCAGAAUAUGAGUUAUUGCGUCAGCAAUGCGUCACUGUGACGUCAGCUAGUCAACUGGGCGCCUCCAGGUCAAACCUGACCAGUAGGGCCCACUAGUCAGUGACACAUAGUCAGCUACAGACGCUGACAUGUGGGACCUGGUCAAAGCUGACGUGGCCAAGUCAAAGUUGACAAGCGGGGCCCACUGAAAUUAGUGCUAAUAUAAUAGAGAGUUAAACUAAUUAGUUUAGGCAUUGGGCCCACAUGUAAGUGGGUCAGGAGGUUAAUUAGUGGGUGAUUUGUGCUAACUAGGUGGUCACAUUGACAGUCGCCGGAGUCUCGCCGGCGGUGACCUCGAGCCGCGGCGGAGUUCGCUCGGAACUCAUCAGAGGCGACGGAUCGACGCGCCAGGGGCACCAGAGGAUAGCCCAUGCCCGUGCGCAUCUAGGGAGAACAACAAGAGGUGUGGGGGUGGCCAGAGUUCAGUAGAGUGGAACCCGCGGUGGCUGCCGGAGUUCGGGGCUAGUGCAGGUUAGCGCUACAGUGUGAUAACGAGCGAGGCGAAGGUCUAGCGGGGCACUACGCGUUGCGGGGAGCAAGUUGGACUAGCCGUGGUGACCAUUUGGUCACCGGAGCUGCGCCGAUGAUGAGCUCAAGCGGCGGCGGCUACGGUCGUCAAGGGGGCGACGUCUACGGCUCGAAAUCGAAGGGGAGGAAGGAGGGGAUCCACGCAGGAGCUCACAGCGGUUUGUUCGGUGGCCUCAGCGAGCUCGGGGAAGCCUCGAAGCGGGCGCACGGUCGUCGGCGAUCUCGGUGGCCCGAGGUUGAAGAAGACGGCGGUGAGGGCGUUCGGCGGCGUCCGGCAUCGCUUGGCUUGGCGAGGAGGUCGAGGACGAGGUAGCCAAGCUUUUGGGCACGUCGAGGUGUCGAGGGGAGGCUCUGGGUGCGGCAACGGUGAGCGGUGGCGACAAGCUCCGCUCGGGCUGCGCGGGAGAGAGAGCAGAGGAGGGAAAAGGGGUCCAUGGGGAGAGGGAGAGGCAGUGAGGGCUGCGGGGCACCUCCAGACGCGUCGGGUAGGCUCGGGGCGCCUUGGUGGCAAGCAGGAGGUGGCCAGGGAUAGCUGCGCCUGUCGACACGCAGCAGCUCCUACUGGCGCCGGGAAGAAGACGACAGGGCAGCGCCUGGUGGGCUGGGCCGAAACGGCAGCAGGCCAACAGUGCCAGGUAAGGUUCAGGUGAGGUUUCUUUUCUCUUUUAUUUCUGUUGUUCUAUUUUCUGUAAUUGUGUUUGGCUUUAUUAAAAAUGCCAGGGUAUUUCCAAAAAUCAAGAAACUGCUCAAUGUCACUGUUUGGAAUAUUUCCAACAGCAAACAUUUCAGUUUGUGAUUAUUUGAGCAUUUAAAAUAUUAUUAGCAAUUAAAUGCCCAAAUGCAAAUACUAUAUAAUUCGAUUCAAAAAUCCAGAAUGGCCUAGAAAAUGUGCACCAUUUUUGGGAGAGGUUCGAGACCAAUUCAAAAAUGAUGAACUUUUGUGAAGGGCAUUUUGGGUUCAUUGAAAUGUUUUUUAGUUGAACCUGGUAUUUUCAGGGGGGUGCUAGGUUUGUUGAUCCCAUUUCAGGUUUAAGAGAAAUUUAAACAUGAUGCAACACAAGACUAGCUAACCCAGAGCAGACCAGAACUAGGGAUGUGACAACUCACCCCCACUAGACAAGAAUCUCGUCCCGAGAUUCAAGCAUAGGGUAAGAUGGAAGGGGGGACACAAACUAUCACAAACUUCUCGAUCCAAUUGCCAUCAUCGAAGAUGUUGAUUCAUUGCUUCAAAUUGAUCUUGUCGUCUUUGCUUUCGGGUUCUUCAUCCAACACGAUGACGACAGAAGAAACUCUAUAGGGAUCGAUCUUCUUGAAGAUCGAGCAACUCACGAUCAACUCACGGAAUGAGAUGUUGAACAUCUCUCGAGCUAAGAAACGAAACAUACAUCAAGAGGGAUGGAGUGGAACAGAGAAUGAGGAUUCAAGUUGAUAAGCACAACUCCACGCUAAAUAAGAUGGUGCAUGGUUUCAAAGUCGCGAGGAGUUAAUUGCCAUGACUCCAUAACAAGGCACCAUAGGGAAAGUGGCUUGUAGAAUUAUUCCCUUAAGUGGCAAAAAGAAUUACUUUUGACACAUAGAUCAUUGAAAAUCUUCAUACCAGCCCAAGGCAAUUUGCAAUCGAUUACUUGUACGAGUUUGGAAGAAUGGCAUAUCCCGACUAGAAUGGAUGAUGUGGACUACCUUGUUGAAGAGAACGCAAUGGAUGAUUUUGCUUAUCAUCGAAAAUGGACGGGACCCAAGGUAGAAUGGCACAAUGGCGGUGCAAGCUGGGAACAAAAUACAAAUGCCGGGAAUGUUCCAACCAUCAUAUCUGCCUGAGAUUCAGAUCUGGUUGGUGUCAGGAUAUUCCAGACUCAUCAUGUCUGAAAGGAAGGAUUGCAACAAAAAAUCGAUGAGAUAACAUUGCGAGAUUCUCGGGAGAUGAACUACGAUAGCAAGCUCCAAAACGUGAGCUGGUUCUGCUACACACAUGUGAACACGUUGUCCCAGAAAGCAUGACCACAUAGUAGUCUUACAAUAUAACACUACCGAGUUCUGGUUGGGAACCAUCAUCGAGGAUAUCGAAGCCCUUGCAUAAGUCCGAAUCCUAAUAACGAACUUCUUCUCCUUGAACAGAUCAAUCAGUGGCUUGGUGUGCUAGUGAGGGAGUCCUAGAUUAGGGGGUUUCCGGACAGCCAUACUAUAUUCUUUGGCCGGACAAUUAGACUAAGAAGAUACAAGAUUUAAGACUUUGUGUCGUGUCCGGAUGGGACUCUACUUGGCGUGGAAGGCAAGCUAGGCAAUAUGGAUAUGCAUAUCUUCUCCUUUGUAACCAAACUUGUGUAACCCUAGCCCUCUCCGGUGUCUAUAUAAACCGGAGGGUUUUAGUCCGUAGGACAACAUACAAUGAUACCAUAGGCUAGCUUCUAGGGUUUAGCCUCUCUGAUCUCAUGGUAGAUCUACUCUUGUACUACCCAUAUCAUCAAUAUUAAUCAAGCAGGACGUAGGGUUUUACCUCCAUCAAGAGGGCCCGAACCUAGGUAAAACUUCGUGUCCCCUGCCUCCUGUUACCAUCUGCCUAGACGCACAGUUCGGGACCCCCUACCCGAGAUCCGCCGGUUUUGACACCGACAUUGGUGCUUUCAUUGAGAGUUCCUCUGUGUCGUCGCUGUUAGGCUUGAUGGCUCCUUCUAUCAUCGUUAGUGAUGCAGUCCAGGGUGAGACUUUUCUCCCCGGACAGAUUUUUGUAUUCGGCGGCUUUGCACUGCGGGCCAAUUCGCUUGGCCAUCUGGAGCAGAUUGAAAGCUACGCCCCUGGCCAUCAGGCCAGGUUUGGAAGCUUAAACUACACAGCCGACAUCCGCGGAGACUUGAUCUUCGACGCAUUCGAGCCUCUGCCUUGUGCGUCACGCGGUCAUGAUGAGUACGAUUUAGCUCUACCAUCCGACAGUGUUCAGGAGAUCGCACUGGCAGCCGCUCUGACCCUCAAUUCGGAGCCAGUUGCGCCAUCCAUGGACGGGUGGAUGGACCCCGCCAUGGAGGCCUUACCCUCAUCGGUGAUCGAGCCGAACAUCGGCCUUACUCUACAAGAGAGCCGUGUUGACGAACUGUCGGAUCUCUCUCCGGCCACGGAAUCCGAUUAGGCUCCGAUCAUGGAGUUUACCUCCGCGGAUAUUUUUCAGCACUCGCCCUUUGGCGACAUACUGAACUCGUUAAGGAUUGGGAUGCAGACGACGAAGAAAUUCACGGCCCGCCCACCAUCCACUUAGUAGCCAUUGUCGAUGACUUAACCGACAUGCUCGACUUUGACUCCGAAGACAUCGACAUUAUGGACGACGAUGCGGGAGACGAAGAUGAGCCACUGCCCAUAGGGCACUGGACAGCCACCUCAUCAUACGAUAUAUACAUGGUGGAGACACCCAAAGAAGGCAAUGGCGACGAGACAGCGGAGGACGACCCCUCCAAGAAGCAACCCAAGCGCCCACGUCAGCGGCGCCGCUCUAAGUCCAGCCAGAGCAAAAGUGGUGAUACCGGCACAGGAGAUAAUAACACUUCGGAUAGUGCCGAAGAUAACAACAAUCCCCUCCAGCAAGAUUUAGAGCAGGAGGAUGGAGGAGCCAGCCCUCCUGAUAGAGCGGCAGAUGGAGAAGCGGAGGAUGAUAAUUACAUGCCCCCUCCGAAGACGAGGCAAGCCUCGGCGAUGACGAAUUCACCAUGCGAGAGGAUCCCGUCGAACAAGAGCACUUCAAGCGCCAACUUAUAGCCACGGCAAAUAGCCUUAAGAAAAAGCAGCAGCAGCAGCUUCAAGCUGAUCAAGAUAUGCUAGCUGACAGAUGGACUGAAGUCCUCGCGGCCGAGGAAUAUAAACUGGAGCGCCCCUCCAAGAGUUACCCAAAAUGCAGACCCCGACUGGAGGAAGAAGCGUAUGACGCGGCUGAUCAGCCACCUCGUGGCCGAGAUAGAGAGGCAUUCCAGCCAAAAACUGAACCUGCACCCCAACGCCAUUCAAAUAAAAAGGCAUGGGGAAAUACGCCAUUCCUGCGAGACGUAUUGGAGGAGAAAGCAAAACUUGUAAGAUCAAUCUAUGGAUCAUGAGGGCGCGCCACUAUGCGAGACGAUAAAUGUCACGCCGGAUACAGUAAAAGUCAAUCCGGCUGGGCCGAACACAGCGGGCAAGACCCAUUCGAGCUGCGUCGCGAUAUAGCCCAAUACAGAGGCGUCGCACACCCCCUAUGCUUCACAGACGAAGUAAUGGAUCAUCAAAUCACAGAGGGUUUCAAACCCGUAAAUAUUGAAUCAUACGAAGACACAACAGAUCCUGCGGUAUGGAUCGAGGAUUUCCUCCUCCACAGCCACAUGGCCCGCGGCGAUGACUUACAUGCCAUCAAAUACCUCCCACUAAAGCUCAAAGGACCAGCGCGACAUUGGCUUAACAGCUUGCCAGCAGAGUCCAUUAGCCGUUGGGAAGAUCUGGAAGCCGCAUUUCUCGACAACUUUAGGGCACUUAUGUGCGACCACCAGACGCCGAUGACUUGAGCCACAUAAUUCAGCAGCCAGAAGAAUCGGCCAGGCAAUUCUGGACACGGUUCCUAACAAAGAAAAAUCAAAUCGUCGACUGUCCGGAUGUAGAGGCCCUAGCAGCCUUCAAGCAUAACAUCCGCGACGAGUGGCUUGCCCGGCACCUUGGAGAGGAAAAGCCAAAAUCUAUGGCAGCCCUCACGACACUCAUGACCUGCUUUUGUGCGGGAGAAGACAGUUGGCUGGCUCGCAGUAACAACAUAUCAAAAAACCAUGGUACUUCGGAUACCAAGGACGGAAAUAGUAGGUCACGUCGCAAACAUAAGCGCCGCAUUAACAGUGACAAUACUGAGGAUACGGUAGUCAAUGCCGGAUUCAAAGGCUCUAAACCCGGUCAGUGGAAAAAGCCAUUUAAAAGAAGCACUCCGGGCCCGUCCAGUUUGGACCGCAUACUCGAUCACUCGUGUCAAAUACACGGUACCCCUGAUAAGCCAGCCAACCACACCAACAGGGAAUGCUGGGUGUUCAAACAGGCCGGCAAGUUAACUGCCGAAGAUAAAGAUAAGGGGUCACACAGCAAUGACGAAGAGGAGCCCCGGCAGCCAAACACCGGAGGACAGAAGAGGUUCCCCCCACAAGUGCGGACGGUGAACAUGAUAUACGCAACCCACAUCCCCAAGAGGGAGCGGAAGCGUGCGCUCAGGGACGUAUAUGCGUUGGAGACAGUCGCCCCAAAGUUCAACCCAUGGUCCUCCUGCCCGAUCACCUUCGACCGCAAGGACCACCCCACUAGUAUCCGUCACGGCGGAUUCGCCGCACUGGUCUUAGACCCAAUCAUUGAUGGAUUUCACCUCACUCGAGCCUUAUGGAUGGCGGGAGUAGCCUGGACCUGCUUUACCAGGACACAGUGCGUAAAAUGGGUAUAGACCCCUCAAGGAUCAAACCCAACAAAACAACCUUUAAAGGCGUCAUUCCAGGUGUAGAGGCCCAUUGCACAGGCUCAAUUACACUGGAAGUGGUCUUCGGAUCCCCGGAUAACUUCCGAAGAGAAGAAUUAAUCUUUGAUAUAGUCCCGUUCCGCUGUGGCUAUCAUGCACUGCUCGUGCGAACCGCAUUUGUGAAAUUCAAUGCGGUACCGCAUUAUGCAUACCUCAAGCCCAAGCUGCCAGGACCCCGGGGGGUCAUCCCAGUUAACGGAAACACAGAGCGCUCUCUCCGCACGGAGGAGCACACUACGGCCCUCGCAGCAGAAGUGCAAAGCAGCCUCUCAAGGCAAUCCACCAGUUCGGUGUUUCAAGACCAGGACGCCUUCAAACGCGCUCGGAGUAAUCGGCAACUAGACCUCCUUGCACGGUCUGAGCUCGCGUAGCAAUGCGGCCCCCACCCCGGCCCAAGCCAAACGGCGAAAUUCGUGCCACGCGUACAUAAUUACGCAUUAAAAAUACCAUGGGCACAGGUGGGGAGGGGGGAACAACUACGGCACGCUCCAAGACGCGGCCUAAACCGCACUAGGGGCUUCCCGCUUUGUUAUUUUUCUCUUUCAGGACUUUAAUCUCUGGAAACCUUGUCCGGCAGCAUGAUUGCCGAACACAUGACGCAGCAACCAAGAGAGGCAGAAAGCUACGUCACAUCACGGUACUCCCAGGUGGAUUACGAUAACGAGUGAAAUAUUUGCUUUAAUACUAUUCCUCAGCUGGCCCUUGGAAGGGACAUAGUCCUACUUUUUUCUUAUCGCACUAUCUGUAUCAUUCUGCUUUAACGCACCUCUUUGAAUAAACAACGCAUAAUAUUACAAUUAUUAUUGCAUUCUUGUUUUAUAUAUAUGUGUUCAUUAAUGACGCCUUGCAACCGUACACUUUGGUACGGCCAACACACCAGGGGCUUAAGUACCCCACAAAUAUGGUGUGAGAAGUCCGAACACUUUCACAAGUGCGGCACCCCGAACUUAUAGCAGUAUAUGCAUCAGCUCUGAAUCGUGUCUUUGGUCAAAUGUUGGGUUUGCUCGGCUCCUAUGUUUUGGUACCUUACAUUCCGCUCUAUCGGCUAAAGUAGCGUGUCGGUGUCAAAACCGGCAGAUCUCGGGUAGGGGGUCCCGAACUGUGCGUCUAGGCCGGAUGGUAACAGGAGACAAGGGACACGAAGUUUUACCCAGGUUUGGGCCCUCUCGAUGGAGGUAAAUCCCUACGUCCUGCUUGAUUAAUAUUGAUGAUAUGGGUAGUACAAGAGUAGAUCUACCAUGAGAUCGAGGAGGCUAUACCCUAGAAGCUAGCCUAUGGUAUGAUUGUUGAUGUGUAUGUUGUCCUACGGACUAAAACCCUCCGGUUUAUAUAGACACCGGAUAGGGUUAGGGUUACAUAGAGUCGGUUACAAUGGUAGGAGAUCUAAAUAUCCGCAUCGCCAAGCUUGCCUUCCACGCCAAGGAAAGUCCCUUCCGGACACGGGACAGAGUCUUCAAUCUUGUAUCUUCAUAGUCCAGGAGUCCGGCUGAAGGUAUAGUUCGGCCAUCCGAACACCCCCUAAUCCAGGACUCCCUCAGUAGCCCCUGAACCGGGCUUUAAUGACGACGAGUCCGGCGCGCAGAUUGUCUUCGGCAUUGCAAGGCGGGUUCCUCCUCCAAGUACUUCAUAGAAGAUUUUGAACACAAAGGUAGUGUUCGGCUCUGCAAAAUAAGUUUCCACAUAUUUCCAUAGAGAGAAUAAUAUUUACACAAAUCUAAUCUGCUAGCGUAUUCUAUAGCGUGACAUCACACCACGGCCAAGCUUUUAUUCGAACCGUUUUACUGUCCCAUCUCAGCGCGUUAUGCGAGGCGGUUUCCUUGGCACGUCUUGUUAAAGCAGAUAUUGUGUCCCCUUAUUCCGCGAUUCUCAUCAAUACGGGCGUGGGUAACCCAACCGCUUAUAGGAUUCCUAGAUUAUAGGCAAGCCCAAGCGAACACGGAGAGGGCGCUUGAUAUUGACCCUCUUUAUAAAGGGACCAGGCUUUUAUUUUUCCCUCCCAUGCUCAAUCGAAUCCUUCCCCCACCUCAAGCUCAAGCGCCCGAAGUUCAGGUCAGAUGCUCUGAACCUUCAGUCAUGUCCGGAUCUAGCCUUCAAGGACGAUGGGUGCCUUCCUCCGUCACGGAAGGAGACAUCAAAAAGUUGAGGGAGGCCAAAUAUCUGACCGCCGAGAUUUUGCAUCGGCUGCCUCCCCGAGGGCAGGUCGUCCCUACCCCCGAACCCAACGAGAACGUCGUGUUCGUUUCCCACUUCCUCCGAGGUCUAGGCCUUCCUCUAGAUCCCUUCAUCAGGGGUUUGAUGUUUUAUUACGGGCCAGACUUCCAUGAUCUAGCUUCGGACUCCUUUCUUCAAAUCACGACAUUUAUCGUCAUGUGUGAGGCCUUCCUCUGGGUUACCCCUCACUUUGGCUUGUGGCUCAAGACCUUUGAAGUGAAGCCGAAGAUGGUCGAGGGGCAACAUGCAGCAUGUGGAGGUACCUCAGUACGCAAGAUGACAGGAGCUCUGUGGCCCAAAGGUUCCAUCCCGGAGGUGUCUGAAUUGUGGCAACAGGAAUGGUUCUAUAUCACGGCUCCUAGAAGCGCCAAGGGGGCGGCCGCCCCUGUUUUCCGCUCGGGCCCUCCACCACAACUGAUCUCAUGGAUCAGCAGGGGUCUGAGCUGGAGCCCAGCCAAGGAUGUGCCUAUACUGCAAAGCCGCAUUCGAGAUCUCUUCAAUGGAGAUUUCAGUUUGGUCGCGGUAGCACAAGUUAUGCUGGUUCGUCAAGUCCAACCUUGCAAACGUCGCCCCCUUCACCUAUGGGAGUUCAAUCCCGAGGGACCGCGUGUCAUUCAAAAUUUCCUCGGUUUGACGCACGAGGAGAUAUACAAGUCAUUCUUCGGACCUCAGGUAGAGUGUCCGGAAAUCACCGAGGACGUGGGCCUGAGUAGUACCCGCACCGCCGAACAGGUAAGGAAUCUUCCGGCCGAACGUACUGUCUCUCAUUUGUUACGAAGUUUAUUUCUGAGAAUUCGCUUUCUGAUCAGGACUGGCUAGCGAAGGCAAAGUUGAUUCGGUGUUCGGCCCCCCUCCCUGAAGGUUUGGAAAAUCCGGUCCUGGAAAAGAUGCUCCAGAUCGCACCUUGCCCGGAGCCCUUGAGGGAAGAUACUGUGGAGGACAGUAAGGGCGGACGCGGGCCCCCAACGCUGCCCAUUCUAACCGAGGGAGCGGGCGUCUCCAUGAAGGAAGACGACCGGAAGAGGAAAAGGACCGCACCCGGGGAUUCGGAAGCCGAAGCUUCCAAACGGGAGAAGAAGUCUCCCACCGAGGGUCCUACCUUGGGGGGUGCUGUUUCCGCACAAAGUCCACAGGGGGAUCAAUUCUCCCGCGAGUUGUAAGUGACCCGGAAUACUUAAACAGUACAGAUAUGCCAUCUUUUCCUUCUGAGAAAAUAACCACUGCAUAUAUCUUAGCAGUUCGUGCCUUAGCCCCUCUCAAAUGAGCUCAUCUUCGGGGGAUCUUCUUCCAGAGAUGAUGGAGAGCGAAACGCCUCCUCCGGACUCCUCCGCUCCGGAAGCGGGCAACCCUGAAGUGUCGUCACGGAGGGCCUCUCCGAGUCCAGUGAGGCCAAAAGAUAAUCCCGUUGACCCCCGAAGCUCCCAAUGUCCGGCUCCCGAAGAGAGCAGACAAAAGAGUCCGGCACCGUCUAGUGUGCGAUCGGAUGUUCUGAGGGAGUUGGUGGGGCGAGCGGCCAUCUCAGAUGAACACCAUGUGCUGAUGAAGACGGUGAUGGAGAGAAUAUCGUCUGCCGAAAGCGGAUUGCAUGAAGCUUUUAUGAGUCUACUAACAGGCUUUGAGGUACGUAAAAGAAUGUAUGAUAGUCCUGCACAUGCUAGGUGUGCCCUGUGUAGAUAGUAGCCCCUGAGACUCUGGUUGUCAUCGGAAAUGACGACGAACAGAGGAUCAAAUUCCCAGGUAAUAACCAUACCGCCUCUAUGUGCAGGUGAUGGAAGCUCCGGUGGCUAGCCGGACUAAUGAGUUUGCCCAUUUAGAACGGCAGUUGGAUGCGGCAGACGCCGACAUCGAGCUUGUUAAAAAAAGGCUUGACGAGGCACAAGAUAAGUGUCUUUAUCUGGUAAACGUCACACAGGAAGAGCAGCAUAAUGCCAGUAUCUUUAAUAUGUUGUUACUGCAGAUGGAUCUGCCACUGUUGAAGCCUUGCGGGCAGAACUUGCCCGAGCCAAGGAGCAAGCGAGGUUGGGUAAUGCGGCUGCUCUGAAGGCGGCCAAAGAGUUGCAAGCCGAGAAGGCCGCACAUGGCGAAAGCCGAGACAAGAUGGCCAAGAUGGCCAUAGAAUUAAAAGCCGCCGCCGACCGUUGCCGGGUUCUUGAAAAGGAAAACCAGGCGAAGGCAUCGGAUCUUGAGAAGGCUGCUGCAACGAGAAAAGACCUCCGCUCUUCUAUGAGGGCAAAGAAGGAGGAGCUGCGGGAAGCAGGGGAUAUUGUAGCUGGGAAAUCCUUUAUGUUGCGGAGGAAGUUCGGAGAUCCACGGUAUGCCCCUCUGGAUCGGCUGUGGAGCUCGGAGGAUGUGUAUAUGGAUUUGGCGGCGAGCGCUGCCGAUGCGGCCAAGUACUUCAAGGGUCAAACGGACCGUGGAGUAGACCAGCUAUUUUGGAGACAAUUCCAUUCUCCCAAGCGUCCACUUUCAUUGACUGACCAAUUAGCCGAAUGGGCCGAACUAAAUAGGUUGUCCGGACUCACCAUGAGGUCCAUUGUGGAUCAGCUAUGGCCGGAAAGGUUGAAACCGAACAGCUAUUUCAGCUUGGUGCAUCAGUUCCUGGACGUGGUGCCGUGCAUUAAUGCGAUGAAGAGGUCAGCGUGCAUAGAGGGCGCACGGAUGGCCUUUGCGCGUGUCAAGGUAUACUGGACGGAGAUGGAUGCUACCAAUGUUGCGGCGCGAUAUUCGGCCAUAUAGGUCGGAAGGCUGCUGAGCACUACUUUGGAGAGGUUCUUGAGGGUGCCCGUUUGCUAGAGUCCCAGUGCUCAAAAAAAUUAUGUUUGAGUGAUAUGUAAUCUCAUUAUAAGCGAAAUGCUUUUAUAGAGUUUUAUAAGGCUAUUUUUAUACUUUUGCCUAAAAGUAAUAUGAUGCCUCCUGGACAGCCCUUUUUGUAUACGUGUGUAUAACUGAAAGAUUGCGGUCGUCGGCUUCAACCCCCAUGCAUAUAAUGCGGAGCUGCUGGCAAAAAACACGCGUUCACACUUAACCCAACGUCUUGGUCCUAUUAAGGAGGUGAUAGCGGAGCGAGCAAGGCAACCGGACUAUAAUGCUUUAACACUUUCACUUAGCCAUAGGAGUUUGAUAGUGGGGCUACGAGAUAGCCCCUGGUGGCUCCGCACUCUCCCGAUCUCGGGGUGCGUACAUGCCUGGCCGGAAAACGGCCCUUUGUUAAGGCAGAGGAAUUCUAACAUUCCCACAGGUCAUCGAGUGGUUGACCAGUCUCGCACUAUAUCAUGACAGUCAGUUUUCGGCUUUCUCUACUGAGGUGCUCGUCCGGAUGAACCAGGGCACAAUCGCAGUAGUUCUCCUGGUGCUACCUAAGCCGGUAAAGCGAAAUGUAAGGCACCAAAACACAGGAGCCGGGCAAACCCAACAUUUGACCAAAGACAAUGAUUCGGAGCUGAUGCAUAUAGGGCCAAACUCGCGACGCCGAACACUCUCUAAGGUAUUCGGUCCUUGUGGUAUAAACCGGUCCUAAAUAAUGGCUUUUGUAAGAAGCCCCUUGUGUCCAGGUACAUGCAUUGUUCUGGCGUGGCCACAUGCCAAGACGUCAGCAUCCUUCACAACGGUGGAUAUGUAUCAACAAGAGACAGUAAGAAAGGUUUACGCAGGGUCUUAAUCUAAAAAGAAUCCUUUGAGCGGGUCCUUGUUGCAUGUCUGCGCCUGUGUCUCCGUUGUGCAGUAUUCUGGACGGGUGUAGCACGAUGAUCGUCUGUAAAAGAGAGGAAGUUAGGUGAAAAAGUUGUCGUGCAAAAAGAUAGUUUUUAAAGAAACCAUGUACAAUUGAAGAUGAUAAGAAAUUGCCACUUGUCUACGCGCGUUGAGCCCCUUGUAUUGACAAAUAGGGGUGUGAUCACUUAUUCGGUGUAAAUAGCGGCGUCGGACUCGAUCGAUGGUCCGGAUGUCUUUAAUGUUCGGCUGCCAAGGCAGCCUCACUCUCUUCGGCACGCAGAGAGCGCUUGAUAUCUCCGUGCACUGUAAUGAUGCCACGUGGACCGGGCAUCUUGAGUGUGAGGGAGGCGUAGUGUGGUAUUACAUUAAAGCGAGUGAAAGCUUCUCGUUCGAGCAGUGCUUGAUAGCCACUUUGAAACGGAGCUAUGUGGAAAGUUAAAUGGUCGCGACGGAAGUUAUCGGGGGAGCCGAAUGUAACUUGUAAUGAGAAGGAGCCCGUACAACGAGCCCCUGGGCCUGGCGUUACUCCUUUAAAGGUAGUAUUGCUAUGGCGAAUUUGUGUUGGGUCUAACCCCAUCCCGCGGAUUGUAUUCUGAUAUAUUAGGUUUAGGCUACUGCCGCCGUCCAUCAAGACUUGUGUGAAGUGAUAUCCGUCAAUUACUGGGUCUAAUACCAGGGCAGCCCAUCCUGCGUGCCGGAUACUUGCUGAGUAAUCGUGAUGGUCGAAAGUGAUCGGUUGAGAUGACCAGUGGCAGGACUUCGCGGUGACAGGCACUUGAGUAUGUUUUCCUGGGAGUGCUGUGUUGUUUUUUUCCCUGAUCACGUGUAACACGUUUACUGUUUUGACUUCUGGUGGAAAUUUCUUUGGUUCCGCCGUGUCUUGUUUGGGAGGCCCGUCCUCGUCUUCACUUGGUGUAUCUUCCCCCUUGUGUACGGCGUUGAGCUUGCCGGACUACUUGCAGACCCAACAUUCUCUGUGGGUAUGAUUAGUGGGUUUACCAGGGGUACUAUGGAUUUGGCAUACUUGGUCCAGAAUUUUGUUGAGGCUGGAUAGUUCGUCCCUGGUGCCUUUAGGGGGCGCCUUUUGACCUGGCCGAAAGCUUUUGAAUCCGGCAUUUACUGCCGUGCCCUUCGUGCUAUCUUCUUUAAUCCGGAGUUUGCUAUUGCUAUUGCGCCGUGAUUUCCCGUUUCCAACUCUAACUUCGGAUGUACUGGGGUCGCUGGUGCUGCAUCUUGCUAGCCAGCUAUCCUCACUCGCGCAAAAGCGGGUCAUGCGGUUUGUUAAUGCGGCCAUCGUUCUCGGCUUAUUUUGGCCGAGGUGUCUGGCGAGCCAUUCGUCGCGGAUGCUAUGCUUGAAAGCUGCCAAGGCUUCGGCGUCCAGACAGUCGACAAUCUAGUUCUUUUUAGUAAGAAUCCUUUUCCAAAGCUUUCGGGCUGACUCUCCGUGCUGUUGAGUAAUAUGACUCAAAUCAUCCGCAUCCGAAGGUCGGACAUAAGUCCCUUGAAAAUUUCCCCGAAAGGCGUCUUCAAGUUCUUCCCAACUUCCAAUGGAGCUUUCGGGGAGGCCUUUGAGCUAAGUGACGAGCUGGCCCUUUGAGCUUGAGGGGUAAGUACUUGAUGGCGUGGAGAUCGUCUCCUCGAGCCAUAUGGAUGUGAAGGAUGUAGUCCUCAAUCCAGACUCCGGGGUCUAUUGUUCCGUCUUAUGCCUCUAUGCUUACGGGUUUGAAUCCCUCUGGAAAUUCAUGGUCCAGCACCUCAUCGGUGAAACACAGGGGGUGUGCGACACCCCUGUAGCUGGGUGUGCCGCGUUGUUCAGGUGUUUGUUGUGUUGCGUUGUAUGCUGGGGCGCGCUUGCGUGGUCCAUAGAUGGAUCUUGUUGUGUCGUCCUUUGGGUGCGAGCCCUUGCAUGGGUCGCGUAUUGUAUUGUGAGUGGCGUUGUAUGCCGCUCUUUGUUGGUAGAGGGGUCGUCUAUCCGACCAGGUGGCUACUGUGAUAUUUGGUUGUGGAGGUUCUGAGGCCUCCUCAUCGAACUCGGGCAGCAGCUUCCGCUUUGGGUAGCUCUUGGAGGGGCGAUUGUCGCCGUACCUUGCUAUUGUGCUGAGUAUUUUACUCCAUCUGAAUUGGAGUGUGUCUUGCGCGGCCUUGAGCCUUUGCUUCUGUUUUUUCAGGUUCCUGGCGGUGGCAACAAGCCUUUUACGGGCAGUCUCCUGCUCCGGGUGUCGGUCCGAUGUUAUGUCGUCCAGGCCAUUAUCCUUGAUAGGAUUUGUUUGUUCAGUUUGAUUAUCCGGAUUGCCGUUGUCCGGCAGCGGUUCGCCCUGCUCCAGCGCUAGGUCUGUGUGAUCGCUAUUUCUAUCGAGGCGGGAUUUGGUGCGUCGCUUGCGUCGCCGCUUUGACUGCUUUUCGAGGGAACAAGCCUUCGGUGCGCCCUUCCGUUCCUCGUCGUCAUCUUUUGGUGCGUCCACCAUGUAUACGUCAUACGACGAGGUGGCUUUCCAGGGCCUAGUAGGCGCUGGUUCUUCAUCAUUUCCUUCAUCGGCGUCCAUACCAUCGAUGUCUUCGGAGUCGAAGUCGAGCAUGUCGGUUAAGUCGUCGACAGUGGCUACAAAGUGGGUGGUGGGCGGGCUUUGAAUUUCUUCAUCGUCCGAAUCCCAACCUUGCUGGCCGUAGUCCGGCCAGGGCUCUCCUGAUAAAGAGAGAGACUUUAGUGACUUCAUAAUAUCGCCAAAAGGCGAGUGCUGACAGAUGUCCGCGGCAGUAAACUCCAUGAUUGGCGCCCAAUAGGAUUCGAUUGGCCGGGGCGCGGAGGGUUCGGAGUCCAGAAAGGAGUCCGGCUCCUUGGAGACACUAGUCCCGCAGAGUGCGGGGCUGGUGUUCGGCUCAAUUGCCGUUGGGAUCGUAGCCCCCAAGGCGGCGUCCAACCGCCCAUCCUCGAUCGAUGCAGUUGGCUCCGAAUUAAGAAUCGGGGCCGAUGUGGGUGCGGCCUCCAGGGCACUGUUCGACGGCAGAGCUAGAUCGUGCUCGUCGGCAAUGGCUCGAAUCCGUCAAGGAUCAAGUCCCCGUGGAUGUCAGCCGUGUAGUUUAAACUUCCAAAUCUGACCUGACGGCCAGGGGCGUAGCUUUCGAUCUGCUCCAGGUGGCCAAGUGAAAUGGCCCGUAGUGCGAAGCCUCCGAAGACAAAGAUCUGCCCGGGGAGGAAGGUCUCACCCUGGACUGCAUUGCUAUCGAUGAUCGUAGGAGCCAUCGAGCCUGAUGGCGACGACAUAGAGGAACUCUCAAUGAAAGCACCAAUGUCGGUGUCAAAACCGGCGGAUCACGGGUAGGGGGUCCCGAACUGUGUGUCUAGGCCGGAUGGUAACAGGAGGCAAGGGACACGAAGUUUUACCUAGGUUCGGGCCCUCUCGAUGGAGGUAAAACCCUGCGUCCUGCUUGAUUAAUAUUGAUGAUAUGGGUAGUACAAGAGUAGAUCUACCAUGAGAUCAAGGAGGCUAAACCCUAGAAGCUAGCCUACGGUAUGAUUGUUGAUGUGUAUGUUGUCCUACGGACUAAAACCCUCCGGUUUAUAUAGACACCGGAUAGGGUUAGGGUUACAUAGAGUCGGUUACAAUGGUAGGAGAUCUAAAUAUCCGCAUCGCCAAGCUUGCCUUCCACACCAAGGAAAGUCCCUUCCGGAAACGGGACGGAGUCUUCAAUCUUGUAUCUUCAUAGUCCAGGAGUCCGGCUGAAGGUAUAGUUCGGCCAUCGAACACCCCCUAAUCCAGGACUCCCUCAUAGCGCUAGGAUAACUACUGCGAUUGUGCCCCGGUUCUGUUGGGCUAAGCACCUCAGUAGAGAAAGCUAAAACUGACUGUCAUGAUAAGGCGAGAGACUGGCCGCUGUUCGGCGAGGUUUCGAGUCCCUAAAGACUUAUGCCGCUUAGAGCGAGGAGUCGGUCCUGUCCGGCUUAAAGGCGUGUAUCGUGCCCUGGAUUCGGCCUUCCGAAUACUAGGGGCUUCGUCGAAAUUUAAAAUUAUAGAAUUCUAUGGCUAAGUGAGAGUGAUAAAGCAUUAUUAGUCCGGUUGCCUUGUUCGUUGUGCUGAGCACCUCCCUCGAAGGACCCAACAAUGGGAACAAGAGUGCUUAGGUUUAUCCCGAACACCCCAGCACUCGCGGCAUGGGGGCAGAAGCCGAGGACUAGCCAUCUCUCAGAUUGGAUAAACAGCCAAACAGAAGGUAAUAUUUUAAAUUCAAACAAGCGUUGCAUAGCACAUAUGAAACAAGUUUUCAUCAUACAGGAUCACACGAGCAAGUUUACUCAAAUAUUACAUCCUUUGAACAUUCGUCCGCUACAAGACGGGCACCCUUCAGGACACCCUAAUAAUAAAUUUCGGGGGUGCGAUGCUCCUUGCCCUGCGGCGGUCCCUCCUUGAUCAGCUUCACGGCGUCUAGCUUGGCCCAUUGCACCUUCACACGGGCGAAAGCCCGGCGUGCACCUUCGAUGUAGAAAGACCGCUUGACGACCUCCAGCCGUGGGCAGGCGUCCACAAGCCGCCUCACCAGGCCGAAGUAGCUGUUCGGAAGGGCGUCGCCAGGCCACAGCCGGACUAUAACGCCCUUCAUGGCCUGUUCGGCCGCUUUGUGUAGCUCAACCAGCUGCAUCAGCUGGUCUCUCAUAGGCACCGAGUGUUCGGUCCCAGUAUACUGAGACCAGAACAACUUCUCCGUUGAGCUUCCCUCCUCGGCCUGGUAAAACUGUGCGGCAUCCUACACGCUGCGGGGCAAAUCUGCGAAUGCUCCUGGAGAGCUCCAGAUUCGGGUAAGUAAUAGGUAAUUUACUUUCACAUGCUUGCUUUGCAUAUAAAAUGCCUUACCCGCCGCUAUUUUCUUCAUCGCGUCAAUCUCCUGGAGGGCCUUUUGGGCUUCGGCCUUGGCAUUUUUUGCGCUCUCGAGGGCCGUGGCAAGCUCAGACUCUCGCGUCUUCGAGUCAAGCUCCAACGCCUCAUGCUUCGUCACGAGAGCCUGGAGCUCUUGCUGCACCUCGCCCACCCGAGCCCCUUGCCUUUCCCGCUUGGUGCGCUCCUUGGUCGCUUUAUCUUCGGCCUCGGACAGCGCUUGCCUUAGGGUCACCACUUCGGUCGUGCCCCUGGCAAAUUCAUGAUGAUCCUGUCAUUUCGCAACGCAUUCUUUUUAUACAUAUCCAUAAACUAGGUAUUACUUACCUUUGUUCUCCUUGAGCUGCCUCUUGGCAAGGCCGAGCUCGUCCUUGGACACUUUAAGGUCCUGCUUCAGUGCGGCGACCUCCGCAGUCAGUGCGGGAAAUGCUAGCAGCGAAGCCUGCAUAUGCAUAUUGACAUACUUAUAUUAGACUCAUGCGAUGUUGUUUGAUCCUCUGUUCGGCUUUUCUUUGUGAACACCGAACAGAGCAUCAGGGGCUACUGUCUAUGCGGUAAUAUUUUUCCUAUAUUCUAAUCACUUACCUCAAAGCCUGUUAGAAGGCUGGCACAGGCUUCAGUCAAUCCGCUCUUGGUGGACGUACUGAACCUUCUGGACCACCGCACUCAUAAUAGUACGGUGCUCCUCCUCGAUGGAAGCGCUCCGAAGCGCUUCCAUUAGAUUAUCUGGCGCCUCUGGAUGGACAGAGGUCACCGGCACAGGCGUCACGCCCCUCUUAGAAGGAGGCCGCAAGCCUGAGUCUGGAACCGCUGGAGGUUCCGGCACGGUGUUCGGCUGAGGGCCGAACUCGGGGCCCUCAGGGGCCUUGUCCCCUCGGCUCCCGGAGUCCGGAAGGUCGCCUUGAGGCGCCUCCAGGACUGUCUCCCCUCGACCCGGUGCCUCUUGAGACAACACCUCGGUGUCAUCCGCAGGGCAAGGGGAGGUGGCGGUCAGAAGUGGAUCGCUAUCCAUAUCCGACGAGGCCAGGGAGCCGUCCGACGAUACAUCGAUACGGGCUCGUGGCGGCCUGCAUAAUCAUAUUCAGCGUUAGGGAAAGUAGUGCGACAAAGGAAUGCUAUGAGUUACUCUAGUAUCCGAAUACUUACGACCUUCCCAGGGGUUUGGCCCUGGGCAACCACUCGUCUUCGCCUUCGGCGGCGACGAUGGAGCUGUCCGGAAGGAGAGUCCUUCCCUUCUUGGACCCUUCGGCCCCCCAGUUGGGGCGGCCUUCCUUUUCUUGUCUCCCCUACCUGGAGGGGGAGCAUCUUCUUCUUCCUCCUUGUCUUCGUGGGAGGAGUGUGCCGUAGAGUCAUUAGAUGGUGAGUCCGAUGACGCCUGGCGUCGGGAACUCUUUCGGGUUCCCUUGGCCUUCUUGGUCUUCUCCGGCACCGUAUAAGGAGCCGGAGUCAGCAUCUUCGCCAGGAGAGCGUCUACUGGGCCUUCGGGCAAAGAGCCGGACAGUCGACCUGUCCGGCCGUCUCCUGCCAGUCCUGUCAAAGGUACGGGAUCUUACAUCCCGCAUAGAGUCAAACUAUGGAAAACAAGUAUCCUGUGAGAGGUAAAACAGCUUACUGCGCUGGCUUGGCGCUUCGCGCAGAAUCCGCGGUCCUCCGUAGUGGGAGGGGGAACCUCGGCGCUCUUGAACAACAUCUUCCAGGCAUCUUCGUGAGUUGUGUCGAAGAGCCUGUUCAGAGUUUGAUGCUGGGCCAGGUCGAACUCCCACGAGUUGAAAGCCCGUUGUUGGCACGGGAGGAUCCGGCGGUUGAGCAUGACCUGGACCACGUUAACAAGUUUGAGCUUCUUGUUCACCAUGUUUUGCAUACAUGUUUGGAGUCCGGUCAGCUCUCCCGAACUACCCCAGGACAUGCCCUUCUCUUGCCAGGAGGUGAGCCGCAUGGGGAAGCCAGAUCGGAACUCGGGGGCCGCUACCCAUUUAGGGUCGCGCGGCUCGGUGAUGUAGAACCACCCCGAUUGCCACCCCUUUAUGGUCUCCACGAAGGAGCCCUCGAGCCAUGUGACAUUGGGCAUCUUGCCCACCAUGGAGCCUCCGCACUCUGCCUGGCGGCCGCUCACUACCUUCAGCUUGACGUUGAAGGUCUUCAGCCAUAAGCCGAAGUGGGGCUUGAUGCGGAGGAAGGCCUCGCAAACAACGAUAAACGCCGAGAUGUUGGGGAUGAAUUUCGGGGCCAUAUCGUGGAAAUCCAGGUCGUAGUAGAACAUGAGCCCCCGGACGAAUGGGUGGAGAGGGAAUCCCAGUCCGCGGAGGAAGUGGGUAAGGAACACUACCCUCUCAUGGGGCCUGGGGGUGGGGAUGAGCUACCCCUCACCUAGGAUCCGGUGCGCGAUGUCGUCGCGCAGGUAUCUGGCUCUCCUCAGCUUCUUGAUGUGUCCCUCCCUGACGGAGGAGACCAUCCACCUGCCUCCCGCUCUGGACAUGAUUGGAGAAGGUCUUGAUAUGGGCGGUCGAAACUAUGCGCCACCACUAGCCUAGUAAAACUCCCUUAUCCCCCAAGCACCGUAAUCGAUGGCGGGGUUGGGUUACCCAUGCCCCUAUUGAUGAGAAUAGCGUGAUAAGGGGACAUGAUCUCUGCUUUGACAAGACGUGUCAAAAAACUGCCUCGCAUUAUGUGCGGGGCUAGUUAAAGGAAACAGUUCGAAUAAUCACCGGGCCAUGACAUAAUGUCGUGUUGCCAAGACGUGUCAGCAGAUUAGAUUUGUGGAAGUAUUAUUCUCUCUACGGUGGUAUGUGGAACUUAUUUUGCAGGGUCAUACACUAUCCUUGUAUUAAAAUUCUUCUGUGAUGUAUUCGGAGGAGGAACCUGCCUUGCAAUGCCGAAGACAAUACUGCACGCCGGACUCAUCGCCAUUGAAGCCUGGUUUAGGGGCUACUGAGGGAGUCCUGGAUUAGGGGGUCUCCAGACAGCCGGACUAUAUUCUUUGGCCGGACUGUUAGAGUGUGAAGAUACAAGAUUGAAGACUUCGUCUCGUGUUCGGAUGGGACUCUACUUGGCGUGGAAGGCAAGCUAGCAAUACGGAUAUGCAUAUCUUCUCCUUUGUAACCGACCUUGUGUAACCCUAGCCCUCUCCGGUGUCUAUAUAAAUCAGAGGGUUUUAGUCCGUAGGACAACAUACAAUGAUACCAUAGGCUAGCUUCUAGGGUUUAGCCUCUCUGAUCUCAUGGUAGGUCUACUCUUGUACUACCCAUAUCAUCAAUAUUAAUCAAGCAGGACGUAGGGUUUUACCUCCAUCAAGAGGGCCCGAACCUGGGUAAAACUUCGUGUCCCCUGCCUCCUGUUACCAUCCGCCUAGUCGCACAGUUCGGGACCCCCUACCCGAGAUCCGCCGGUUUUGACACCGACAGCUAGGAACACAUAUGGAGUGGAGGUAAUUAAUCUACUAAACCAUAGAGUACUUCCGCAUGACAGACUUGGGAUGAUUCCAAAGGAAACAAAAACAAGCUCCCUCGAAUUCAUGGUGGCAACUUGCAUCGAUUGCACGUGAGCUUAGAGGAAGUCACUACUUUCAUCCAAACAUAUACUUGAUGAACGGGGCAUGAAGGGAAUGCGUACACAAGUUUCCAACACUAGCUAGAUGUUCAACAUGAAUCAUGGUGGAGACAAGAUGCUGCUGAUGGGCUCAGCAGCAACACAUCGGGAUUUCCAUAUCACUGGACGUCCACCAUUAUCUGAACAAUGUGAUAGUAUUGGUCAGACCAAAAUACGUAAUGGUGUAUGCUCGAGGGAUCAACCAGGAGUAAGAUAACAUUACGAACAUCGUUGGUUCUGACUUGACUUGACGAUAGCCCAUACUCAAGUCAAACUUUUGACAAGGCAAUAGAUCCAACAACUGAUCACGAGGACCAAUCGAUGGAGAUAUCAUCUUUCCUCAACACACACACAUACACACACAAAAACAUAUCCCUUAACAUGAACUAUGUCAGACAAGCUUUUAUCUUCCAACUCUCCAAGUUGUUGUUUUGGCUUAACCAACUAGCUCAGGGGUAUCCAACACAGAUUCUUGGAGAAUGGGUGGUUUGGAGGAAUACGAACAUGGUCACGAGCCCAACAUAGCGGUCAAGUGACAACCUGGUAAUACUUCCGAGAGGAUAUUCGGAACAUCACUAACCACCGAUAUGUUACUAAGCUUGAGAACAAUCAUGCCUUUCAGAGCAAGAAGAUAGGAUCAAAAGAUAUAGGGAUUAAUAAUCCUAACUCACUGACCGAAGUGUGCACCAGAAAUAUGGACUAGGUAGAAUGAUCAAUCUUAGGAUGAUGAUUUAAUAACCAACACGCUAAGAAUGAGAAUAUUGUCCAUUAACUACCAGGCAACACGGUUGCUAGGAGUAUAGAUUUCACACAUCACGAUUCAUUAGUCGGCAUUCUGAUUGCGAUAACACGACACCGAGGAAUGAAUAAUGAUGGCGGUAAGUAUCACUACGUCAAGAAUUCAUAAGAGGUGGUGCAAUUCUCGUGACAAUCUUGGCAUAAGAUGGUAAUACUUCAGAAUAGAACAGAACAAAAGUUGAAUUGGAAUUUUGAUCUGCGGGAUACAACUACUUUGACCCAAUCCUAGAAAUGGAUGAGGUACUGGAGUUUGUUUCUCCUAGUCAUUCUGAACUAGAAUGGCUUGACGGACCAGAAGAAUAAUAGGCAUCGAUGAACAUGAAUGCACAACUAUUCCUGACUAUCAAUUGAUAGACUAGGGUCGGAAUACAAUUGAGGAGGGUCAACUCAAGGAACAUAUAACUUUCUGAGUUGUGGAUGCAUAGAUUAGUAUGUCGAACCAAGUUCAACAUGUUUCUUCCGGAUAACCCAUGCAGAGAGGUAGGACUGGCAGAGUCACAAUUAUGAAUGGAGAACUCCUCAAGAGUACUCUGAUUGUGAUCCUUUGGUUCAAAUAACUUCUGCCUUAAUGGUUCAUGGUAUUUGGAAGAAGGAAAUUCCACAGAGCUGGAGGACUGUCGCAAGGUUUCUAAUAUCCUAAAGGAACGAGCAACACUAUCUACACGAAUUAAGUAGAGUGAAUCUUGGGUUCAAGAACCCGGGAAGGAAUAGCUACUAACUAAUAACAUCACGAGAUGCUUUCGAGAAUGGUGGCCAGAAUCAUCACGCCGGGAACACAAAACAUGGCUAGAUUACUAGGUGACUCCCUAAAACACCUAGGGUCAUAAUAAUGGCUCCAACAUAUAUGUCAAGGCAAUAAAUUUCCUCAACGCACUGGUUCUUGUGCUUAUUCUGACCAUAAAGGACAUCGGGAACAGAAAGAAAGGAUUUGCAAAUGCAUUAGACUAUUUAGAGAACUAGGAUGACUCGGACAGCAUAACUGCGUUAAAUGCUCAGAAAAAGAUUUGAGACAUUCACAAGGAUUUGCAUAGUCACUUAACAACAUCAUAUCAAGGUUCCGAGAUCAACUGUCAACCUAUGGAAGUAGUAGAAACCGCAUUGAGACAUGGAACCAACAAUCCUACAAGUCUACGGAUUAGUAACACGUGAUCCUGAUAGAAAGAUGAGAAGCCUAGUUCUUAAUCACCGUAGAAGAGAAGAGGAUGACUUAGAUCAGAAGGGCAUAAGGUAAAGGAGUAAAAAGAGCCUUACGUUCCCUUCCACAAUCAAUUCCCUUAUAUAACUAAAGCAUUUCUAGACACGACUUCGACCAGUUUGGCUUGGUAAUCCUACAGGCAGUCAGGCUCUGAUACCAAAGCUGUCAGGAUCCCGAUCCUAAGUCACACUGAUCUAGCAUGUAACACAUCAUAUUACUUUGCGGCCUCACGCAUGGUAUUCCCACGGGUGCCACUACCUAGCCUGGGACCGUUUGCGCCUUUUGGCUCACGUAUAUGAUAGUGUCGCUAGCAUCCAUAUGACAAAGAACCCGGGCCGAGAUGACUAGUCGUGAACCCAAAGUGGCACUAACUUACAGGGAUAGGCAUACAUGAAUCAACAUCGAGCAUGUCGGUCAGCAGCGUGCGAAUUCGGGCUGUAGCACUGGGCUAACAAAACUCCGAUGAACCGGGUUGUAGCAAGCUAGGCAGGACUCCGGAUGUCACUGCGUGACAUUUCCCCGAAGGGACAGACAUAGGAACGAAGUGAAUCACAUGCCGGCCAGUCAAGUGUUCCGGAGCAGUAGUGCUGGGCUAGCAGGACCCCGGUGAACCGGGCUGUAGCGGACUACUAUGGCUCAUGGAAGCACAAGACUACAUUUCCCCAUAAGAGAGGCUACCAAGGAUAAACAACUAGGUUGUCGGAUCCCACACAUACCAAGCAUUUCAAACCAUACACACAAUAUGCUCGAUAUGUGUAAAUCCAACAUGGCAUCACAACAAGACUCUACGACUCAAAGUAUUUAUUCAUUAGGCUCCGACGAGCCAAGCAUUACAAACAUGGGUCUCAUGACCCCAACAUACAGAGCAUACAAGCAACAAGCACAUGCGGAAGCUUAACAUGUCUGAGUACAGACAUCUACAAAUGAAAAGGCUGAGAAACCUGACUAUCUACCAGAUCUUGCCGAGGGCACAAGAUCGUAGCUGAGGUAUCAAGCUAAACGUCGAAGUCCACACGGAACUACUAGCGAGACUGACGUCUCUCUGCAAAACAUAAAAUAGGCAAACGUGAGUACAAAUGUACCCAACAAGACUUACAUCAGAACUAUCUACAUAUGCAUCGGUAUCAAUAAAGGGGGUGGUGGAGUUUAACUGCAACAAGCCAGCUUUGACUCGGUGGCUAUCUUGAACUACGACUACAAGUAACUCUUUUGAGGUGGCGCACACGAGUCCACAUAUUCACCAAUCAAUACACCACUAUGGAUCCGCUCCCGUCUCCCUACGAGAACGCCAUCCAUAGCACUCACGCUUAUCUUGCGCAUUUUAGAGUAUCCACUUUCACUUGUCUAUGAACUGUAUAGGCAACCAAGUAGUCCUUUACCGCGGACGCGGCUAUUCGAAUAGAUGAUGUUAACCCUGUAGGGGUGUACUUCUUCAUACACGCUCUCGCCACUUACCAUCGUUUACACGACAUGUACUCGGCAACCUUCAAGCGGAAGCCCAAAGAGGGUGUCGUCCACGGCCUACCUAAACACUCAAGUCUCUAGUCCAGCUUUAUCGCCUAUCCAGGUUCCAUCCGCAGGGAGUCCGGCCGAGGUUUCCACAUAUGGCCCCGAACGAUGUGUACAUGGUUCCGAGACACCAAACGGACACCCGACAUGCCCGGCCACGGUGUAUCUACCACAUCAUAGCCCACCCCUAGGGCCAGCGCUACGCAUGACCGCCAACACAUAUCCUAUAAACACUAGAAACUAGUUGCAACUCCUGGACAGAGGACUAGGGUCAUUAAGAAGCCGAGAGGGUCAAUUAAGGAUCCCAAUGCAUGGUAGUAGCUGUUUAUUAAAUCACACAUACAUAUCUCGGUGCUUAAGGACGGUUCCAAUGAAACAACCCACCAUGUACUCCUACAUGGCCUCUCAUCGAUACCUUUACCAAAUCGUGUUCAACACACUUAGCUCACACAUAGUAGGACAUGUUCACAACUUUCCUAUUCAUCCUCGAUGCAUCAGACCUGACACAACUCUAAGUAAUAGCAGGCAUGACAAACAAGCAUGAAUGAGUAGGCACAUCAGGGCUCAAACAACUGCUACUCAUGCUAGUGGGUUUCAUCUAUUUACUGUGACAAUGACAGGUCAUGCAGAGGAAAAGGGGUUCAGCUACUGCGGCAUGUAACAGUUGAAUCAAUGUUGUCCUAAUGCGGUAAAAGAGAGUAGGAGCAAGAGAGUGGGAUUGUAUCGAAAUGAGCAAGGGGGUUUUGCUUGCCUGGCACUUCUGAAGAAAGUAUAGUUCUUCAUCGGUGUCAUCGAUCUCAUCGUCGAAAACAUCGUCUACCGAGGGGGAACAACCACCGGCAAACACAGAAAGAACACAAUCAAUGCAACGCACAAUAUUAUGCAUGAUCAUGACAUGUCAACAUGCUGUGAUUUGAGCUAAUGUAGCUAAGAACAGAAGAGUUUGAGUUGAUUUGAACCAAAGGUUCAAAUUCAAAUUCAAACUAAGAACUUAUAAAGUGCAUUAUCAUGUUUUGAUCUAAACAACAAGGAUAAGUUGUUUAAACAUGCAUGAAACCAGUACGGAUGGAUAGAUUAGAUUUUUUUGAUCAUUUUUCAUAUAUAAUUUGUUUGAUUUGGAGUUACGGUUGAAUUACUAUGAAUUUUAGAAGUUUUGGGCAUUUUCUGGAAUUUCCUGAAUUAAGUUAAAUCCAGAAUAUGAGUUAUUGCGUCAGCACUGCGUCACUGUGAUGUUAGCUAGUCAACUGGGCGCCUCCAGGUCAAACCUGACCAGUAGGGCCCACUAGUCAGUGACACAUAGUCAGCUACAGAGGCUGACAUGUGGGACACGGUCAAAGCUGACGUGGCCAAGUCAAAGUUGACAAGCGGGGCCCAAUGAAAUUAGUGCUAAUCUAACAGAGAGUUAAACUAAUUAGUUUAGGCACUAGGCCCACAUGUAAGUGGGUCAGGAGGUUAAUUAGUGGGUGAUUAGUGCUAACUAGGUGGUCACGUCGAUAGUCGCCGGAGUCUCACCGGCGGUGAACUCGAACCGCGGCGGAGUUCGCUCGGAACUCACUAGAGGCGACCGAUCGACGCGCCAGGGGCACCAGAGGAUAGCCCGUGCCCGUGCACAUCUAGGGAGACCAACAGGAGGUGCGGGGGUGGCCGGAGUUCGCCGAAGUGGAACCCGCGGCGGCUGCCGGAGUUCGGGGCUGGUGCGGGUUAGCGUUGCGGUGUGCUAACAAGCGAGGCGAAUGUCUAGCGGGGAACUACGCGUUGCGGGGAGAAAGUUGGACUCGCCGGGGUGACCAGAGCUGUGCCGACGACGAGCUCAAGCGGCGGCGGCUACGGUCGUCAAGGGGGCGAUAUCUACGGCUCAAAAUCGAAGGGGAGGAAGGAGGGGAUCCACGCAGGAGCUCACAGCGGUUCGUUCGGUGACCUCGGCGAGCUCGGGGAAGCGUCGGAGCGGGCGCACGGUCGCCGGCGAUCUCGGUGGCCCGAGGUUGAAGAAGACGGCGGUGAGGGUGUUCGGCGGUGUCUGGCGUCGCUUGGCUUGGCGAGGAGGUCGAGGAUGAGGUAGCCGAGCUACUGGGCACGUCGAGGGGUCGAGGGGGAGGCUCUGGGUGCGGCAACGGUGAGCGGUGGCGACGAGCUCUGCUCGGGCUGCGUGGGAGAGAGUGCAGAGGACAGGACAGGGGUCCAGGGGGAGAGGGAGAGGCAGAGAGGGCUGCGGGGCGUCUCUAGACGCGUCGGGUAGGCUCGGGGCGCCUCGGUGGCAAGCAUGAGGUGGCCAGGGGUGGCUGCGCCCGUCGACACGUAGAAGCUCCUACUGGCGUCGGGAAGAAGACGACAGGGCAGCGCCUGGUGGGCUGGGCCGAAACGGCAGCAGGCCAACAGUGCCAGGUAAGAUCCAGGUGAGGUUUCUUUUCUCUUUUAUUUCUGUUGUUCUAUUUUCUGUAAUUGUGUUUGGCUUUAUUAAAAAUGCCAUGGUAUUUCCAAAAAUCAAGAAACUGAUCAAUGUCACUGUUUGGAAUAUUUCCAACAGCAAACGUUUCAGUUUGUGGUUAUUUGAGCAUUUAAAAUAUUAUAUAAAGCAAGCCAAUUAUAGGAUAUAAUAUAACAUCAGCUGAAUAAAUAAGCAGAAUACAAAAAUGAACUUUAUAAGGAAAAUUCAGUGUAACACAUACUGUGUUUUAUCUAUCUGGCUAUUUAAAUAAUCGUAGAACUUAUAUUUCUUUUUGUACUCCUACAAAUAAUCUGUGUACCUGAAAAUUAAUAUAAUCAGUUUGUUGCAUGUAUAUGAAGACAAAUUAAGACUACAACAAAAAUAUACCCCACACAUGGCAAGCAAGCAGCAUCAUGCAGAAAGCAAGCCGUCUAGAGGGGCGCAUGUGGUUGGCUCCUCCUGCUUGUCCAGAUUAGACAUGGCAUGUGUCAGGAAGUGAUGCAGGAGAUUGGGAAGCAUACCACGCGCAAAGGGGAGGUCGGGGUGGCACGCAGGUGGAGGUGAGCCGUUGGAGUGGGAAGCGACAACAGGGUGACGGCGAUGUUGGCCACGGGAGCCAGGCAGACAGGUCCAACGGCUGGCCGAGCGCGCAGGGAAGAAGUUGUUGGUGAGGAAACCGGCAGGGUUGGGGGAACCAAUCAGAGGUCGAAGCAACAGGGAGGAGUCCCGGCGGCGUCGUGGUAGCAGGGGCGGCAGGAGCCAGCAACGGCUGUGGCGUCGAGUGUUGUCGGUGAUGGAAGGCCACGGGGUGGGCACUUGAGGUAGGGCUAGCUGGUUGGCACGCCGGUUGAGUAGGCGGAGAAGCAGGGGCCGGCGGUGUGCGGCAGCGUGGCAGAGGGUGAAGGUGCGCCGGCGGAGUUGGCGGCGAGGCGGCGGUCGGCGGCGCGCUGGAGGUGAGAUGGGAUCAGGAAUUCAGAGGCAGGGGUGCGUUUUUUUUCUUUUUUUCUUUGCUCAUACCGGUUCGGGAUCAAUGAGUUUUAUCUGGAUUGCAGGUUGAUUUUCAUAAAAUUCAAGGGUUGUUUUGCAAAAUUGCCGCGACGGUGAAUCCGGAGACUCAAUGCGUGCUUUAUUAUUAGGGAGAGAUUAGCAGUUAAAUGCCCAAAUGCAAAUACUAUAUAAUUUGAUUCAAAAACCCAGAAUGGCCUAGAAAAUGUGCACCAUUUUUGGGAGAGGUUCUAGACCAAUUCAAAAAUGAUGAACUUUUGUGAAGGGCAUUUUGGGUUCAUUGAAAUGUUUUUCAGUUGAACCUGGUAUUUUCAAGGGGGUGCUGGGGUUUGUUGAUCCCCAUUUUCAGGUUUAAGAGAAAUUUAAACAUGAUGCAACACAAGACUAGCUAACCCAGAGCAGACCAGAACUAGGGAUGUGACACAAAGUGCCACAUUGCUUUCUUUUCUUCAUUUGUCCAUGGAAGUUCUUCUACACUCAAUAUACAUUAUUAGAUGUAACUAUUGGGAAACGUAGUAGAAGCCCUACGAACACCCAAGAACAAUAUGAAUAUGCAUAACGUGUUGUGAUCAAUGAUUGUUACCGACUCCAGGAGUGCAGCGGAAGUAGACGAGCCAUGUAGGUCAUUCUUGAAGUCCCUCGAACAUUGAUGACAACCCGCGAACCACCCACAAACGAUCCCUCGAAUGGAAGAUCGAAAACACGACCUCUCUACUUGGUUGCAAGCGUACGAUCUUCACGAUUCGGCAGCGCUUCGCCGUCCAGAGCUAAUCAUCACCGGAGAAUUAGAUGGAGAAGAUUAGAACCACACGGGGCUUCUAAUUAUGAGGAUUAGAGGUGGCUUGGGCCCUCUCUAAUUAGUCAACUAGGACCAACUAGAACGUGCACUAGAUCAACUAUAGGAGGCUCCAAAACUUGUAUUCCCAUAGGGUGGAAAUCCUCUAGUAUAUAUAGGAUUGGGGGGGUGGAAAGAGCCCCCUUGGGGUGCCGGCCAAGGGAGGGGGAUCCAAGUAGGAUUCNNNNNNNNNNNNNNNNNNNNNNNNNNNNNNNNNNNNNNNNNNNNNNNNNNNNNNNNNNNNNNNNNNNNNNNNNNNNNNNNNNNNNNNNNNNNNNNNNNNNNNNNNNNNNNNNNNNNNNNNNNNNNNNNNNNNNNNNNNNNNNNNNNNNNNNNNNNNNNNNNNNNNNNNNNNNNNNNNNNNNNNNNNNNNNNNNNNNNNNNNNNNNNNNNNNNNNNNNNNNNNNNNNNNNNNNNNNNNNNNNNNNNNNCCUCCCUUGUUGGGCCCUUGUGGCCCAACUCCUUCUCCACCUCUUGGCCUUAUUUGGCCCAUUGAUAUUAAAUUAAAUAUGUUUUGUGUUCUAAACAUUUUUAGAGCAUAAUAUAUAUAAUUUAACAUCUCUAGAAACAUUUUACACCUAUAUAUAUUAAUCGGUAAUAUCUGGUAUUACCUGAUAUUCACCGAAACCCUUCCGGUAACCCCGAAACACUUCCGGGACCUCUCGGAACUAUUCCUGAUAUUAAUGAAACAAUUCCACAAAUAUAUUCUCAUCACUCCCGUCGUACUAGCACUCAGCAUAUCGUGAUUACCUUAAGCUUGUGACCCCUUAGGUUCGGUAACCAUAGACAUGAACAAAACCCUUCGUUCAUUGACCGAUAGCGGAAUCGUGGACAUCCAUAUUAGUCCCUAUGAUUACACGAAUGAUAUUCGAGUGAACCUUUGGUUAUCAUGUGAUGUUCCCUUUGCUUCGCGAUACUUUACAAAAUCCGGUAUGCAUCGGUAUCCUCGUGAGUCAUCACCAUGCUCACUAUAGCGUUGCUCCCGUUACCGGUUUUGUUCUUCUUUCUCGUUGACGUGUUCCGACAUCCCUUGUGACGUAGUCACCUGUGUCUGGACAGAUGAUGAUGGGUACCUUCACAACGAGAGUGCCCUAAGAAUAUCUCUCCAUCGCCGGAGGAGCAAAUCCCACUCUCGAGUUGUCCGGUCACUUGUCAAACUUUCCGGUGAGCAUGAAAUUUGUCGUUAUGAUCACCUUGUUACAUAUGACUUUCGAGCAACCCAAAGCCCACCAUCUGGUAAGAAGUGACCGAAACACUCUCAUGGUCUGAGGAACUAAAACACAUGCUAACACUCCGUGUUAUAACAGAUGAUUUCAGACGAUAUGAUCACAUAGUAUACCAGACAAGUAUUGGGUCGAUUCAAUAUGAUUGUCCUUCUAACAUCAUACCCUCAAUGUUGAUUCGGGACUAUCAUUACACUUAACGAUAUCCUAAGAUCCGGAAAACAUGAUCACCAACCACACUUGAGUCGGUCUUAAAGGCGAGACCAGGAACCUAUUGUUUACCAUUUAUCAUUUCAAACGUGCAUAUGAGUUUUCCACUGAAUCACAUAUUCCAGUGUCAUAGCAGUUAUAGCAUGAAAUAUAAACUCUUAAUUAUGAAUAACGAAAAUAUAAUAAUACAGUAUUAUUGCCUCUGGGCAUAUUUCCAAUAGUAACAUGUUAAAAUUUGGCAUUUUCUGGGUUUGUUUGCUAUAUUCAAGCCAUUAGACGCAUUUCUAGGCAUUUAAUGGAUACAAUUCAAAUUUAAACCGCAUGAACAUGAAAUUAUCCCUAAAACUGGGUUGAAAGGUCUAGCUGAUGGUAUUUAUUCUAUGUUUAUGUCUUAUAUAAGGAAGUAGAAGUAGUUCCAAACACCAUGUGGCCAAGACUCACGAACAAACAUGGAGCUUUGUGGUUAUUUAAUUCUCAAAAUAUCAAACGAAGCCGUAAAACAGGAAACAUUGCAUGGUGUCAUGAUAUGAGCCCUAGAGGCUCUAGUACAAACUUGAUUUUUUUAAAAGUUGCUACGUAGAUUGCUUAGAGAAGAUACCGUCUGCAAGGAAGAAUCUAGGUUUUGAUAAUGAAAAGGUCUGGUCUGGUGUCAAAGCACUGUUUUAUCCAUUGGCCUUGAAACUUUUUCUACAGUCGGCAUACACCAUUAAAUGUAACAUGUCAAAAAUUACCAUUUUUCAGCUUAGUUCGUUACACUUAAGCUAUUAAGUGCAUUUCUAGGCAUUUCAUGGAUAUAAUUCACAUUUGAAUUGGAGGUACAUAAAUUAGUUGCUACAAAUGGGUUGAAAAACUUAUUGAUGAUCUCUGGUCUAUGUUUAGGCUUUAUAAAAGGAAAUAGAAGUAGUUGCAAACACCAUCCGGCCGAGACUCGGGCACUAAUAUGGAGCUUAGUGCUUAUUUAAUUCUAAAAAUUUCAACUGAAGCCAGAAAAACAUGAAAAUUUGCAUAGUGUCAUGAUAUGACCCCUAGAGGUUGUGGUUAAAAUUUAAGCAUGCUUCAAAAAAGGAAAUUUGCUCAUAGACUGCUUCAAAACCGGAUCAUCUCCAAGGAAGAAUCUAGGUUUCGGGAUGGAAUGGCUCAUAUUAUGUUGCUUCAUUUGUUGGUCUUGAAACUUUUUCUACAGUCAAUACAAACCAUUACAUGUAACAUGUCGGAAUUUGCUUUUUUUGGGGCUCAUUUGCUAUAUUUAAGCCAUUUAGUGCAUUUCUAUGCUUUUAAACUUCUAAAUAUCAAAUCAAUUCAAACACUAUAUGAGAACUCCUAAAAACAGCUUAUAUGUAGUAUAUUACAUUUGAAAUUGUAUUGAGGUAUAUAAGAUAAAAAAAUGUAUUGGGUAUACAAGGUGAGCAAUUUUAACAUGCUCCCUCUUUACCCCUCUUUUCACAUGGGAGGUUAGAAGGUAAGAGUUAAUGAAACCCACUGUAUUGAGGUAUACAAGUUACAUAUUUUUUAUGUCCUACAAAAGGAGUUGGCCGAGUGUAAUACGCGGGCAAGUCGUUUAUGGGUUCUGUUUGGUAAGCUUGACCCUCCCACACUAUCAUGAUCUCCAUCGCUGAUUGCCCACAGAUCUAACAACUGGCAAUGACAGUUCAGGUCGGGGGUAGGUCAUCUCUACCAUGAAUCCACCCAAGGGGUUGGGAAGGACAAAAUGCCACUCGCAACAGUGAAAUUGAGGGAGGGUGUUAAGAGAUAAGUCUUGCAAGUUCUAGAAUAGAUAGUUCGUUGUAAUCUCUUUGGUAUGAUAUAAACCCAAUCUAACUUGUACGCCAUGAUUGUUCUGUGAUCCUAGCGAUCCUAGAGAUCCCUAGCGAGGCUGUCUGGCUUUUAUUAAUACACGACGACCCAAGGCCAAAGGAUAACGCCUAUUAUUGGACUAUAUAUUGAGACUUCAGGUGGGAGACCUACUUUAAGAAACGUGUUGUGGGCGAGAUAGUUGAAAUAUCAUUUACAUUCACUGUCGCAGGUGUCACCGGUGUUCUUAGAAGGCCAUCCUCCUGAGGUAUAUAUCCUUUGAAUCUAUGUUAUUUAUGGGAUUUGCAGGUGCUAACGACAACUAACUAAAGAUUCAUUUGAUUAGGUGUGGGUUUUCUUAUUUAUGAUUUAACUCUAAGCACACAUUGAAGUUUAUAGGUGUUCAGGCUUUGGUUGCCUACGUCUUGAACUCCAGAGCACUUGUUGCAGUACGAAAUUCAUAAUCCAAUUAGUUUUGUUUUGAGAAUUGCCAUCUGCUUGUUUCUCAAAUCACCGACAACAAUAACUUCUCCAGGACAUGAAUGAGAGCAGCAGUGAAAAGAAAAAUGCGUGUCAAAGCUUGCAUGACAAUCUCUCUCACACACUCUCUCUCUCUCUCUCUCUCGUAGUUGACAAUUUCCACACAUAUUUUUGCCAUUAAAAAUCCAUUCCAUUUUUUAUCUAAACAUGAAAAAAAAUGUAUAUAUCUUCUCACAAACCUUGUGCAACAUGUUGCAGGCCCUGGUCAACUACAAAGAAUGGAUAUUAGCGUGUGCUCAUAGGAAUAGAGUGUGUGUGUGUGCGAUUCAUAAGGGUGAGUGUAUGCGUGUUUAUAUGAGCACUUGUGUCUGUACUGAUAUUCAAAAAAAACUACAAAGAAUGAAGAGAGUGAAGCACUUUUCUCAAAAUCAAUGAAGCAAAAGCUAAUGCAGGGCGCUGGACAGGCUGCGCGACCUGUUUGGCAAAUUGGUCACAUGACGCACUUGAUCUUCUUUGUUGAGUAACGUAAUUAUAUUAGAAAACAUAGCUUAGAUUAAGAAAUAUUUUGGCUUACCUUAUACUGUAAGUAGAUCAUAUACUUCUAUAUAUAUACCCACGAGUCUCAAGCAAUAGAACGAACUAUUCCAUCAAACCUAUCUCUCCCUUUUAACAUGGUAUCAGCCUAAUCACGUUCCAAACCCUAGCAGCCGCCGCUUCCGCACCCGCGCGCCGCCCCCGGUGCGGUCGGCCUUCAUGACCGCUGCCAGGGGCCGCGCAGCCCGUACCUAGGGUUCGUCCGCCGGCCGUGUUGGCCGGCUGCCCUAGACAAUCUUUUUUCCGAUCCUUUGAUCUGGAUUUUCUCUCUAUUGCCGGUCGCUUUUAUCGGCGUCUACUUUUUGGUUUUCCGGUCUAUGUGAUCUGGUUUGCGUCGCCCAUCGCCGCCGUCGACCUCGUGUGCCUCUACUCCAACACCGGCGCGAUCGGCCGGCUUCUUCACCGACCUAGCGGCCUCGCGCGUCGUCCGCGCGUCUGCCCGUCGGUCGCUCCGACCCGGCGGCCUCGCGCGUCGGCCCGCCGGUCGCCCCGACCAGGCAGCAUCGCGUGUCGUCCGCGCGUCGGCCCGUCGGUCGCCCAGACCCGGCGGCCUCGUGCGUCGUCCGCGCGUCGGCCCGCCGGUCGCNNNNNNNNNNNNNNNNNNNNNNNNNNNNNNNNNNNNNNNNNNNNNNNNNNNNNNNNNNNNNNNNNNNNNNNNNNNNNNNNNNNNNNNNNNNNNNNNNNNNNNNNNNNNNNNNNNNNNNNNNNNNNNNNNNNNNNNNNNNNNNNNNNNNNNNNNNNNNNNNNNNNNNNNNNNNNNNNNNNNNNNNNNNNNNNNNNNNNNNNNNNNNNNNNNNNNNNNNNNNNNNNNNNNNNNNNNNNNNNNNNNNNNNNNNNNNNNNNNNNNNNNNNNNNNNNNNNNNNNNNNNNNNNNNNNNNNNNGACCUUUCGCCGCCGCGGUUCGCACGCCGGCCCUCACCGCCCUGCUCCGACAGGGACUCCUACAUCACCCCGAUCCGGGGGACUCGCGUCAUGCAGAGGCCAAUCAUAGUCGCCUGCUAACCGCCGCCGCUAGUUUCAUCUUGGACUCCGCCACCACCGCGCCUCCACCGAGCGGCGUCCCCGACCUCGCGCGCGAUCGGCUUGAUCACCCGCUCGCCGCCGUGAUUCGCCUCAUCACCGCCACGCGACCGACCUGGCCCGUCGGUUACGCGCGCCUCCACAGGUCCCGUGAAGAUCGUCCCCGAGUUCAGCGCGCCUCUCCACGGAUCGAGCAUCGGGCUGCCCGCUGUGUCGCCCCAUCGGGCCACAGCGCCGCCGCCCCGUGGUUCUCCUCGCGGCUGUAUCGACUUGUGUGUCGCCGCUGCGUCGCCCCUUCGGGUCAUAGUGUCGCGAUACACGGUCCCCGCCGCCGCCCUGAGGCCGUUCCCGCGGUUGCACCGACUCGCGAACCGUCGUUGUGUCGCCCCUUCGGGCUGCAGCAUCGCGGCCCGCGGUCCUCGCCGCCGCCCAGAGGUCUUCCCGCUGUUGUCCCGACCCGCCUGCCGCCGCUGCGUCGCCCCUUCGGGCCGUAGCGCCGCAGCCCACGGUCGCUCCGCCGUCACCGCGCGUCGACCUCCCGUGGUAUGCGUCGCGCCGUCUUCCUUCGCGUAGGAACGCCACCAUCCGCGCCGGUCUUCGUCACGCUGUCAGGGUUCUUCGCCUACUUCGAGCACCGCCGCCGCACUCCUAACCUAGCCGCGCCGCCGCUCUUCUUUGGCUGCCGCCACCGCUACCUUCGUAGCCGCUGCCGCCGCCGCCCGUCCACCCCCUUCGUCUUCGUACAAGCACCAGCCUGUCUCCAGCGUCGCCGUCAUCUACCCCGACCACUUCGUCUACUCCGACCACCGUUGGUGACAUCGGCCCCGCGCCGAUGGACGCCACAAUCAUCAUCGAGUUCUUCUCCGCUGGCCCCUUCGACUUCUCCGACAUGGUGUACAGCUCGUGCAGGUCCCUCGUCUACGCAUGCCCGGUGCUGGCAACACCGAUGCAUGCCAUCAUCCACGACGUGUCCCCGGGCCUGGCAAGCCUGGUCGGCGCUUCUUCAACUUCGUCUUCGACCGUCUACGCAUGCCCGGUGCUGGCAACACCGGUGCGUGCCUUCAUCCACGAUGUGUCCCUGGGCUUGGCAAACCCGCCGCGACGCGUCGUCAACAACAUUUUCUUCCCGGCGCACCCCUACUUCGACACCACUGCGCCCAUGCUAACUCGGCACCCCCUUGCGCCCGUGGCUCCACGGCGACUUUCUCGACACCGGCCAUCCCGACUUGACAUCGACCACGGCAUUCUUCGCACGGCUACCUCGACCACGGCUCCACCACCCACGCUCUCGGCUACAUCGACAAACGGCACAAAGGGCUACCGCCUGCUUGAGCAACCUCAUUGGUUUCCACUCCAGCCACGACUCCGCGAUGCGUCGACCGUUACGACUGUGGGAGGGUGUCCGUCGGCUUGCCUUCGGAUUCUUCUCCAGUCUCACCAUCUGCGUCGCUACCGUUGUGACUGCGGGGGGGGAUGUUGAGUAACGUGAUUGUAUUAGGAAACAUAGGUUAGACUAGAAAAUAUUCUGGCUUGCCUUGUACUCCAAGUAGAUCAUGUACUCAUAUAUAUAUAUGCCCACGAGGCUCAAGCAAUAGAACGAACUAUUCCACCAAACCUCUCUCUCUCCCUUCUAACAUUCUUGAACCUCGCUGGGGCCACCGAGGACGAUGGCAAAGGCAGCUCCAGCGGGCAGGUGGCCUCCAUCUUGUGCGCGCCAUUGUGGGUCUAGUACUUGACCUCGCCGGCAAGCUUCAGCUCCAGCCGGAACACGCCCCUGCUGGCUGCGCUCUCCUUGACGAACUCCUCCACCCCGGUGCUCCCCAGCGGCGCGGCGCUCUCACCCGCCGCCGCGACAUUGCACACCUCCGUCUUCCCCGGCUAGAUAUUCCCGCGCGAGCCCCCCUGCAUCAUCGUGAUGGUGGCGAAACGCUCGCCGACGAAGAGAAGCUCAGUGUCGAGCGGCGCGCUGAGCCUGGCGCGCAUGGCCCAGUUGGGGUUGCACACGGCGAUGGCAAGCGACACAUUGUAGGCGAGCACGCUGCCGUUGGGUCCGGCGAAGGCGAAGCGGGCGAGGGAGGCGUGCUCGACGAUGACGCGAACGGGGCUGAUGAUGGCGAAGGCAAAGACUAGGACAAGGACGGUCACAGCAGGAGCCAGGAAGAGGAAGGAGAUGAUGAUCUUGAGACAACCGUUGGAACCACAGCCCUCUUGCUACCUCUCCUCUCACUCGAACGUAGGUGGAAGAAAAACAACGGUGGACACAAGAUUUUCUGGCCAGCAACGAACGCUGUCACGGACGCUCAAACGCUCCAAUCUUUUCUUCUUUACAAUGGCUACAUGGCUUACACUCGGCUCAUUACCGGCGCACCUCGAUCAAUACAUCAGGGGGCUUUUUAUACUCGGCUGUACACACAUCAUCCGGCCACCACACCGGCCACUAACUCCACGCACGCACACACGCCGACCACUAACCAGCUAACCCAUGCACACGCAUGCACUAACUAACCUUGACUCUAUUUUAUCUGGACUAACUAGAUCACAACGGAACGAGCAAACCAUGCACGUAAGUGACUCGGUCUCCAGUGAACGUGAGCCACUGCUCACGCGAGACCUAGGCCUCCACGCCUCGCUCUACAACACACAACCCGGCUAACUGACCACGGCUAUGGACACGGCCACGCACCGGCGUCCGGACUCGACCUACACGCACACACAUGUUGAUCACUACCGUGGCUUGGCUUAUUUCUAACAACAACGGCGGCGGCAUCUCUUGCCAUUGUGGUGGGAGAAGAUGUCGCCGGUGCCAUAGCCGGAGCUCGUGCUAUUGUGGUUGUUGCCCCAGCCGUAGUCGUUGUAGAUGCAGCAGCAGCAAAGACAGUUGCAAUCGCAGUCGAAGUGGCUGCAGUCAAGGCAGUCGAUUUCGCAAUCGCGGUCGCCCAUGGUGGUGUCGUGGACUGGUGGAUGUUGAAACUGCCCGUGCUAUACGCUGCCAUGGCAGUCGGUUUGUUAGCGCAUGUAUAAGAUAGCUAUCCACUUAUCCUUUCUUCCUAGAUUAGCUCGGUGGUUAGCUGAUCCAUGCAGCCCUUGUACAUGUAUUUAUACCCGUGAUGUCAAUGAGAAAACUGUGCAGCAAAUCAUCUCUCUUUCUCUAGCUUUCAUGGUAUCAGACGCUCAUCCUUGAUCGUCUUCGCUUCCGCUGACUUCUCACGGCCAUGGCCUCUCCUCGCUCCUCCGUCUCCGGCGGCGACGUCAAUCCUUUCGCUGCUGUUGAGCCCGUCAAUGCCGCCUCCCUCCGCCACCUUCACAUCCAGGACCACGGGGCGCUGCCGGCAUGGUGUGCGCGGCGAGGGCCGCCUGGGAGCGCUGGAGCGUCGACUGCCGCAUGCGGCGCUCUUCAAGGCGCAAGUAGUUGACGGCGCGCGCGAACGUCGGCUCGGUGAGGAGGUUCAGGUUGGAGGCAGCGUUGGCGUAGUCCGGCCCGAGCCCACGGAUGAGGUGGCGUGAACCCAUGGACCGGUGUCGUCCACGCAUGGGCCAUGCCGCCCACACGCGCGCCCCAGCCCGGCAUCCUCGGGCCACGCCCUGCUGGUCACCAGGCCAUGUUCGCCGCGCCGCAGUACGGCGGCCCUGCUCCUUCGCCGUGGCCACCUGCACCGAGCAACGCAUGGCACGGCACGUCCUCGUCCACCGCCGACCCUGCGCUCCUCGCCGCUCUCCAGCAGGCCCCGUCGCCGCACAACUACACUGGCAAUGGCGACUGGUACAUGGAUACCGGCGCGUCCUCACACAUGGCGUCGCAUCCGGGUAUUCUUUCUCACUCCUAUCCUUUCCCUACUCCCACCCGUAUCAUUCUAGGGGACGGGUCAUCUCUUCCAAUCACUCAUCGCGGUGCUCUCUCCCUUCCUUCCUCUGGUGAUCCAAUUCAUCUUCGUGAUAUUAUUGUUUCUCCUAAUCUUAUUACUAAUCUCAUUUCCGUUCGUGCACUCACUAGACAUAAUCCCAUCACAGUUGAAUUUGACGCUAUUGGUUUCUCUGUUAAGGACCUCCGGACCAAGACAGUACUGCUCCGAUGUGAGAGCCCAGGCGACCUUUACCCGCUCCGGCCGUCGUCCACCACUUCUGCUCCAGUCGUGCUCUCCGUUGGCGUCGACAUCUGGCAUGCACGUCUUGGACACCCCGGCGCGUCGUCGUUGCAUCACGUCCUAUCAGAUUUUUCCUUCAGUUGUAAUAAGAGGGAGACGCAUUCUUGUUCGUCGUGUCGACUCAGCAAACACACGUCUUCCGUUUUCAAAUUCAACUAGUGUUUCUACUUUCCCGUUUGAAUUACUCCACUGUGAUGUAUGGACAUCUCCCGUAAUAAGCAAUUCUGGUUUUCAGUAUUACUUGGUGUUGCUUGAUGAUUUCUCGCAUUUCGUUUGGACCUUCCCUCUUCGCCGUAAGUCUGACGUGCUCGCCGUGCUCACCUCUUUUUUCACAUUUGUUUACACGCAAUUUCGCCAUAUAAUCCUUGGGCUUCAGACGGAUAACAGGGGUGAGUUUGAUAACCACAGCGUGCACUCUCUGCUCGCUGCACACGGCUCCAUUCUUUGGCUCACGUGUCCCUACACGUCUCAGCAGAACGGUCGUGCCGAGCGCAUGCUCCGCACCCUUAAUGACGGCGUACGCACUCUGCUCCUCCACGCCGCCGUGCCUCCUCGCUUCUGGCCCGAACCUCUCGCCACCUCCACGCGCCUUCUCAACAUGCGCCCAUGCCGUCCCCUUGGUAAAUUCACUCCCUACCAUCUCCUCUAUGUCCAUCCACCUUCCUACGAUGACCUUCGCGUAUUCGGUUGCCUUUGCUACCCCAACAUCACCGCCACCACACCCCACAAACUUGCACCGCGAUCCCUCCCAUGCAUCUUUCUUGGAUAUCCGGCGAAUACUAAAGGCUACCGUUGCUAUGAUCCGGCCUCCCAUCGCGUGAUCAUCUCUCGGCAUGUGUAUUUUGAUGAGCUGGUUUUUCAAAUUAAGCAGGUUGUCGCUGCUCCGCCGCCCUCGCCGUUGCCUUCGAGCUCGUCGCGUGUCGUGCUGCCCUUGGAGGCCACGGUCUCCCAGCGGCCUCGCUCCACUCGGCGUGCUCCGACGUCACCUGGCUCACCACCAUGCUCGCGUGGGUUACCGGGCACCCCUGCUACACCACCUGGCCCGUCGCCUGCGUCGGGCGGGGCUGCUGCUACGACGACAAAUUCUGCAGCCGCAGCCACCGAUUCUGCUGCCAUGGCAAGCGUUUCGGCUGGCGUGGCAGCCGAUUUGGCUGCACCUGAUCCCGUUGCCGUGGCUGCAACUGCGGGAGGCACCAGCUCCAGUGCUGUGGGUGUGGCUCCACUUCCGGCAGGGCCUCGUGUUCUCACACGCGCUCGUGCUGGAGUGCAUCGCCCGAGCUUACCCAGAUGACCAGUACGUCUGCACCGCCACCACUUCAUCCUCCACGCUAGCUCCUCUUCCGGUGAGUGUGCACGCCGCGUUGCGUGAUCCCCACUGGUCCGCAGCCAUGCGUGAGGAGUUGGAGGCGCUCCAACGCAACCACACUUGGCAGUUGGUUCCCCGUCCGCCGUGAGCAAAUGUAAUCAGUGGCAAAUGGGUCUUCCGUCACAAACUUCGGCCUGACGGGACGCUCGAGCGCUACAAAGCCCGAUGGGUGGUGCGCGGGUUUCGACAACGCGCCGGCGUCGACUUCACCGACACCUUCGCGCCGGUCGUCAAGGCGGCGACCAUUCGUUGCGUCCUACAGCUCGCCGUGUCGCGCAAUUGGCAUGCCCACCAACUGGAUGUGUCGAACCUGAUCCUCCACGGCCAUCUCGCAGAGCGCGUUUACUGUCAGCAGCCGGCCGGCUUUGUUGAUGCCAGCCGCCCCGGUGACGUGUGUCUCCUCUCGCGCUCGCUUUACGGCCUCAAACAGGCGCCGCGGGCGUGGUACCACCGGAUCGCCGGUUUCCUCGUCGAGCUAGGCUUCGUGUCGAUGCGGUCCGACGCGUCCUUGUUCGUGUACCAGCAAGGAGGGGACGCCGCGCAUCUCCUAGUAUACGUCAACGACAUCGUGCUGGCGGCCUCCAGUGACACGCUUCUUCGCUGUCUCAUCUCACGGCUCCAGGGCGAGUUCGCGUUGAAAGACCUAGGCGCUCUGCAUUACUUCCUAGGCGUGGAAGGACACGGCGCCCUGAUGGAUUCUUCCUUUGCCAGCACAAGUAUGCAUUGGAGCUCCUCGAACGCGCUGGUAUGACGAACUGCAAGCCCGCCUCCACUCCAGUUGACACCAAGGGCAAGGUGUCCUCGACGGAUGGCGCUCUCGCCGCCGAUGGCUCGUUCUACCGCAGCAUUGUUGGCGCGCUGCAGUACCUUACACUGACGCGCCCCGAUCUUACGUACGCGGUGCAGCAGGUCUGCUUGCACAUGCAUGCACCCCGUGACGUACACUGGGCCUUGGUGAAGCGGGUGCUUCGAUAUAUUCGCGGCACACCAGCCCUCGGCCUCACGCUGCCAGCAUCAUCAUCGCUCGACCUCGUCGCCUACUCCGACGCCGACUGAGCGGGUUGCCCGGACACACGCCGCUCAACCUCGGGGUACUGCCUCUACCUCGGCCCGGCACUCAUCUCAUGGUCUUCAAAGCGGCAGCCUACAGUCUCGCGCUCGAGCGCUGAGGCUGAGUACCGUGCUGUUGCGAACGCCGUCGCUGAGUGCUCCUGGUUGCGGCAGCUUCUCGCGGAGCUGCACUGCACGGUCAGCCGCGCCACGUUGGUGUACUGCGACAACGUGUUCGCGGUCUACAUGUCCGCCAACCCGGGGCAUCAUCGCCGGACGAAACACAUCGAACUUGACAUCCAUUUUGUACGAGAGAAAGUUGCGCUCGGACACAUUCGGGUUCUUCAUGUUCCCACCUCGCAGCAAUUCGCCGACACCAUGACCAAGGGGCUGCCGCCGUCCAUCUUCACGGAUUUUUGGUCCAGUCUCUACAUCACCGACGGCGAGGCUUCGACUGCGGGGGGUGUUCAAACUGCCCGUGCUAUACGCUGCCAUGGCAGUCGGUUUGUUAGCGCAUGUAUAGGAUAGCUAUCCACUUAUCCUUUCUUCCUAGAUUAGCUCGGUGGUUAGCUGAUCCAUGCAGCCCUUGUACAUGUAUUUAUACCCGUAAUGUCAAUGAGAAAACUGUGCAGCAAAUCAUCUCUCUUUCUCUAGCUUUCAGUGGAGACGUCUGUACCCGAUGGAUUCAGCAGCAAGGCAAAAACAAUCAAUGUAUAUAUAGACUAGCACAAAUGCCCGUGCGUUGCAACGGAAAACAUUGUUACUCCCUCCUUUUCGGUUUAUAAGGCUCAAUUCAAAAAUCUCACCAACCAAGGUAAAUGAUGAGUGGUGGAAUAUUUUUUGUAGUUUGUAAAAGCACCCAAUUAAUGCUCUUGUUUUCCUCAAAAAAUUAUGUUUAUGAAUGCAUUAAUUGCAAUGCAUGCAUGCAUAAAGUGCACGCAUUGGUCAAUUUUCUCUUAAUACUUGCAUGCAAUGAUUUAAUGCACCUUGAAGUCUGAACAUGUGAUGGGGAACAAACAAAUUGAGCCUUAUAAAAUGGAAAAACUAAAAUUUUAAUAUAAGCCCUAUAAACGGGAAAGGAGGAAGUAUAUGUCUCAUGUCUCUACCUAUUUACGUCCAUCCUCCUUUUAGUCCAUCACGCCUCGGUGCAUUGCAAUGGAAUAAGAAUUCCUCACACUUCUAUGCAUUUUGUAAUAAUAAUAAUAAUAAUAUCUAUGACCAAGUGAUACAUUUAUUUAUACUAGUAGAGUGCCCGUGCGUUGCCACGGGCUCUUGAAAUUUUUUACAAGAGUUACAUGUUAAAUUUCACAUGCACAAACAAUAUAACACAAACACAAUUAAUGAAUAAUUGAAGUCCAUUUUGCAAUGAAAAUUGAUACCAAAAAGAAAGACUAACGACAUUUAUCACCUGCCUCGUAGAUGGUCUAGAGCAAGCAUGCAAUAUGUGUAAGCAUUUAUCACUUGUAGUCAACAUUUAGAUUAUAUAUAUAUAUAUAUAUAUAUAUAUAUAUAUAAUAUUAUUCUGAUAACGGGAUCAGAAUAAUAUUCUGAUCACAACCUGACCUGCCCCGCUAGUACUACGUUGAACUUCCCUGUGAACUAGGUUGAACUUCCGCCAAAAUUGCCCAAAUGGGGCUUGCGAUAUACCGUUAGAAAGCUAUGGACCCCAAUAUCAUGACCCAACUUAAUUUAUUGACAAAAUAUAAGCAGUUUAAGAGCAGUUUUGAAAACCGUUUUUUCUUCGCACAAAAAACGUGAAUCGUAUUUUCGAUCGCAUUUCUAAACCGUUUGUCGGAAUGAGGCAUAUAAUAUGGCGUUGGAAAGCUUCUGCAAAACCGCUCCUUCCACAUGUUGAAAGUUUUCUCUAAUUACCUAUGGUUAAAGAGUAAUUUGAAAAAACGUAAAAUUUCGUAAACCCAAUAGUUGAGUUCGUUUUUCCGAUGCCAUUUCUAAACGGCUAAUCCAAUGGAGGCAUAUGAUAUGGCGUUGGAAAGAUUAUGAAAAUGCACUAUUUUUUCAUCUGGAAAGUUCUUUUCUAAUUUUGAAUGGUUUGAGAGUAAUUUAGAAAAUGGUCCAAGUCCUACCGAGUUCGUAUUUUCGAGCUAAUUUUUUAACCGUGCGUCCGAAUGCAGCGAAUGAUAUGGCAAAAAACAUAUUUUUGCCGUAAUUUCUAAAAACUUUAUCGGAAUUGGGCAAAUAAUAUACCAUUGAAAAUCUACGGAAAAUGCGAAACUUUUUCAUGUUAAUGGUUUUCUUUGAUUCUUAGUCGUUUUCAAGUAAUUUUGAAAACGGUGGAAUCAUUCGUUCUGCCUCUAUCGCGAAACAGAUUCUUCAAAAAUGCACCGCGUGAAGAACAUGAACUUCUCAGCAUGUCUACCUGAACUUCACUCUGUUUUCGAUGUGCUUUUUUUUUGCUCGCAGAUCUCCAUCCACUACUCGUAGUUCUCCAUCCACUCCCCGGAAUUCAACGAGUGAUAUACCAAUGGAAAGCUGCUGUAAACACGCAACUUUCCCGUGUUGAUUAAUUUCUCAUACUCGCGAUGGUUUUAGAAGUUUUUCAUCUGAAAUUCAUUCAGUGUAGUAGUUGAACUUUCUGCUGUUUUCACGGUGAACUUCUAUGACGUAUUUUUCCUUUGUAAUUUUCUUAUCCAUUUUCGUCAGUGUUACACAAAUAAUAUUCCUUUUGUACAAACCUCUCUCACAAUAAUUUUUUUAACUUUUUUCAACCGACGACUUGAACUUAUAACAACAAAACUUUUAGCCUUUGUUUUUUAUUGUUUUAAUACAAAUACACACCGUGUAAUACGUGAACUUCUGGCAGUUAUCAAUCUGAACUUCUCUAGGUUACGUGAAUAUAUCUGAGUUUUUUUUAUGAUUUUUAAUCUGAUUUUCAUAAUCCCUUUUUAUGAAAUUUUGAAGCGCUCUAUUAUUAAAAGUUGAACUUCUUGUUAUUUAAUUUUUGACUUCUUGUUUCCAUACUUUAAUAACGAGAAAAAUCUAAGUUUUCUAUAAUCAUCAAACUUCUCUAUCUUUUUAAUAUGGACUACCUUGUUUUAUUUCUUAAUCUUUCUUAUGAAAUUUUAAUGCGCUCUAUUUUUAAAAGUUGAACUUCUUGUUAUUUAAUUUUUGAACUUCUUGUUUCCAUUCUUUAAUAACGAGAAAAAGCUGAGUUUUCUAUAAUCACUGAACUUCUCCAUCUUUUUAAUUUGGACUUCCUGGUUUUAUUUCUUAAUCUUUCUUAUGAAAUUUUGAAGCGCUCUAUUUUUAAAAGUUGAACUUCUUGUUAUUUAAUUUUUGAACUUCUUGUUUCCAUUUUUUAAUAACGAGGAAAAGCUGAGUUUUCUAUAAUCAUCGAACUUCUCCAUCUUUUUAAUUUGGACUUCCUGGUUUUAUUUCUUAAUCUUUUUUAUGAAAUUUUGAAGCGCUCUAUUUUUAAAAGUUGAACUUCUUGUUAUUUAAUUUUUGAACUUCUUAUUUCCAUUUUUUAAUAACGAGGAAAAGCUGAGUUUUAUAUAAUCAUCGAACUUCUCCACCUUUUUAAUUUGGACUUCUUGGUUUUAUUUCUUAAUCUUUUUUAUGAAAUUUUGAAGCGCUCUAUUUUUAAAAGUUGAACUUCUUAUUAUUUCAAUAAACAUUUUUUAGCUGACGCUUUUUGGUUUCUUCAUGAAUUAUAUAAAUUGCAAUACUGUGUUAUUUCAAUUUGAACUUCUUAGUUCAUUUUUUUAUUAAUGGGGAAUUUUGAGUUUUGUAAUCGCUACAUUACUUAUAUUUGCUUAAUUAUUUAAAGUUGAACUUCUAGGUCUUCCUAGAAUCGCAGAAAAUCUAUUUUUAAUGCACAAGUUGAACUUCUAUGGUAUUUUAAUUUGGAGUUCUUUGUUUUAUUCUCAGAAAGAAAAAACAAUUUUUAAAUAAACUUUUAAAAAAUGAUAUUUGUUUCUUUUAUUUUUCCUAGAAACGGGAAGAAUUUGAGAUUUUCGUAUACAUGAGAGUACUCUGUUUGUUGAAUGAACAUUUUUCAGUUUCAUUUUAUUACAUUUUCCUCAUCCGAUCUUGUGGUGUUGGCUCACACCCACACACAAAACACAUUUUCACAUGUAAUUUUGCAUAAACAUUUCUUUUAUAAGAUAUUUUAGACUUCGGGUUUUUUCCUCAUUCGAUGAUUUUGGUUGGUGCUGAAUUUUUUCUGAAACUGAAAAUGAAAACCAUGGUUAACCAUACAGAGGAAAGCAGAGAGACAGACCACAAGAUCAGUUAACAAAUUACUACUACUUUUGGGAUUGGCUCUUAUUUUCAAAUAUCAAUUUGUGUUCAAAUUCCUGUGAUCGAAACAGGAAAGACUUGCCCUUUCAUGAAGCGACAAUCAGCAGCAGCACAAUAAGAACAGAGAGCACUCCACUCUAGAAGUCAUGGGGAAAUGGAGUUUAAAACCCUGAAUACUAGAGCUUCUGUCUGCGCAUCUUCAUAUCGUCUUCACAUCAUUGAGGGGAUGACCUUGUUUGGGGCUACAUCCGCGAUCCGUAAGGCAUGCCUGCGCUUCAAGCAGAACGCGGUGGAGCUGAAUAAAUCCUUACAUUGCUCUUUCUAUCUUGCUCGCAGCGAAUCAAAUCCCCAUGCAGUCUUUCCACAUUCUGCAGUUCUGUUCUUCUGUUCAGGCUUCAUGCUGGAGAUGGUCUGAACCUUUCCAUGGUUCAUUGAAUCUGCUGACUUUUACGAGAUCGAGGGCACCCAUUGACAACCUGCCCGAGGUUAGGAUCACCCAGAAGUACAGGUACAAGCGGAGGCGUCAUCGGUGACCUCUCGACCGGGAUGCUCGGUCCGCCUCCAUGUCUGAUUUAAACCGCACACUAUCUCUGCAACCCACUGUCCUGUGAAGUAUAAAUCUCUCUGCUUAAUUGGCCUACAUCUAACUGAUCAUCAAACGCAUCUCAUUCUAUAACGUAAAACAUUUUGUUUCUUCUUCCAAAAAAGGAGCAUUCCUAUUACAGAGUAUGAGCGGAGAUCGACAGCUUGAAAUAGUCAAUAAAUAACAGGGCAUGCAUGUACAAAUCAAACCAACAGUACUGCUAUAUGUGGUAAAAAAUAUAUGGAGUAUAUAAAUAGUACCACUGUAUCUGUAUGAGUCUAGCAUACAAGUCCAUAAAAUUAGGAAACUAUGACAAAAGAAAAUUGUCGGUGUGGAGCAUAAGGGGCAAUCAACAGCCACAGAUAUACAGUCAUGCAGACUGACGGACAGACAUAUCAAAAAUUGAGGUAAACAAAAGUUGUAAAUCUAAGUACUAAAUUAUUUAAAGCAGAUCUCUUUCUGAGGAUAAAAUUAUAGGUAAUAGUAUCAUCGGAGCGCUUUCUGAUUACUGGUCAUGCAAUUCAGCAUGGCAACAGCCUCUUGUAGGAGUCCGAUCCUGGCAACAGCAUCAAGAAAUAACAUGGCAAUAGCAACUACUGAUCAUAGCGGGACUUGCAAGACAAUAGUUCAUUCCCCGCCUCAUCAGUGGCACAGUUUUCCUUCUCCUCAGUGACACCGUCGUCAUCCUCGAAAUCCACAAAGGAUGAGGGCAUAGAUGCCCUCUUGUCUGAUUUGCAACGCCAUAAGCACUUGCCAUGGUUUUCUUCCCCUUGUCACUGGCAUCAUCCAGAACAUCACCAUGGGUGCAAGCAGAGGCGAAUGAUAAAUGUGGGUCUUGUUUCUCCAGCUUGACUUCCCGCUUGACCACCACUACGGAUCUGCUUUUUCCCUUGGGACAUGUCUCCUCACCACCAGGAGCCUCGAUGAAGGAAACAACUAUGCAGUAAGAAGUUCAGGAAGCAAUGUCGGGAAGGAGACAGGCAGCAGCCGAUGCGCGAGGAUUGGGAGAUGUCUGACGUUGUGGGCUGAGGAAGAUGACGGUUUGGGGUGGCCGGGCACGAAGCCUAUGCCGGACGCCUCUCCGGACCUCGAUGGUCGGCGACGGCUCAAAUCCCCUGCUGCAGUCCAAACACACAUGUGGAGGAAGGUUUGAGCUUGUGAUGUUGUCAGGAUGCCGGAGAUUGGGGGUCGUAGGGCCCAGGCGGGUAGGCGGCAACGAUGGCGGGUAGCGCGGGAGGCACCAGACUCAGGUGGUGGCCGUCACUGGUAGCAAUGGGUCAAGGCGGAGGUGGUAUUCCACGGCAGCGGCAGCGGAAAGAAGGUAGGAAGCGACAGGGCAGGUGGUGAAGCGACGCAGGUUGGGCGGCGUGCAGCCGACGACAACGGGAAGAAGGCCGGGUCGGGAGACGGGAGAGACGCAACCAGGUUUGUGACAACCAUGGCGAUUGUAUAAGCCACGUUUUUUCUUCCUUUCCCGGUCGGUCGGCGGCGCGAUGGGCAAGGGCGGGAAGGUCGGCCGGCGACGUGUUGGGCGACGGCCGGGAAGUUGGCCGGCGACGCGCUGGGCAGCGGCAGGGAGGUUAGCCGGCGACGCGCUGGGCGGCGGCGGGGAGGUCGGUUGGCGGCGCGCUGUGCAGCGGUGGGGAUCGGGGCUAUUUUUCUUUUUGUUUCCUUCAGACGAGUUCAGGAGCCUCGGCGGUCCCUAUAUAUAUAUCUGGACUAUUCUGUUACGCGUAACAGACUAAUAUUGUGUUACCCUUCGUGAACUGAUGUGGUGUACAGGUUGGACCGACGAGGUUUUCUACUUGAACCGAUCUUCCUGUGUGUACGACGGCGGAGACAGGGGAUGCAAUGUGGAGCUUUUGGGCGUUCUCCGGCGCGAUGCUGCGGGCCAUUCGUUGCUCCUCAUCGUUGUGAGUUCGUCCCCGUCGCCGUGCGCUGCUCGUCGUUGUCACCUAAUCGGCCCCGCCCCGUCGCACGUCGUCCUCGUCCCCGACCUCCGUCAUCCUCCUCGGACCGCCAACCGCAGUCGUUGACUCCGGCCGUCUCAAGUCGUCCCUGGGCCUUCUUUGCAGCGGCAGUGAGCCCCGCAUCCUCCCUCUCUCCCCGUGCUCUCCUUUGGUAGUCGUAGAUCGUCGCCGACGUGAUCGUGCACCGGCCACGCCCGAUGACCCGUUCCCUGUGCUCACUGCACCGUGCCCGCGCUCCUCUGGUCGCGCCCUGCGUGCACACCCGCAGCCGCCCCGUCCAGCCCGCUCCCUCUGCCCGUGUCGCGUCGCCCCAUCGUGCCUGCUCCGACCACACCCGCCUACGCAUGCGCGCAAACCCAUGCCUUCUGCUGAUGUGCGCGCCUGUGGCCGCCGCUACCGUGGCCCCCUAUUGCUUCCGCUGCUACUGCCAGUGCCAUAGCCACUGCUGUUAGAAAGAGAAUCCUGCUACUUCCUUUUUCAGUUAAGCUAAGUGUCGAUUUAUUCAGUUUCGUCAGAAUAAGAAUGCACCAGGAGUCGUUCUUGUACAUGCUCAUAGUCUAUGUUUUCUGCAUGCAGUAGCUAGUGUUGCAGUGUUAGUUCUCGUGUAAUGGCGUGGCCGUUAGCUCAAACAUGGUCGGUAGACUAGGAAUUGGUCGUUGGCGGAGGUGGUGUUUGGUGGCUGACUGAAGCCUACGAUUUUCUUGUAAUCUGGUCAAAUUGCGUAAUUAAGUUGUGUGUUUUUCAGUGUUGUUUUGAAUUACUGUCGCCGUAUGUGUAGUUGGACUGCUCCAUGUCAAAGCUUGCAAUUACUGUGAGUUGACAUUGGAGCAAGUUUCUUGUACUAGCUGCCUACCCCCCAUACCCUCUGCACUUUGAGUAUAAAGGCCGAGCCCUCUGUCACUUUUGUUCCACCAGCUGCAACCAAAGAGAAAAGCCAGAAUGGAUCCUGAGUUUGGAGAGGUCAUAGAGGAGGAGGGGAAGCCGUCGAUGCGAGGGCUGCAGCAGUGGAGCAGAGGAGGAGGAGGAAGCGCAGGCAGAUGGCACAACGUGCUGCCGAGGAGGAAGUGGAUGCAGAGUUCAACAGACUCCUUGCGCGCAAGGUGAUGGAUACCUACAACUUCAAUGAACUGGAGCUUCUUUUCCCAGAGGGCAGGGGAAGGAACCAUGUUCAGAUCAUCAGUUGGGCUAGGGCUAGAGCAGCCACGGCUCCACAUCCAUCCACUAGGGCUAAAUGGCGUCGUUUCUUUGAUCGUUAUGAUUGAAGUAGUGAAUGUUAUGUUUUUAAUAUUUGUGUUGUGAGGGAGCAGAUGUUUGAAAUGAAUAAAUGAAUUCAACUGUCUCCCCUCUGAAUGUGUUGUUUUAUCUUCAUAUGUUUUUGAAAUGUGUAGUUUUUUAACUCAUGUUUUAUCUUAAGUUGAACUGAUUUAUGGUCAAAAGCUGCAUGGCUUGUAUAAUUUUUCUAUCUGUUUUUUGCUCAAGAAUAACUGCUUUAUUUAUAUAUUUGUUUAUAUUAGUACUUGAACAAUUCUAUAGUUCAACUAAUGGGCAUCCUUUGUUUUGACUGGUAUAUUUUCAUGUACAAAGCUCGGAGAAGGAACUAUACGCUGAUGAUGUUUGUAGAACCCCUUUUUUGGUUUCUAGAUUGCUGAACUUACAUUCUGUUAAUGAUAGUACUGAACUAUUUUAGGUUGUCAAUUACCAAUCAAAUUUGUUUGUUGUAUAACAUUUUUUUCUAUGUUUUUUAGAUGAAUUUUGGAUCACAUUUUUUAACAGUUAUAUAAUGAUAUUUCUAGUAUUUUUUAGAAUUAAAAGAUUUUAUCUUUUGCGGCACAGUAUUUUUCUACUUGAACCUUAUGAAUUGUAGUAGUUGAACUUUUUAUAAUUUUUCUUCUGGAAUUUUUAUUUACAAAUUCUACGUUUAAUUUUCCAAAAAAAACAUAUGUAUUUCUAUUUUUUAGUUCUUACAGUUAAGAUAUGUUUGAAGUUUUUUACAUUUUUUUUUUGAACUCAUUUCUUGUGAGGUUUUUUUUAAAAUAUCUGCAUUUUUUUGUCGUGUGUGAUCGGCUGGAAUUUUAUAAUGGGGCGAAGUACUGAGUUGGGCCAUCUGGACUGAGUCGUUGUUUUCGGCCCAGAUAGCUCGCCCGCGCGGCUGUGCAGCGCGGCGUGCGCGUGCGCUAUGGUUUAGUCCCACCUCGCUAGUCGAGGGGGUUGUAGACCAGUUUAUAAGCGCAGACGAGGCACACCAGUCGAACUCCUCUGAAAACUUACCAGAGCGCUUAUACACGGCGCGUGCUCUCUUUCUUUGACCUGUGGGCCCUGAUCGGCGGGGCCCUGCGUUGUGCGGACUACUAGGGAUUCGUCUAUGGGCUCGAGUUCAAGUUAUCUAGCAGCGUAAGGGCCUGGGCCUGUCCUUGGGCGGUCAAUUUUUUUCUUUUUUGUUGUUUUUGUUUGAAUGUAGUACUUGACUCCACCAGUAAAUUGGACUGAUACUUUUUAUGAUCGUUGGGGCGUCAAUUUUUUUAGAAUCUAUUACCUGACUCCACCAGUAAAUUGGACUGAUACUUUUUUGUUCUAAUUCUUGUGAGUUUUGUUCUAGGAACGAGCCGUAACAUGACUUGCCCCCAUCCCGGCGAGGCCGAGCCAGGAACGAGCCGUAGCAGGCGACAACGCGGCAUGCCGCGGCGUCGUAUGCGGAGGCGAGUCCGUAACAUGACUUGCCCCCAUUAUCUAUCUUAGGGGUGUGUGGGUGCGUGUGGGGNNNNNNNNNNNNNNNNNNNNNNNNNNNNNNNNNNNNNNNNNNNNNNNNNNNNNNNNNNNNNNNNNNNNNNNNNNNNNNNNNNNNNNNNNNNNNNNNNNNNNNNNNNNNNNNNNNNNNNNNNNNNNNNNNNNNNNNNNNNNNNNNNNNNNNNNNNNNNNNNNNNNNNNNNNNNNNNNNNNNNNNNNNNNNNNNNNNNNNNNNNNNNNNNNNNNNNNNNNNNNNNNNNNNNNNNNNNNNNNNNNNNNNNNNNNNNNNNNNNNNNNNNNNNNNNNNNNNNNNNNNNNNNNNNNNNNNNNNNNNNNNNNNNNNNNNNNNNNNNNNNNNNNNNNNNNNNNNNNNNNNNNNNNNNNNNNNNNNNNNNNNNNNNNNNNNNNNNNNNNNNNNNNNNNNNNNNNNNNNNNNNNNNNNNNNNNNNNNNNNNNNNNNNNNNNNNNNNNNNNNNNNNNNNNNNNNNNNNNNNNNNNNNNNNNNNNNNNNNNNNNNNNNNNNNNNNNNNNNNNNNNNNNNNNNNNNNNNNNNNNNNNAUCUAUCUUUAGGGGGUGUGGUGCAUAGUUAUACUGACACAUCUUCCUUGUAUGGACUUGCCCCCAUUAUGUAUCUUUAGGGGGGGUGUGGGUGCGUGUGGGGGGGAAACAGAAUAAGCGCACUGCGCCUUUCAAACGAGCGCACUGCCGCGUUAGCGCGAGGCCGAGCCGGGGGGGAGGGACCCCCCUCCCCCAUCCCGGCGAGGCCGAGCCAGGAACGAGCCGUAGGUCCCGACCCCCCAUUGCUCGCUUCUGCAAUGACAUUCAACAGUUUUGAAAUUAAUCUUUUCUGCAUUUUUCUCAUAUACAUGCCAUGGGUAACAUGUCAUGCACUGAAGGCAUUGUACAAGUUGAACUUGCAUGGAUGGUUGUUAUUUAAAUUGUUGUUCUCUAUUUUGUAUCUGGUUCCGUUUUCAGUCGAACAGUAUAACCGUACAUGUUACACACUGAUGUACUGUUUUUUAGCACUGCUUGUAAACUGAACAUUGAACUUCAGAGAUGUAUGGAUAUGCAUAUAUAUAAAACCGAUGCAUGUCUUCUCUUUUGUUCAUCUAUAACUUAUGCAACUACACUAGAAGUACUCCUAGUUUACGUAUCAUUGAACUUACUGUGUAGACAUUACCUCAAGUUGAACUUGCAUCGAUGGUUGUUGAACUUCUUCUUCUUCUUCCUCUCGUGGUCGGCGUACUGGCAUGUUCUUGGGAGGCGGCGCCAUUGAUGCAACGUCUUGCGGGGAUCACUACCCCGGAGAAGGAGCCCCGGCGACGGAGGGAGGCAGGAGGCGGCGGAUCACGGCCCCGCCGGGCGGGGAUGGCGGUGCGCGGCGACAGAGGAAGGCUGGAAUGGCGCGCGGCAGCCGCCGGAGGCGGGGACGGGCCGGCGAGCUCGUUAGAGGGCCGGGGGGGCGAGCGGGGAGGAUCCGGCACCCGUCAACGGGGAGGUGCACGGGGAGGGGCCGGCACCCGUCGGAGGGAGGGCGCGCGGGCAGGUGCCGGCGAGCCCGUCGGCGGGGAGGCGUGCAGACGGCCAGUCGGUGGCAACACGUGGGUCGGAGGAGCGACCCGUCACGGCGCCGCGGGCUCCCUCGCUCCGGCUGCCGCCGUCGCUCGCUCGCCCGCGACGACUGCCUCCGGCGGAAGGAGGCGGGUAGGUUGGGGGCGGGUCGGGGAGAUUCUACUGGUGUGCGCGUCGCGCCCUUAUAAGGACCGAGGGUAAUAGCAUAUUAUACUAAUCCUGGGACCGAGGGUAAUAGAAUAUUAUUAUGUUACUAGUAACAGAAUAGCCCUGUCCUAUAUAUAUAAACACUAUUCUGAUCACGGGAUCAGAAUAAUAUUCUGAUCACAACAUGAACUUUCCGAGUAACGCGUCUGAUCCAAAUAACUAUUCUAAUCCUGGGAUUAGAAUAGUGCCACCCUAUAUAUAUAUAUAUAUAUAUAUUACAAUAUUAUAUUUCAUUGCAAUUAUUAAUUACAAAGUUUAUGCAGUUGGUCUUACACCAUCGUGUAAGAACUUAUCAUCUUUCAAAAGGCAUUCCAAUCGUUCGUUGAUAACAAGAUGUCCACGAACAAGGUUUUCUUGCAGGCAGACAUGAUUGAUUCAAUGACUGAAAUAUCUCUAGGGGUACAAACAUAGUCUGUCGACUUCAUAAAAAAGUGAGCCAACUUAGACAACAAAAUGAGCCAAAUUAGUUGAAUACAAAAGGCAAUUUCACAAAGAAAAUAUUGAUAAUAACAUUAAAGAAAUACCUUGUGCGAUAACAUUUAAAUUGGCAUCCUUUUUUGGUUUGUUAUGAGAUAUCACCGCUUCGACGUCAUUAUGUUGUAAAAAACUUGGUGAAUUUACUGUCCCUUUCAGCAAUUUCGCAUCGGAACCCUCAAUGGAUUCUUUUUGUGCAUAUCCAAAGUUCAUAUCCAUGUCUCCUAUAUUCUGAAAAAAUAUUAAUAUAUAAAAAUAUAUCUUUCGUAUUUGCAUGUACAAUAUACAUACCGAGGAAGGUUAGCUAUAUGCACCUUUUUUCGUGGUGUUUCAGUGCGGUCUGUCAUCGUUACAUCAGUGCAUAUGUCGAAACUUAUCACUUUGUAUCUACGAUGAAAUAUAUAUGAUCAAAUAUAAAUGAUAUUUUCUACUGCAUAAUACUCCCUCUUAUUUUUUAGUCUACGCAUAACUCACAUCAUGCAUACCAAGGAGACCUACUUGUAACUUUUUUGGACGAAAUUGCCCCUGUGCUAGUUGAAUUGCAGCGACCAGGAAUGCUGAGAAGCUAUGAUCAUCGGAGCCAGUUAUUGGCCCGUCCUCCUUGUUUCCUCUGCAUGGCUGUUAUUGGCCCAUUCUCCUUUGCAUGCGCUGCAUGCGCGGUCAGUAAUUAAUGCACAGGAGGAGGUAGCGUUGCAUGUGGGGCUGAAGAUUAGGAUAGACUUGGAAGAAACCGCUACAAAUCAGGAUCGCGCAGAGUAUUGCAGAAAAAACAAGAAAAACUUAUGCGCGGAGUAAAAGGGAUCGGAGGGGGUAUAAUCAUAUAUAAUAUCUGGAAAAAAUAAAAAGUGAAACUGACACAACUAUUUUCUCUAUAAAAAAAACAUAGUUGACAUUAUUAGGAAAAUAUGUUGAUUAAAUAAUUGUACUAACACAAAAUUUGGGGAAAACAACAAACUGUAAUGUUCAUAUAUAAGUAAAUAUUCAUAUGAAAAUUGUUUAAAUUAUUAAUAUAAGCUAUGGAAAAUUGUCCAACAAAAGAAAAGAAAAACAUGCAAACAAACCUUCUUCAACCAAGUAUAUUUUUUUCUCUCAAUUUUAUUGUGAUACCCUUAGUAUAUGAAAGGUAAUUAUAAAAUAUAUUUAUUUUUAUGAACCAUAUUUCAUACACACACACACACACACACACACACACACACACACACACACACACACACUUUUAUUGUUUUUGUGAGGUAUGUAUACUUUCAAUAUCUAUUUUUUUGUCGUAAAUUCCAACACAUGCGAGUUUAGAAUUUCUAUCGUUGAGCAAAAUUUUCACACAAGGCCCAAAUUAGCUAUCCACCACGGCCCAACCAGCACCCAAACUUAGCCCCUAAAAAAAUAACUAUAAAAGAAAUUACUUUAUACACAGUAUAUUUCUUUGAGGGAUUACAAUAUACCUAGACAAAUUGGCCGGCCCGGCACGGCCCGGCCCGGCCAGGAUUACAUAGGCCAGGCACGACACUUCCCGGCCAGGCACGCGUGCUGGCCUCCCCGGCCUAGGCACAGCAAAGUUGCCUCACGGGCUGGCUCGAGGGCCCACCUGGCGCGCUGGCCUCUGGGCUCACUGGCCACCCCUCGCCUUUUCCCCUCCCCCCGCCGCAUCCCAACCCAAACCCCACUCACUCACCACUCUCCUCUCCACACACUCACUUCCUCUCGCACUUUACCCUCCCCAGCCGCAUCGCCGCGUGCCUCGACGAGNNNNNNNNNNNNNNNNNNNNNNNNNNNNNNNNNNNNNNNNNNNNNNNNNNNNNNNNNNNNNNNNNNNNNNNNNNNNNNNNNNNNNNNNNNNNNNNNNNNNNNNNNNNNNNNNNNNNNNNNNNNNNNNNNNNNNNNNNNNNNNNNNNNNNNNNNNNNNNNNNNNNNNNNNNNNNNNNNNNNNNNNNNNNNNNCGCAACCGCGCGACUCCGCCCGCCGACCACCGCAUCAGUCCCAUGUCGCGGCCGGUCUUGUGACUCAUUCACCUCUCUUCUCCACUCACUCCAACAUCUCGGCCAUCUCCCCUCCUCCCGCCGCAUCGCCGCGUGCGUCGACCGUGCGACUCCGCCCACCGACCACCGCAUCGGCGCGACUAGGGGCUCCGACGAGCUGUGUGCGGCGCGACCAACGAGGACGGGCGUAGCGAGCUUACUGAAAUGGGCGCCGGUGCUCGGUCUGGUCCCGUUCCCCUCCCGCGGCGGUGUUCAUCUCUGGCGAGGUGGCAGGUGGAUCCGAAGAGCGACAAUUCAGGGGGGAAUCACUGGGAGGUGGAGGAAGGACGGAAAAAAACCAUGAUAGGUGGGACAAAAAUUAACCAUGGAACGGAGACUACCAACUGAGACAUUAGGAGUAGAGAUAAAUGCUAUAAAAAUCAAUGAAAAAAGUAGCGCGCUAUACCAAAAUAGGAGCGGCCUUAAAAUACGCUAUUAGCAUGCUAUAUCGCACUAUGGCAUUCUAUUAGCGAGGCAGUGUACAUUGAUUUAUUUAGCUAGACAAUUCUAUAGCGUGCUAUUAGCUGUGCUUUUUUCAGUGAAAAAUACAUUACAAAUAUAUUAGUAGUAGACUCAAGGAAGCAUCAAUACAUUUGUCAACAUGCAUUCCUUUGAAUGGUAGCUUAACAACCCAUCACAAAAUGGUAGUUACGGAAGAUGUAUACAAGAGGAGACGACAACAUGUAGUCAAUUUAAAACACAAGUAUAAGAAUUAUACUCUGCUUUAGUGCAAGCCAUUCAAAAAGCAUACUUGAUUCAAGUUUGGAUAUGAGAACACCGUGACAAAAGUUUCUCUUUCUAGGAUUCGUCGAUGCCUCACCGUGCACCUCUCCUAGUCUCCCUUUCCUCCGUACAUUUUUCGCAUCCUCAAUUUCUCCUAGCGUUCCUUCAAACAAGAAAAUGAGAAGAUAUUUUUUUCAAGGGGCAUCAACACAGAACCAUGACCUUCGCAUCUUCGUGAAGACUAUUGGCGAGUGAACCUUCAUGCGGAGCCAUGUUUUCCAUUGACAACGUCCUCCGCCCUGGCCUAUAUCACACAAGUUCUUUUCCAUCAGAUCUACCAUGCCAUAUAACAUGAUGAUUUAAGAAUGAACGUGUAAGUGUUCCUAGCAUGAAAAGCAUAGCAAAUUCGAGUGCCAGAACAUAACAGUGAAGUUGUACACUUUCAUGCGGAGUUGAGCUUCAAUACAAUGCCAGAGCUCUAUCUUCAGCGAACUGGUAAUAUGAAAAUAUCAGUACCAAAAAUAUAAUUGUGAAAUGGUGAGCACGAACUUAACUUUGGAUGUUCAGUGCCAAUUAUGAUGCCCAACUCAGUUGAUGUUACCACGGAGAAUUAUAUAACAAGCAUUGAGCGUUAAGUAGCUUGAAACCUUAUACUUAAGGUCACUUGUCUAUCUGAUUGUAAAUGACAGGAUGCAAUAUUGCAUUAUCAUUACUUAAUUGAAGACUAUAAUUAUAUUUGCGAUUGUUAUUAAAGCAAACUUCAUACACAAAUUCUAGAGCAUCAGAUUUCUCUUCGUAUAGAAGGUCCUAAAAUCAGUGAGCUCUAGAAACUUCAGGCAGAAAAUUAUCGCGAGGGCAUACAAAUUGAAGUAUAAUUCGAAGAAUCAACCCGGGAAACUACAACCAGGAACCAUUUUAUUUCGGCUUUAGUUCCUAAUUUUUUUAAUAUUGACUAUCUAGUGUGGAAAAGAGUAAUUUAUAACCUCUGUGUCCAUAUCGGUAUGUCCCAGUUUCAGUCAUCAUCAUUUCAAUUACAGUUUCCUCUCGUGCAAGCCCCAAAUCAGUAAGCUUCAGCUUCCUACGGUUUGUAGUAAGCAAAAAAUUAUCUGCCCACACAAAACUUUUAUUAGGACAUCAUAAAAGCAUAAAAAGUGUGACAGAGCAGCUCUAACAUAAAGGAAAAAAAAACAACUACUGGAAGAAGCUACAAGGUAAAGCAAGCAAAACAAAAUGGUAAGACUGAUAGGGAGAAAGAAACAAAUCAUGAGUGAACCAUGAACAGGUACUAAAGCAAAGCAUAUACCAUGGAUGUGAAAUCAGGAACAUUCAAGAAUAUGAUGUAGAAACAUCUUACUGAAAAUUUUAGAUGAUUAACGGACCAACUACUGAAAAUCAAAGAAGCUGAACCAAAAAGAAGAAACUAAAAACAAUACCUUCGCAAGUAGUCAUUCAUUUUUUAAACCAGAUGCUAUGACGAUGAGCUGCAAAAGGUGAAACAAAUAGUACUCACACAAAUAAGAAAAGAGUGUUUUAUUGAAAUGUCGUAAAUAGUUAAAAGUAGAUGACUCUAACCCACUUGAUUCUACAAGUAAAUAAGCAACAGAUCUUACUGCUGAAUGCAAUGGUUGGUAUCCAAACGGGAAAAGGGUACAACGUCUUUAACCUGUUGACGCUAUGAC
rnacentral:lncRNA from 1 species